rnacentral:lncRNA from 1 species
CUCCCUGGCCUCCGUCGGAGUGAGUAAGGACCACAUACGGAUCAGCGCAGUAGCUCAGAAUAAAACCUGCAAAAAAUGAAGUUGUUGUUCUGUUAAAAGCCAAAUCAUUUCUGCAGUUCCAAAUUGCCCAUAACAACGCACAAACUCCUACGUGAAUGUGUCUAGCUGUUUCGGACUCUAUCCCAACAAGCCACGUUCCAAAUAACGAACUGAUCGAAUUCGGAGGAGUAAUGUUAAAGGCAAUUUGUACCGUGUGCCACAACACUCUUCCCAACGAGCAGUCAAAGAAAAGGUGCUCCUUUCUAACCGCAUCUGCGCGGUGACAAACCGGGGGACUUAGUUUGUAUGGAACACUGAUACGUCUCCAACGUAUCUAUAAUUUUUUAUUGCUCCAUGCUAUAUUAUCUACUGUUUUGGACUAUAUUGGGCUUUAUUUUCCACUUUUAUAUUAUUUUUGGGACUAACCUAUUAACCGGAGGCCCAGCCCAGUUGUUGUUUUUUGCCUUUUCCAGUGUUUCGGAGAAACAGAAUAUCAAACGGAAUCCAAACGGAAUAAAACCUUCGGGAACGUGAUUUUCUCACCGAUCCAGGAGACUUGGACCGUACUCCAAGGAGUCAAAGAGGAGGUCACGAGGGUGGGGGUGCACCCCCCUAGGGCGCGCCCCCUGCCUCAUGGGCCCCUCGGUGCUCCACCGACGUAAUUCUUCCUCCUAUAUAUAUACGUACCCCCAAACGAUCAGAACAGGAGCCAAAAACCUAAAUCCACCGCCGCAACUUUCUGUAUCCACGAGAUCCCAUCUUGGGGCCUGUUCCGGAGGUCCGCCGGAGAGGGUCGUCAUCACGGAGUGCUUCUACAUCAUCAUAGCCUCUCCGAUGAAGUGUGAGUAGUUUACCUCAGACCUUCGGGUCCAUAGUUAGUAGCUAGAUGGCUUCUUCUCUCUUUUUGGAUCUCAAUACAAAGUUCUCCCCCUCUCUUGUGGAGAUCUAUUCGAUGUAAUCUUCUUUUUGCGGUGUGUUUGUUGAGACCGAUGAAUUGUGGGUUUAUGAUCAAGUCUAUCUAUGAAUAAUAUUUGAAUCUUCUCUGAAUUCUUUUAUGUAUGAUUGGUUAUCUUUGCAAGUCUCUUCGAAUUAUCCAUUUGGUUUGGCCAACUAGAUUGGUAGUUCUUGCCAUGGGAGAAGUUCUUAGCUUUGGGUUCGAUCUUGCGGUGUCCUUUCCCAGUGACAGAAGGGGCAGCAAGGCACGUAUUGCAUCGUUGCCAUCGAGGAUAACAAGAUGGAGUUUAUUUCAUAUUGCAUGAAUUUAUCUCUCUACAUCAUGUCAUCUUGCUUAAAGCGUUACUCUGUUUUUAACUUAAUACUCUAGAUGCAUGCUGGAUAGCGGACGAUGAGUGGAGUAAUAGUAGUAGAUGCAGAAUCGUUUUGGUCUACUUGUCACGGACGUGAUGCCUAUAUACAUGAUCAUGCCUAGAUAUUAUCAUAACUAUGCUCAAUUCUGUCAAUUGCUCAACAGUAAUUUGUUCACCCAUCGUAGAAUACUUAUGCUCUUGAGAGAAGCCACUAGUGAAACCUAUGGCCCCCGGGUCUAUUCUCAUUAUAUCAAUCUCCAUCACUUUAAUCUUGCUUUGCUUUUUUACUUUGCUUUUAACCUUUCACUUUGCAUCUUUAUACCAAAAAUACCAAAAAUACUAUAUCUAUCAGAUCUCACUCUCGUAAGUGACCGUGAAGGGAUUGAUAACCCCUAAUCGCGUUGGUUGCGAGUAGCUAUCGUUUUGUGCAGGUACGAGGGACUUGAGCAUGGCCUCCUACUGGAUUGAUACCUUGGUUCUCAAAAACUGAGGGAAAUACUUACGCUAAUCUGCUCCAUCAUCCCUUCCUCUUUGGGCAAAACCAAUGCAAUCUCAAGACGUAGCAAGAAGGAUUUCUGGUGCCGUUGCCGGGGAGUCUACGCAAAAAGUCAACAUACCAAGUACCCAUCACAAUCCCUAUCUCUCGCAUUACAUUACUUGCCAUUUGCCUCUCGUUUUCCUCUCCCCCACUUCACCCUUGCCGUUUUAUUCGCCCUCUCUUUCCCAAUCUCCUUAUCCUUCUCUUUCUCCGCUUGCCUUUUUGCUUGCCCGUGUGUUGGAUUGUUUGUUUGUCGCGAUGGCUCAAGAUACUACCAAAUUGUGUGACUUCACCAAUACCAAUAAUAGUGAUUUCCUUAGCACUCCGAUUGCUCCUCUUGCUAAUACUGAAUCUUGUGAAAUCAAUACUGCUUUGUUGAAUCUUGUUAUGAAAGAUCAAUUCGCCGGCCUUCCUAGUGAAGAUGCCGCUACUCAUCUGAAUAGCUUCGUUGAUUUAUGUGAUAUGCAAAAGAAAAAGGAUGUCGAUAAUGAUGCCAUUAAAUUGAAGCUAUUUCCUUUUUCGCUUAGAGAUUGUACUAAAGCUUGGUUUUCGUCUUUGGCUAAAAAUAGUAUUGAUUCUUGGAACAAGUGCAAAGAUGCUUUUAUCUCUAAGUAUUUCCCUCCCGCUAAGAUCAUCUCUCUUAGAAACGAUAUUAUGAAUUUUAAGCAACUUGAUCAUGAACAUGUUGCACAAGCUUGGGAGAGAAUGAAAUUAAUGAUACGUAAUUGCCCUACUCAUGUUUUGAAUUUGUGGAUGAUUAUACAAAAAAAUUAUGCCGGAUUGAAUUUUGCUUCUAGAAAUCUUUUAGACUCGGCCGCGGGAGGUACUUUUAUGGAAAUCACUUUAGGAGAUGCUACUAAACUCCUAGAUAAUAUUAUGGUUAAUUAUUCUCAAUGGCAUACUGAAAGAUCUUCUAAUAAAAAAGUGCAUGCGAUAGAAGAAAUCAAUGUGUUGAGUGGAAAGAUGGAUGAACUUAUGAAAUUAUUUGCUACUAAGAGUGUUUAUUAUAAUCCUAAUGAUAUGCCCUUGUUUACUUUGAUUGAGAAUAACAAUGAAUCUAUGGAUGUGAAUUUUGUUGGUAGGAAUAAUUUUGGUAACAACGCUUAUAGAGGGAAUUUUAAUCCUAGGCCAUAUCCUAGUAAUCCUUCUAAUAAUUAUGGGAAUUCCUACAAUAACUCUUAUGGAAAUUAUAAAAAGAUGCCCUCUGAAUUUGAGAAUAGUGUUAAAGAAUUUAUGAAUUCACAAAAGAAUUUUAAUGCUCUUCUUGUAGAGAAAUUGCUUAAAGUUGAUGAUUUGGGUAGGAACGUUGAUAGAAUUUCUCUUGAGAUUGAUUCUUUAAAGCUUAGAUCUAUUCCUCCUAAUCAUGAUAUCAAUGAGUCUCUCAAAGCCAUGAGAAUUUCCAUUGAUGAGUGCAAGGAAAGAACCGCUAGGAUGCGUGCUUCCAAAGAUGCCUUUAUUAAAGCGUGUUCUUCCAAUUCCUAUGAGAAUCAAGAUGAAGAUCUAAAAGUUAUUGAUGUGUCCCCUAUUAAACCUUUGUUUUGCAAUAUGAAUCUUGAUGAAACUGAAUAUGAUCCUCCUUUACCUAGAAGGCGUUCUAAAAAUCCGGAGUAUUUAGAUCUUUAUGAUGAAAUUGAUGAAAGUGGGAUUAAAAGAAAUAAAAUUAUGAAAGUUGCUCUUUAAUGGAUUGUAUUUCCUUGUUGCAAUCUGUGCUAAAUUCUCCACAUGCCUAUAGUCAAAAUAAAGCCUUCACCGAACAUAUUGUUGAUGCCUUGAUGCAAUCUUAUGAAGAAAAACUUUAGUUGAAAGUUUCUAUCCCUAGAAAACUCUAUGAUGAGUGGGAACCAACUAUUAAAAUUAAAAUUAAAGAUCAUGAGUUUUAUGCUUUGUGUGAUUUGGGUGCUAGUGUCUCUACUAUUCCCAAGACUUUGUGUGAUUUACUAGAUUUCCGCCAUUUUUGAUGAUUGCUCUCUAAACUUGCAUCUUGCGGAUUCUACCAUUAAGAAACCUAUGGGAAGGAUUAAUGAUGUUCUUAUUGUUGCAAAUAGGAAUUAUGUGCCCGUAGAUUUCAUUCACUACAAGAAAUAUGUCAACUUAUGACCUUCUAUCAGUGACCCUUGAAGAAUUGGUCAUAAAUUUAUGACCAUUUUAGACCAAUUGGUCAAAAGCUAUUCAGGGGGCUCCAAACCCUAAACCAUUGCGACCAUUUUGGUCAGAAAGGUCGUAAUUUCCUUACAUGAAAUGGUCACAAAGCAAACAGUGCUAGUCCGCUGCCUUAUUUCUAGUUGUUAAUGACCAAUAUAGAUGGUCAUAGCCUUGUAGAUUGUGGUGGGUUGUGAUGACUAGGCGCCAUCUCAUCAGUUUUGCCUAUGUGUCAUGUCCAUGUGGCAGUUUUUGCCCUAGGUUGUGAAGCAACCUAUAUUUCUAUCAUUCCCAAAAUUCCCAAAAAAAUCUCAUAAAUUCUUUGGGGCAUAUCUUGAUCAAAUAUGUAAAAAUCCUUCCUUGCCUAGUUCAAAACUAAUUCAACAAUAUUCAUUUUCCUAUUAUGUUCACAACAACACUUUAUGAAGGAAGUGCUAUUUAUAUUCUUGAUUGCCCUCAGAAUUUUUGGGCACUCUUUCCUAUCCAAAUCAUUACUGCAUGACAAAAUUCAGCUCCAUUUGCCUAGCAAAUCUUCCUCGGCAAAUUUCUAAAUUUUUUGUCCACCUAGAAGCAUUGUGAAGGAAGUACCUUUUUUAUAUCUCUAAAUGACAUGAAAUUUAUACAGUUCCUUCAUAUGCCUAAAUUAUCACCCUCCUCCAAAUUGCAGCUCAGUCAAAUCAUCUAUGUGAGCCCAGGUUCAAUUUAUAUUUUAUGGCCAAAUUGGCACGUUGCAAAGCAAGUGUUAUAUAGACCCCUUCUAUUACCCUCAAACUUUUCAGGCACUCUUCCAUACCCAAAUCAUUGCCACAUGAUAAUAUUCAGCUCAAUUUUCCUAGUAAACCUUUCUCAGGAAAUUUCCAAAGUUUCUACCUCGAGAGAAGCUUUGUGAAGUAAGUACUAGCUAGGCUUACCCAAAUGAUCUGAAAAUUUACCAGCGCAUGACCAUACCUAUGUAACUUACCUACACCAAUUUUUAGCUCAUUUCAUUCAUCCAAUCUCUCUCACUAGUUUUCCCAAGUUUUUGUCCAUAGAAGAGCAUUGUGAAGGAAGUACUACUUUGGCAUGUCAAAAUGAUAUCAAUUUUCUACAAUGCUUUCCUAUGCCCAAAUAACCAUCCUCCACCAAAUUUCAGCUCAAUCCAUUCAUUAUUUUGAGCCCAGCUUCAACAUUCAUACUUUUGUCCAAUGUGCUACUUUGCAAAGCAAGUACCACCUAGGAUCCUCCUUUUGAGCUGAAAAUUUGUGAAUACAUUCUCCUUAGUAGAUGAUUAUCCUCGGCCAAAACUCACGCCCAUUGGCCAUGUGCAUUUCCCGUACCGCUAAUCAAACACUUGGCUGCUUAUUCAUGUUUGAGCAUCGAUCGGUCUCCUCGUGAGAAUCUUAUGUUGUGAUUUUCUUCCUAGCACCUAUCUGGGGAGUGCCCAACCCACUAGACAUGCCUAGGCCGCCCAGAACACAUGGCAACGCCACGGCCACGCAGUGACCACGCGACGGGCAUGCGAGUUUACGCGCUCUAGAGUUGGGGGCCUCGGCCACCGCCCAAACCUCGAUGUAUCGCCACCAAACCAUGUAUUUAUGAUUAAAUAGGUACUUAUGUAACUAGAAAUGAUUUUUGGGGCAGCUGCAGUUCAAAUUUGACCCGCUUCCUACUGAAUCGGCGGGAAUUUGUCUUUCUCACCAGAGGUGGAUCAAAACUUUUGACACCCAACCAUUUUGUCAAUUGUGCAUUAAAUAUGGCCUAGUAUUUUAUAAAAUUGAUUAGGUCCAAUUUUGUAACAAAUAUAUGGUAGGUCCUUCACAAAAAAACUCAUUUUGGGCACUCGGAAAAAUGGAAAAUGAAUUUUUCGUGCAAAGAAAAUGAAAACUUCCUUAGGCAACAUUGCUUGUAAUUCCAAGACGCACCCUUGUGCACAAUAUGAGAUCAUUUGAACAAACUAUACCACGAAUGUGGCCAUAAGAUUGAUCAUUUGGCUUGAAAGUCAUUGAUCUCCAUACGUGAUAGCUCGUUUCUGAGAACACUUUUUUAAAAUAAUUGUCGUAUUACAAGUUUGUUAUUUUUACUGGGAACUUUGCCACAUAUAAUGACACAAUGCGAAGGUUUCCCAAUUUUUUUGAUUUUUUUUGAAUUUUUUAUGCCCGUUUCAAAAUGCGGACAAAAUGGCGGGAAUGGCCGCUCCUAGCUAGUGGUUGAAUCUUGAAUUUUUUUUGGUGUUUAUCUGAUUAAAUAGAUACUUAUGUACCUAGAAAUGAUUUUUGGAAAAAAUAAAUAGCAAACUAUGAGGCAGGUGCAGUUCAAAUUUGACCCGCUUCCAGCUGAAUCGGCUGAAAUUUGUCUUUUUCACAAGAGGUGGAUCAAAACUUUUUGCACCCAACCAUUUGGUCAAUUGUGCAUUAAAUAUGGCCUAGUGUUUUAUAAAAAUGAUUUGGUAUAAUUUUGCAACAAUUAUUUGGGAGGUCCUUCACAAAAAAACCUCCUUUCAGGCACUCGAAAAAUGGGAAAUGGUUUUUUCAUCGAAAGAAAAUGAAAACUUCCUUAGGUAACAUUGUUUGCCAUUCCAAGAUGCACCCUUGUGCACAAUAUGAGAUCAUUUGAACAAACUAUGCCAAGAAUGUGGCCAUAAGAUUGAUUAUUUGGCUUGAAAGCCAUGAAUCUUCACGCAUGAUAGCUCAUUUCUGAGAACACUUUUUUAAAAUAAUUGCUGUAUUACAAGUUUAUUAUUUUUCCUGGGAACUUGGCCACAUAUAAUGACACAAUGCGAAGGUUUCCCAAUUUUUUUAUUUUUUUUGAAUUUUUUAUGCCCGUUUCAAAAUGCGGUCAAAACGACGGGAAUGACCGUUCCUAGCUAGUGGUUGAAUCUUGGAAUUUUUUUGGUGUUUCUCUGAUUAAAUAGAUACUUAUGUACCUAGAAAUGAUUUUUCGAAAAAAUAAAGAGCAAACUACGAGGUAGCUACAGUUCAAAUUUGACCCGCUUCCAACUGAAUUGGUGGGAAUUUGUCUUUUUCACCAGAGGUGGAUAAAAACUUUUUACACCCAACCAUUUGGUCAAUUCUGCAUUAAAUAUGGAGUAGUAUUUUAUAAAAAUGAUUUAGUCCAAUUUUGCAACAAUUAUUUGGGAGGUCCUUCACAAAAAAACCUCGUUUUGGGCACUCGAAAAAUGGAAAAUGGUUCUUUCGUCCAAAGAAAAAGAAAACUUCCUGAGGCAACAUUGUUUGCCAUUCCAAUAUGCACCCUUGUGCAUAAUAUGAGAUCAUUUGAAAAAACUAUGCCAUGAAUGUGGCCAUAAGAUUGAUCAUUUGGCUUGAAAGCCAUUGAUCUCCACACGUGAUAGCUCGUUUCUGAUAACACUUUUUUAAAAUAAUUGUCGUAUUACAAGUUUAUUAUUUUUCCUGGGAACUUGGCCACAUAUGAUGACACAAUGCGAAGGUUUCCCAAUUUUUUGAUUUUUUUAAUUUUUAUGCCCGUUUCAAAAUGCGGUCAAAACGACGGGAAUGACCGUUCCUAGCUAGUGGUUGAAUCUUGGAAUUUUUUUUGUUUCUCUGAUUAAAUAGAUACUUAUGUACCUAGAAAUGAUUUUUGGAAAAAAUAAAGAGCAAACUACGAGGUUGCUACAGUUCAAAUUUGACCCGCUUCCAACUAAAUCGGCGGGAAUUUGUCUUUUUCACCAGAGGUGGACAAAAACUUUUUACACCCAACCAUUUGAUCAAUUGUGCAUUAAAUAUGGACUAGUAUUUUAGAAAAAUGAUUUGGUCCAAUUUGCAACAAUUAUUUGGGAGGUCCUUCACAAAAAAACCUCCUUUGGGGCACUUGAAAAAUGGAAAAUGGUUCUUUCGUCCAAAGAAAAAGAAAACUUCCUUAGGCAACAUUGUUUGCCAUUCCAAUAUGCACCCUUGUGCACAAUAUGAGAUCAUUUGAACAAACUAUGCCAUGAAUGUGGCCAUAAGAUUGAUCAUUUGGCUUGAAAGCCAUUGAUCUCGAGACGUGAUAGCUCGUUUCUAAUAACACUUUUUUAAAAUAAUUGCAGUAUUACAAGUUUAUUACUUUCCUGGGAACUUGGCCACAUAUCAUGACACAAUGCGAAGGUUUCCCAAUUUUUUGAUUUUUUUUUGAAUUUUUUAUGCCCGUUUCAAAAUGCGGUCAAAACGGCGGGAAUGACCGUUCCUAGCUAGUGGUUGAAUCUUGGAAAACUUUUGAUAUUUAUGUGAUUAAAUAGAUACUUAUGUAUCUAGAAAUGAUUUUUGGAAAAAAUAAAGAGCAAACUAUGAGGCAGCUGCAGUUCAAAUUUUACCCGCUUCCUACUGAAUCGGCCAAAAUUUGUCUUUUUCACGAGAGGUGGCUCAAAACUUUUGACACCCGACCAUUUAGUCAAUUGUGCAUUAAAUAUGUCCUAGUAUUUUAUAAAAUUGAUUUGGUACAAUUUUGAAGCAAAUAUAUGGUAGGUCCUUCACAAAAAAACUCAUUUUGGGCACUCAGAAAAUGGAAAAUGUUUUUUUUUGCCAAAAAACUCAUUUCUCACGACACAUUUUUAAAGAUAUUUAUCUUAUUUCAUGUUUGUUAUUUUUCCUAGAAACUUAUUCACAUUUGGUGACACAAUGAGAAGGUUUUCCAUUUCCUUUUUGAAUUUUUCAGGUCAUAAAAUAGUUGAUAUGAUUUUAACACGCUAUUUUUAGUCAACCACGACCAAUUUAAAUGGUCAUAAUGUGGUACUACUUUCUGAUUGGUCCGUGGACAUCUCACGCGGAUCGUGCAUCAAACACUGUUGGAUACUCGGGGAUCCAACGGUAGUCCUCAGCCCUUCCACACUAACCCNNNNNNNNNNNNNNNNNNNNNNNNNNNNNNNNNNNNNNNNNNNNNNNNNNNNNNNNNNNNNNNNNNNNNNNNNNNNNNNNNNNNNNNNNNNNNNNNNNNNNNNNNNNNNNNNNNNNNNNNNNNNNNNNNNNNNNNNNNNNNNNNNNNNNNNNNNNNNNNNNNNNNNNNNNNNNNNNNNNNNNNNNNNNNNNNNNNNNNNNNNNNNNNNNNNNNNNNNNNNNNNNNNNNNNNNNNNNNNNNNNNNNNNNNNNNNNNNNNNNNNNNNNNNNNNNNNNNNNNNNNNNNNNNNNNNNNNNNNNNNNNNNNNNNNNNNNNNNNNNNNNNNNNNNNNNNNNNNNNNNNNNNNNNNNNNNNNNNNNNNNNNNNNNNNNNNNNNNNNNNNNNNNNNNNNNNNNNNNNNNNNNNNNNNNNNNNNNNNNNNNNNNNNNNNNNNNNNNNNNNNNNNNNNNNNNNNNNNNNNNNNNNNNNNNNNNNNNNNNNNNNNNNNNNNNNNNNNNNNNNNNNNNNNNNNNNNNNNNNNNNNNNNNNNNNNNNNNNNNNNNNNNNNNNNNNNNNNNNNNNNNNNNNNNNNNNNNNNNNNNNNNNNNNNNNNNNNNNNNNNNNNNNNNNNNNNNNNNNNNNNNNNNNNNNNNNNNNNNNNNNNNNNNNNAUCGAGGCUGCCCCUCAUUCCGUGAUUCCCACCGCCGCCGAUCUAGCAGCCACCUUGCUCCACCGGCGACCUGAUUGCCCGUCUCCGGUCUCCCCUACCUCCUGCGACACCCCCAUCCUCUCGCGAACCCCAUCUCUCUCUCCCCAUGACUCCUCGCCGCCGCCACCUACGGCGGCCGAUCCCGGCGACUUCCAGCGGCAAUCUGUGGCUCCUAGCACACCAUCGCGACCCCGUCCCUUCCGCUCCAUCCUCCCCUCAGACCAGAUCAGCCGCCCCCUUCGACCAGAUCGUCCGCCCCCUUCUCCCCCAGCCCCGGCUAUGCAGCAGAUCGAGCGCGGCAGUAGUGGCAGCAGAGCACCAAGGUACGUGCCUGGGCGCCUCCCUCUCCCGUCGCUCCUCUUCCAUUUGGGGACCUCGCCGGUCGUCCUCUGGUCGAUGCGUGCACAGUGUUAAAAUUGCAAAUUGAAGUUGAUUAAUAGGGUUCAAAGAUACAAGUUCGAGUAUCCAGUCUGAGGGGUUCUUGCGUGUGUGCAGGUGAUAUUGGAGGUGGUGGCGACGUUCCUGCUUGUGUUCGUGAUGUGCGGGGCGGCGUCCAUCUACGGCGCUGAUGUGACGCGCGUAUCCCAGCUCGGCCACUCCUUCGUCGGCGGCCUCAUUGUCAUCACAGUGAUCUACGCCACCGGCCACAUCUCUGGCGCGCACAUGAACACUGCUGUCACGCCCUCCGUCUCCUUCCGACAUUUCCCCUGGAUUCAUGUAUGCAUAUACAUGCAUCCAUCAUGCUUCCUGCCUUCAACUUUUGUCUCACGUAUACAUGCGUAGCGAAUGACAUGUCAUUGUUCAGUAGAACACUAGAACUUGCUUAUCAACAUGAACGUGCAAAUAAGAAAUUCUCACCGCUUAAUAAUUAACCAAAGCUUAAUUGAUUUGCCAAGCAAUAUCAUGUGCUUAUUAGUUGCAAGCUGUAUUGGUUUGCUCUGCUACCAUGUUAAUUCUUUGUUUCCCCUUUGUGUUAACCACCUUGUGCUGUUGUACAGAAAAUUUAUUGAGAAAUUGUCAGUUAACACUAGGAUCAGUAACCACCUUGUGCAUUCUAGGAUCAGUAUUCAGUUAUUUUGUACUGCUUUCUUCAAGGUUCAGGGUCUAGGCAUAUGGCUCACUAUCCGUUCCAGUUCCUGUUAUGUUACAGCUGCUUAUCUUACUAAUAUAUGUACUAUUUGUCUUAUGUUCUUGUUUGUAUUCAGUCAGUGCCUCCAGUGUGGUCGACGGCGAGUGCAUCGGGGAUUCGGGGUCGUCUUCAAGAAGGACAAGACCAGGGCCUCCAAUGGAUCAGUCAGUGCUCCACUGCUCUGCCUACCGUCACAUGCAAUGGCUACUUGUCGCCUCCUUCUUAAUUAGUACACAUGGAGCUUAAACCAAUUGUAUCUGGAAUUCAGUUGUAAGAAAGUGUCUAAUCUGAAACAAGGCAUGAGUGGGAAUUCGUUUGGGCUAGAGUACACUGCAAUAUGUUUCUUGUAUGCUUUAGCCACUGUUAGGUUACAGUACUACUACUAGUCUAUAUAUGCAACUUCUCUACAGUAAAAUUAUUUGACUUGUUAAAACUGCCACACAUAGUACUGCUACUAGUCUAUAUAUGCAACCAGUACCUAUGUUUCUCAAUAUAAAGACGUUUUGGUAGUUUAAAUAAUGGAUGGAGUGAUAGUUACAGUAGGUUUGAAUCCCAAUUUUUCUGUGGUAGCACAACAAGUGUUGUGUCGCUCCUUAUGUUAGCCGUGUUAUUCUUCUGACCUGGCCAUACAGACACCUAUGGUGCAUAGUUAGCUGGCUAUAGCUUCAUCCUGCUGGCCUUUUUUCGACAUUGUGCCGUUGGUUCUCAUUUCAGCUCAUUUUAUUGGUAUAUACCUGCAGAAUUGUGCUCUAUUGGUUCUCAUUUUACCUCGUUUUAUUGGUAUAUAUUCCUGCAGGCGGAGCAGCGGGUGGGGGAGCAAAAUUAGGCGAUGGCCAGCAAGUCAAGGCCGUCACAACAGCCGGCAUGCACCACAAGGAGGAUGAUGGCCUCUUCACCUACUCCGGCCCCGUCCUCCCCGACUCCUGGCCGUGCCCCUGUGCAUGAUAGCGCCCUCACUCUUCUACUUCUACUACCUAUUGUUGCUGUUGUGCUUCUAUUUACGAUGGUAGUAUGCUGCUGAUGAUGUUGUUGAUGCCAUGAUUUUUGUCUUGUCAUGCACUGAAAUUAAUUGGUAGCAUUAGAUGCAAAUUUCCCAUCAUCCUUUAGCUGCACUAGUCUUGUGUAUUUGGCAGGCAGAUGCAUAUCUAUAGCUCUUCCUUUUUUGAUAAUUCACUCAUCUGUAGCAGUCACAUAUCUGUCCUCGUAACAUCUGCUUGAUCAAUGCUGUUUUGUUCUCAUAUAGAAUGUCCAUUUGUUGAUGUCUAUCUGCUUGCUGGGUGUGCAUCCAAGUGUGGGAUGUUGUUGGUGAUCCUCCGUAGAUUUACAGUGUUAGUUUUUCCUUCUGUUCUAGUAGACCCGAUUGAGCUGGAUUGUUCAGCUAGGGUGGGUGCGCACAUCAAGUGCCAACUGUCGGUCAUCCACCGUGGGUUUGUUUUCUUCACUUCUGCAACAAUACACCAAGUGAAUCAUGCGUCCACUUGGAAGUAGACCCAUUACAUCAUGAGUGGUGGAUCAUUGGUCGUUUAAAAUGGUUUCUUAAGAGUGUUGACUUAUUAUUCAGUGAAUUUUCUCUGAUGUGUCUAAAAUGUUGUCUUUGUGCCUACUUCAUUGUUGUCAUUCCUAUAGUGUGCUUUUUCAGUUUCAUUUUACAGUAAUAUCGCCCAGUUUUACAGUGUAAUUUACUGCAUAGUCACUGUAAAACUUGUAGGUAUUACAGUGGAAUACCUAAGAUUUUUUUAGGGAGUUACACUGUAAAUAACCCAUUUUAUACAUUGUAUAAACUACAGGUAUUUACAGUGGAAUUCCUCUAUUUUUUCACCGUAUAUCCUCAAUUUCUAUUACAAUGUAAAGUCCCACAUUUAUCAUACUCCAUGCUUUACCUCUAAUUUCCUGGUCUUCUGACAUUGUAAAUUGCAGCUACAUUAACGCCAUUAUUUUCUUGUGUAUUUCCAAUGCUUUUUAACUCUGUAUUUCCUGUUGGUUUAUUGUUUUUACCCUGAUCUAAAUAUAUUUCAGUGUUGCUUUCAGUCUGUUAGAACCUGAUGAUUCCAGUUUUUUUACUAGAUUCUUUGAUGUUUUCUGCAGACAAAUUCAUCUAAAAGGUGUCUGUACAUUAGAAGGGUGAGCACAAGGAGUUGGAGAGUGUUGGCAUUUUGUAAAACCUGAUGAUCCUGCUUUUGUACAUCAAAAGUAGCAGCAGUAGGGGAAGGGUUAUCUGGGAAUUUAAUGUAUCUUCUAUCUAUUUGUGAAUAAAAUAGUAAUUAUGUAUGUGAUUUAAUGUAUUUUCUCUCUGAAUUUCAUGUAUGUUUUAGAACUACAAUUUCUGUUUCAUAUGAAAUAGUAAUUAUGUAUGUGAUUUGAAAAUGUGUGCAAUGGAAACAUGACUCAUGCAACCCACUUAUCAAAAUAAUUUGAGCACAUUUGAAAUUUUUGACGCGUGGGACCAGUGUAUGACAUUAUGAUAUUUGGGAAAAUGUAAAACAGUGGAAAAUAAAAUGGAAAAAAAUAAAAGAUCAUAUGCUGUAAAAGGCCGCAUCUAGAAAUAAAAAGGCUGAAUUGCUGGGCCAAGCCCAUGUAGCUAGCAAAAAUUAAUAGGAAAAAUAUACAUUAAAAAGGCCGAAUUGUUGGGCUAGGCCCAUGUAGAAAAUCGAAUUGGACCGGGCUGAAUCUUGUGCCACGUCAGAUUGCCACGCUGGAUGCCUACGUGGCCUGGGGAGGUUGCUAGUGACCAAAACGCCACAGUAGACGUAUUUUGGUCAUAAACGUCUUCGACCAUUCCAGAAGAAAGGUCGCUAUAGUCAGUUUAUGACGGCCAGCUUUUGACCUUAUGUUUUUGGUCACAAAAAGGUCACAAAUGGAAAUUUGUGACCAUUCAGUGACCAAUAGUGGUGGUCACAAGUUCACAUAUUUCUUGUAGUGAUUGUUCUUGAUAUAGAUUGCAAUCCUUCUUGCCCUAUUAUUCUUGGUAGACCUUUCCUUAGAACGGUUGGUGCGAUUAUUGAUAUGAAGGAAGCGAAUAUUAGAUUUCAAUUUCCAUUAAAAAAGGGCAUGGAACACUUUCCAAGAAAGAAAAUAAAAUUGACAUAUGAAACUAUCAUGAGAGCCACUUAUGGAUUGCCUACCAAAGAUGGCAAUACCUAGAUCUAUCCUCGCUGUUAUGCCUAGCUAGGGGCGUUAAAUGAUAGCGCUUGUUGGGAGGAAACCCAAUUUUAUUUUUAUUCCUUGCUUUUUGCUCCUGUUUAGUAAUAAAUAAAUUAUUUAGCCUUGGUUUUGGUUGUGUUUUUUGUGUUUAAUUAGUGUUUGUUCCAAGUAGAACUGUUGGGAAGGCUUGGAGAAAGUAUUGUUGAACUUGCUGUAAAAAACAGAAACUUUAGCGCUCACGAGAACUGCUGUCAUUUUUAUUUGACGAGUUAUAUUUAGUUAAUUAUUUUUGAAGAUGAUUAAUAGAUAAAUUCCUCACUUCCAACAAUUUAUUUUAGAAUUUUUGGGGUUCCAGAUCUUGCGCUAGCUACAGAUUACUACAGACUGUUCUGUUUUUCACAGAUUCUGUUUUUCGUGUGUUGUUUGCUUAUUUUGAUGAAUCUAUGGCUAGUAAAAUAGUUUAUAAUCCACAGAGAAGUUGGAAUACAGUAGGUUUAACACAAAUAUAAAUAAAGAAUGAGUUCAUUACAGUACCUUGAAGUGGUAUUUUGUUUUCUUUCGCUAACGGAGCUCACGAGUUUUCUACUUUAAGUUUUGUGUUGUGAAGUUUUCAAGUUUUGGGUGAAUUCUUUUGAUGGAUUAUGGAACAAGGAGUGGAAAGAGCCUAAGCUCGGGGAUGCCCAUGGAACCCCCAAGAUAAUCCAAGGACACCAAAAAGUCAAAGCUUUGGGAUGCCCCGGAAGGCAUCCCCUCUUUCGUCCACUUCCAUCGGUAAUUUACUUGGAGCUAUAUUUUUAUUCACCAACAUGAUAUGUGUUUUGCUUGGAGCGUCUUGUUUUAUUUUUGUCUUUGUGUCUUAGUAUGCCACAAUCAUCCUUGCUGUACACACCUUUUGAGAGAGCCAUACAUGAAUUAAAAUUUGAAAGAAUACUCUAUGUGCUUCACUUAUAUCUUUUGAACUUUGUAGUUUUGCUCUAUGUGCUUCACUUAUAUCUUUUGAGCAUUAUAAUUUUGCUCUAUGUGCUUCACUUAGAUCUUUUAGAGCACGGUGAUGGAUUUGUUUUAAAGAAACUAUUGAUCUCUCAUGCUUCACUUAAAUUAUUUUGAGAGUCUCUUAAUAGCAUGGUAAAUUGCUUAACAAUAACAUGAUUGGUAUUCAAGAUUUGUGAAACUUUCUUUUGAGUGCAUUGAAUACUAAGAAAAGUUGGAAGCAUGAUAAUUGUUUUGAGAUAUGGAGAUAGUAAUAUCAAAGUCAUGCUAGUUGAGUAGUUGUGAAUUUAAAGAAUAAUUGUGUUAAAGUUUGUGAUUCCCGUAGCAUGCACGUAUGGUGAACCGUUAUGUGAUGAAGUCGGAGCAUGAUUUAUUUAUUGAUUGUCUUCCUUAUGAGUGGCGGUCGGGGACAAGCGAUGGUCUUUUCCUACCAAUCUAUCCCCCCUAGGAGCAUGCGUGUAAUACUUUGCUUUGAUAACUUCUAGAUGUUUGCAAUAAGUAUAUGAGUUCUUUAUGACUAAUGUUGAGUCCAUGGAUUAUACGCACUCUCACCCUUCCACCUUUGCUAGCCUCUCUAAUACUGCGCACUCUUCACCGGUAUCAUACAGCUACCAUAUACCUUCCUCAAAACAGCCACCAUACCUACCUAUUAUGGCAUUUCCAUAGCCAUUCCGAGAUAUAUUGCCAUGCAACUUUCCACUGUCCCGUUUGUCAUGACACAUUCAUCAUUGUCAUAUUGCAUAUCCCAGUACACCGCCGGAGGCAUUCAUAUAGAGUCAUAUUUUGUUCAAAGUAUUGAGUUGUAAUUGUUGAGUUGUAAGAAAAAUAAAAGUGUGAUGAUCAUCAUUAUUAGAGCAUUGUCCCAGUGAGGAAAGAAUGAUGGAGACUAUGAUUCCCCCACAAGUCGGGAUGAGACUCCGGACGAAAAAUAAAUAAAAAAGGCCAAAGAAACCCAAAUAAAAAGAGGCCAUAAAAAAGAAGAGAAAAGGCCCAAAUAAAAAAAUGAGAGAAAAAGAGAGAAGGGACAAUGUUACUAUCCUCUCAUGUUAUCACUGUCAUAUACUAGUGGGAAUCUUUUAUUAUAGAACUUGGCUUGUAUAUUCCAAUGAUGGGCUUCCUCAAAUUGCCCUAGGUCUUCAUGAGAAAUCAAGUUGGAUGUACACCCACCUAGUUUCUUUUUGAGCUUUCAUAUACUUAUAUCUCUAGUGCAUCCAUUGCAUGAUAAUCCCUACUCACUCACAUUGAUAUCUAUUGAUGGGCAUCUCCAUAGCCCGUUGAUACGCCUAGUUGAUGUGAGACUAUCUUCUCCUUUUUAUCUUCUCCACAACCGCCACUUUAUUCCACCUAUAGUGCUAUAUCCAUGGCUCAUGCUCAUGUAUUGCGUGAAGAUUGAAAAAGUUUUGAAAAAGUUAGAGUUUGAAACAAUUGCUUGGCUUGUCAUCGGGGUUGUGCAUGAUUUAAAUAUUUUGUGUGGUGAAGAUAGAGCAUAGCCAGACUAUAUGAUUUUGUAGGGAUAACUUUCUUUGGCCAUGUUAUUUUGAGAUGACAUAAUUGCUUUGUUAGUAUGAUUGAAGUAUUAUUAUUUUUAUGUCAAUAUAAACUUUUGUCUUGAAUCUUUCGAAUCUGAAUAUUCAUAUCACAAUUAAGAAGAUUUGCAUUGAAAUUAUGCCAAGUAGCACUCCGCAUCAAAAAUUCUCUUUUUAUCAUUUUCCUACUCGAGGACGAGCAGGAAUUAAGCUUGGGGAUGCCUGAUACGUCUCCAACGUAUCUAUAAUUUUUGAUUGCUCCAUGCUAUAAUAUCUAAUGUUUUGGACUAUAUUGGGCUUUAUUUUCCACUUUUAUAUUAUUUUUGGGACUAACCUAUUAACCGGAGGCCCAGCCCAGAAUUGCUAUUUUUUUGCCUAUUUCAGUGUUUCGGAGAAACAGAAUAUCAAACGGAAUAAAACCUUCGGGAACGUGAUUUUCUCACCGAACGUGAUCCAGGAGACUUGGACCCUACUCCAAGGAGUCAAAGAGGAGGUCACGAGGGUGGGGGACGCCCCCCUAGGGCGCGCCCCCUGCCUCGUGGGCCCAUCGGUGCUCCACCGACGUACUUCUUCCUCCUAUAUAUAUACGUACCCCCAAACGAUCAGAACAGGAGCCAAAAACCUAAUUCCACCGCCGCAACUUUCUGUAUCCACGAGAUCCCAUCUUGGGGCCUAUUCCGGAGGUCCGCCGGAGAGGGUCGUCAUCACGGAGGGCUUCUACAUCAUCAUAGCCUCUCCGAUGAAGUGUGAGUAGUUUACCUCAGACCUUCGGGUCCAUAGUUAGUAGCUAGAUGGCUUCUUCUCUCUUGUUGGAUCUCAAUACAAAGUUCUCCCCCUCUCUUGUGGAGAUCUAUUCGAUGUAAUCUUCUUUUUGCGGUGUGUUUGUUGAGACCGAUGAAUUGUGGGUUUAUGAUCAAGUCUAUCUAUGAAUAAUAUUUGAAUCUUCUCUGAAUUCUUUUAUGUAUGAUUGGUUAUCUUUGCAAGUCUCUUCGAAUUAUCCAUUUGGUUUGGCCAACUAGAUUGGUAGUUCUUGCCAUGGGAGAAGUGCUUAGCUUUGGGUUUGAUCUUGCGGUGUCCUUUCCCAGUGACAGAAGGGGCAGCAAGGCACGUAUUGCAUCGUUGCCAUCGAGGAUAACAAGAUGGGGUUUAUUUCAUAUUGCAUGAGUUUAUCUCUCUACAUCAUGUCAUCUUGCUUAAAGCGUUACUCUGUUUUUAACUUAAUACUCUAGAUGCAUACUGGAUAGCGGUCGAUGAGUGGAGUAAUAGUAGUAGAUGCAGAAUCGUUUCGGUCUACUUGUCACGGACGUGAUGCCUAUAUACAUGAUCAUGCCUAGAUGUUAUCAUAACUAUGCUCAAUUCUGUCAAUUGCUCAACAGUAAUUUGUUCACCCAUCGUAGAAUACUUAUGCUCUUGAGAGAAGCCACUAGUGAAACCUAUGGCCCCCGGGUCUAUUCUCAUCAUAUCAAUCUCCAUCACUUUAAUCUUGCUUUGCUUUUAACCUUUCACUUUGCAUCUUUAUACCAAAAAUACCAAAAAUACUAUAUCUAUCAGAUCUCACUCUCGUAAGUGACCUUGAAGGGAUUGAUAACCCCUAAUCGCGUUGGUUGCGAGUAGCUAUCGUUUUGUGCAGGUAUGAGGGACUUGAGCAUGGCCUCCUACUGGAUUGAUACCUUGGUUCUCAAAAACUGAGGGAAAUACUUACGCUACUCUGCUGCAUCAUCCCUUCCUCUUCGGGGAAAACCAACGCAAGCUCAAGACGUAGUAGACACAUCCUACGAUAUACUCCCUCUCUCCCAGUUUAUUUGUUUUGAAUCUUUUCCUUUAUAAGUUUCAAAUUCAAAUUUAGAGCUCCCCAUCACAUGUUGAGAUUACAAUGUCCAUUAAAUCGUUGCGUGCAUGUAUAGUAAAGAAACAAAUCUUGAGUUUGGCACGAGUUCCUGCUGCGGGAGCACCACAAGCCCUGGCGCAGGAGUUACAUUUCCCUCUUAGGGCCGUCGGGACUAAGCUUCGGCGCCUUACUACACCUACCUUUGAGUCAAUAACAUGUGGACCCGAUAGGUGACUGGUCCACAUGUAAUGCUCCCGCGGGCAGAGGGGCAGUGGGGCCAAGAGGGGUGAGCCGCAGGUCGGGGGACGUGUGGUUUCAUGGGUUCGAGCGGCAUCGUGGGAAUUGUGGGUGGUUGUGGUAGAAACUUGAUGCUCGCCGCAUUUUAGGUGGCCCACAUGUCAUGCACACAAAGGCAGAGGGGUGGUGCAGCCGAGAGGGGUGAGGCGCACGUCGGGGGGCAUGGUGCCGUGGGUUGGAGAGGCACCGUGGGAAUCGCGAGAUGAAACGUGAUGGUUGCCGUAGUUGAACUUCCAUGGACAAGCUGUCAUGUCUACGGACACAUGCACUGCAUACCGAUCACUGGAAGGAGUAGCAGAGAAAGCUAUAUAUGCGGAUAAAUAGUUCCUUAUAGUCAAGCGGACCCACUCUACUACUUUGUUCCAAUGACAUGCACACCAUCGAAAUAGUCCAUCUAUAUCAAUAUACACCGAGAGGGAAUAUUUUUUUUUACAAGAGAGGAAAUAGUUCAUCCAUCCAUAAUGCCCUCCUGCUGGUGCAGUCUUUUCUUCUUCUUCUUCUUCUUCUUCUUCUUCUUCUUCUUCUUCUUCUUCUCAUUCUCUGUGGGAGACGUCUUCGCAACAAGCUCUUUGGACCUUGCAGCUAUCUCAAAACUCACACGGGCAUCGAGGGCAGCAUAUUUUAUCCGCUCGUACGUCAAGGGAUAAUUCUCCCAACCAGACGACCUUAAUGCCACCAUCUCGUCACCCUUCUGAAGAUUUGUACCGAGCACAAAAUUUGCUACGUCGAAUAGGGAUGGUGUCUGUUUAUCACAAACUUCUACAGGAAUUUUGAUUCUGGUUUGUAGGUCAGUGAUGCUAUUCAAAUCAAGCUUGUACGGCUCCAGCUUCUGUUUGUCCCCUUCGAUGGCUGCCCCACAGAAGUAUACAUCCUCCCGAGACAAGAAAUCGUGAAGAUCACCUGGUAUGGAGGGCGAGUGUAUGAUGUGGCACACCAAAAUAUCAUCUUCGAAGCACAGCUGAAGGACGGCGGUGCGCUGGGUCUUCCCAGGGGCACGCUCCGUGUACUCUGUGUCGAGACCGAUGACCCCCGUCUCUACCUUUUCGAGGGAGUUGGAUACAUUGUUGAUCCACUGCCGAACAACCCUUGGGUGGACGGUGACGGUGGCAACUAUGCGCAUCGAGCCUUCGACGAGGACAUGUUGGACGCUAAAACCUGCAUCUCGAUAUCUAUCGCCAUUUGGAACCGCUGGAACGGGGGGCUAUGGUUUGGAGAAUUAGGAUUAGAUGGCUAGUCUAACUGAAGUAGUAGAUGAUUAUUUAAAGAGGUUAAAACAAUGUGAAUGCAGUGGGGUUUGGAUGCAAAUGAAGAGGAAGGGGAGGUGAAGAAGCCGAGGAGAAUCGGUUCCCGAUGGAGAAGUAAAUGGGAGAAGUGGCGUUCAGGCAGUUGAUUAGACGGCUAGGUAGACUAAACGAAAAGGCUAUGCGGGUAGACUGAUGAGUCAUACCUGUUCGUGUACGUGCCCAUCCUUCCUGAUAGGUGGGACCUAUGCAAACAGAUAAAAAAUGUGUCGUAGGUUUUUUUUGAGCGCGUGAGUGGGAGACACAACAUUCUCUGGUUAAGGAAUACUCCCUCCAUUUAGGUGAGUAUAAGUCACCUUAUGAAAAUCAGGUUUUCCCAAAACCUUUAGGCGUGGAGCAUUAACUUCCUGCUCGAUCCCCUCCCAGCCUCGUUAGCCAGCAUUCUCUUCCUUUGCUGCCGCGUUCUACCUUUCCAUUUUUCCUCUUCUCAAGUGUUGAACGAUCUGCAUGCCAUCCUUGAUGCACCAGAACGACCACUGCAUGCAUCGUGGCAGAGCGUUGAUUGGGCAUGCACGAGAAUUUGGUUCUGCUCGCAAUAUGGAUGAUACCUGAACGAUGAAGUGAACAGGCAUGCUAGCACGGGAGACCUAUUUACGCUAUACAAUACUCGAGUACUCAUGUACCUACUGGUAGUAGUAGUAGUACAACUGUGGUACACUUGAUGGUCAAAAUACUAUUCAUCCGGUCCUCACAGUGAAGUGAGAACACCCUGCGCCUGACACUAGUCCAGGCGGCGUGUUCGGGUUACCAAAAUCAGCCUCACCCUGUGCACAGUGCAGUCUGUCACCGCCGUUGUACAGCACAUUGGCGCCUCGCCUCGUCUCCCUCUCCGCUCCCAUAGCACCACUCCAUCUCCAUCUCCUUCUCCGUCUCCAUCUCACUGUGCCCCCGUGUACCGUCGCCUCACUCACCUCCCCCAAUACCACUAUUCCCUCGCUAGCCGCUCCAGCACCGACAUCCUUCUGCCCCGUAAAUAAAGCCCCCUUCCAAACUCCACCAUGGUCGAACGCAAACCGCGCAGCAUCCAUAUGAGCCGCGAUUGGAGCAAUCUCCCCAGUGACAUCCUCGACCUCUGUUGUUCGUGUAUGGAUAUGUUGAGCGCCUUGCGGCUGGCUGCAUGCUCGAGGGACAUGCACACGGCCAUCGUCGAAGCGAGGCCAAAGCUUUUCAAGACACCCUGCUUGCUGCUAUCUGGUCUUGCGAGAUUGGCUCACCAUGAUACAGAGGCGUGCAUGAUGCCCCUCGACUUCAAUCCAAUCUCCAUUAGCCGAAACUUCUUUGCAGGUAUGUAGUGGGUCGUCGUACAUCAUUUCCCUUGACAUCGAUCCGAUCACCAUCGCCCGAAACUUCUUGGCAGGUAUGUACUGGGUCGGCAUGAACUCCCACUGGAUGGCUGCCUUCAGAGAAGACGGUAAAAUGUUGGUGCUCGUGAACUUCCAGACCUCCCAUGAGAUUAUCCUUCCUCCAUUGGAUUAUAUAGAGUAUUACCAUUGUGGUCCAAGUCAUCUAGAUUACUACGUCAGUUGGACGGACCUUGUUUUGCAGAAGAUUGUAAUCUGCCAAGUGCCCACACGACAUGCGAAUUACGCAGACUUCAAGCUAAUUGCCUUGUUCGACCGCGGACUCACCUAUCUUUACGCCGGUGCCUUCUUUAGCUGGAGACAACUCGGCUCGCAGUGGAUCAUCGUCAAAGCUGAUACACACUUCGGUGAUGCUAUUGAACACAAUGGCAUCAUCUACACGAUUGACAAAGCAGAUGGCACCACGUAUUGCUGGGAUGACGCGCGUAAGUUGUUUCCUCUCAUGUUAAUGAUGACGCCAUGACACUGUUUGAACUUUUUGUGAUGAUUGGCAUAUCUCUGUUUGAGCAGAAUUUGAGUAGAACUAUGGCAAUGUAUUAGAGACGCCAUAAAUCAGCUAUAUUUGGAAUGAGUUAAUUCAUGCGAUUGUGACCAUGUCAUUACAGCCAAUUUGUACCCUGUCAAACGGUUAGGAAUAUAUGGAUAUUAUCCUUAUUUUACAGUAAUCUAUAUACUACUACUAAAUAUGAGUGUGUAUCAAUGGCCAUGUUAGUUUCCUCAUUUUCAUGAUGUAGAAACAUGCACCACACUGUUGGUUUCAUCUAACCAUACAUUAGGGAAGUAAAUGUGCAUAUGGAGAACUCUAUAUUUGGAAGUAGUGAAAUCCUGCAAUGCUUACCAUGUGUACAUACCUAUAUUCGCCCUUCAGCAAUCAAUGUCUAGAAUAAUAUCCUCACAAAAAUUUUGCCCACAGAACACGAGUAUAUAACAAUGCAUGGUCUGUUAGUUACCUUGAAGAAUUUGUUUGUGAGAACAUAACAUGAUUACAUAACAUGCAUGGCAUGGUAGUUUCCUGUGAAGAAUCGAUUGCGAGAUAACAUGAGUAUAACCAUGCAUGGCACUUCUAUAUUUUCGAACCCAGUAUACAUUUCCCUGUAUUUUCCUCGCAGUUCCAACAGGGACAUAUCAAUGUUGUUUCUUGCAUUAUCCUACUCAUACUCUGAACAAUGCUGAUCUUACAUUAACAAUGCCUGUCCUUUUUGAUAUGAUGCAGUGUCCCUAUAGUUACUGUCCUUUGUAAUCACACCACCUUUGCCAAAAACAGGGAAGCACAACUGGUUCCUCACUCGAUCAGACGACGGCAAAAGACUGAUGAUCAUUUGGACACAUGAGUUAUAUUACAAAAACCCCACUGUACACAAGCAACGUGUAAUACGUGAGUAUCCGGACAGUGGCUGUUACGUCUAUGAGCAGGAUACCAGCUUGUUGGGGCCUUUAGGAUUUUUUUAGUUCGAGGCGGGUAAACAGCCUUGGUUCACACUCUCUAUUUCUCGGACUCAAUUAUCCGAUUAACCAGGAGAUCACCAUUGGCAAGGACCUUGAUGGCAGAGAGGCUCUGUUUGCUAUGGAAAACUGUGUCUACACGGCGAGCCCUAGGAGUUCGGGAGCAAACUCCCCUGAUUGUCAAUGAUACAGCCUGCAGCCAAAAGAAGGUGAGAAUGAAAAAGGCAUCUGGAUUAACUUUGAUCCUUGGAUGUCUCAAUUACGACAGGCAGUGAUGUGGUCCGAGCCUUCAGGUUGAUAGGUAAUUGGGCUGUUGCAUCGAAAGGGUGGAGUACUGGUUUCUCCGGAUCACUGGUCGCUGAAGCGGGGCUGCAAAUUAUGAUGGUGUUGGAUCAUCCCUUCGAAUGACUUUGUUAUCUUUGCUGUUGGUUCUGGAUGGGUAGUUCUUUCUUUUGUUAUGCAUAUUCCUUGUCAUUUGAUCAUCCUCGUCUAUGUCACUCUUACUAUGUAAUAGUUGCUUCUGUUUGGAAUGUCAUUCUCGUCUGGAUCAUGAGAGUCUGAGCGCUGCAGAUGGGUGCGUUUUGGUGGUGUAGCAAGACUUCUUAUGAACUAUCAUGUCUUGAUGUUUAUGUCAGUAGUAGUCCCUAGCCAGUGUUUGAAUGUUGUAUAUAUCGUUGUUUUGAACUGUUUAUUGUCUCGAACUACUGGUGGGCUAAAUGAGGGCAUCACCAUUCUCUAGUGUUCAGAGUAUAUAUCCUUUUUUCAAGUUAUAUAAUUUGAGGUCAGUGUCUUUUCGAUGAUGUACACAUGUUUGGGCCAGUGAGGUGUCGUUGAAUAUGGGCCGAGUAGUAACGCAAUGACAAACAGGUCAAUUAUGACUCUCAGGCCGGGCUCUCAAAAGAUCCUGGAAAAAAAGGUUGGGCUCUCCAAAAAAGAAUGAAUAAGGACUCUUAGGCCGACAUGUGGGCGCCACCGGUGUUUUCCUGCACUUGCGCGCCGAGAGCAUAUUGGUGCAUGCUCAAAAUUCAUGCUACCUUUUCAUCCGCAGUCUCCCACCCCUCCCCCACCUCUGGAAUAUCGAUUCCUACUCCAGUUCCCCCAGAUCCCCCUCCUGUACUCAAGCGCACUAUCAUGUCACCGGUCGACGCGGAUCUCCGAGCCGGAAAUCCUGAGGUCCGUCCGGCCUUCGGUCGCUACGUGCUGUCCCUCAACAGUGGCAUGGCGGCGCUUGACGACCAGUUUGCCGGCAAAGUGCUGAUGGUAACCAUCAACGACGACCGGCCUCCUGUCUCGCCGGAUGACCUUGUCAAAGGUCUUGGCAUUGCGCACGGCAUCCAAAUAAGUGACUUGGUCGUCGAAGUCUGUCCGCCAUCGGCUGAUUUCUUCGUCAGGUUCCGGACAACUUUUGACUGCAGUCGUGUGUUCGAAUCUUCCCGGCGUUUGUUCUGCGAUGGCACGUAGGUGAGCUUUGAUCGGUGGCACCCAGGAUGGGGCUUGGUGCCCUCUGAGCUUGAGUUUUUAACAAAGCUUACCUUCCACGGCAUGCCUCGACAUGCUUGGAACAACGAGUCCAUGAACGAGCUUAUCAACGACCUUGGAGGUGAGCUCGUAAGUAUGUUUGUUCCUCCAGACAGCUGGGCUCUGACGGUUAUGGCAUGGAUGAAGAAGCCGUCCACCAUACCGAAGGUGAUUGGUGUUGAGAUACCGGUGCAGGAACCGGGGUUGUACUAUUCAUCGCCACCAAGGCCGCUGCGGACCACGUUAAGGAUGUACCUGUAUCGAGUGUUCGUGCAUGUCGAAGAAGUGGUCAAUCCAUCAAUCGAAGUCCUGCCGCCGCUGCUGGUGCUAGGGUCCGUUGACGACGUCCAUUACAGGAGUCACCGUCAGACUUUCCCCAUGUUGCUCGGAACGAUGGAUGGCACAGGGCCUACUCCAUCGCACGGCGGAGGCCACUGCUUCUUUAGGAGAAGAGGCAGGGUUGGCUGCCUAGAUGUGCUCUAAUUUGAGGUAACAACUGAAUCUUGUCAGAUACUAGUUAAAUCCGAGCUAUGGGUGUGAAGCACUGAUAUGCCAGUACAUUUGAUUGUGACCUGUUCUAAUUUUGUACCUGAACUUUUUCUAGAAAGGGUUGUACGUCAACUUAAUGUGCUAGGAGAACUUAUUGUGUUGUCUGUCUGUUUUCUUUGCACAACAUUCAAGAUAUUUCCCCGUCAUUGAUAAAGACGAUUGUCGGUGUCAAAACCAGUAGAUCUCGGGUAGGGGGUACCAAGCUGUGUAUCAUGGAUCGAUGGGUAACAAGAGACAGGGGACACGAUGCUUACCCAGGUUCGGGCCCUCUUAAUGGAGGUAAAACCCUACGUCCUGCUCUUGUUUAUAUUGAUGAGUAUAGGGGUUACAAGAGUUGAUCUACCACUAGGCCGUAAAGGCUAAACCCAAGAAGCCAGCCUAUGGUAUGAUUGUAUGUAUAUGUUCUCUAUUGACUAGCCUGGCCUCGGUUUAUAUAAUGCACCAAUGGCCUGGGAUAACAAGAGUCCUAGCCGAAUACGCCGGUGGGGAGGAGUCCUUGUCUUGAUCACCAAGUCUUGUGGAAUCUUCCAUGUAUGCGGCAGCUGUCCGAACUGGCCCAUGAGUAUACGGCCAUGGGGGUCCUCGUCCCAAUCUAACAGAUUGGGAGAUGACGUGUUGAGUACCCCCUAGUCCAGGACACCGUCAGUAGCCCCCUGAACCGGUCUUCAAGUUAGAGACGCUCCUCGAUUCUUCCGAACUAUUCUUCAUCUUCGGUUGUCGGUCUUCAAAACUGGUUCAACAAAUCUUCUCAUCUUCGAUCUUGAGGAUCGCCGAAAUGCAUUCAACGAGUUUAUACGUCGGGUAUCCAAGGAGCCCCUUUAAGUUUUCGGCCUUUAUCAAUGCCUUGUUAUUUUUAUGCCACACCUCGGGUUUGAAGUUAUUCCCGGGAGGCAGUGUCCUCUUGCGUCCGAGCUCCAACGCCGGACUGCAUUCGAGGUAUCUUUCGCAGACGAGCACCAACGCCGGACCGAUUCUGAGCUCCAACGCCGGAAUGUAUCCGAGCUCCAACGCCGGACCGUAUCCGAGCUCCAACGCCGGACUAUGUCCAAGCUCCAAUGUCGGACUGUCAUAAAUCACCCUGGUUCAAAAAAGUUGAAGGGGUUUAGCCGAGCUUAAUGCCGAAAAUGCCCUCUAUGGAGCCAUCCACUAGCGCCCAAGCUUUAUGCCGGACUGCUUCUGAGGUGGUGCCCAACCCCGACUGUGGGCCAAUUUUUUGUCAAUAUUUUUGAUUGGUACAAUUUAUUCUCUGCUGAGAUAUAUAGCCAGUAGCCCUUAAGGUGUGUAUCGGUCUAAAACCUGAGAUGCACCUGAAGGAUGACGUAAGACCGCUGAUCCCAGUAGCCGCUGAGACUCAGGUUGAUUUGCAAAAUCGGCCUGGGGAUCAAGUCCUAGCUCGGCAGAAUACUUCGGGACACAAAAAUCGGCAUGCUCAGUCCUCGAGACUCGGGUUGGGUGCGGGCGACCAACCUGAGGAUCAAAAUCUCGUCGGAAACUGUAUUGCACUUAAAAUUUUCUACAUUGAACAGGCAAUGCAGUAGCCCCCGAGACACUGGUCGGGUGGCAACACCAGAUCAGGGGAUCGAUGUGCCCCUUUAAUAUUUGUAAAUAAUAAGCCUGAAGCCCAGUAGCCCCCGAGCCUUAAUGCGGGCACGGGUGGCCGAAUUAAGGAUCGAUAUCCAUAGUAAAAUCACAAAUUAUGUGUAAUGACUCUAUGUAUCCAAGUACUUUACGUCAUUAAUGCUCGGAUCCACAUUGUACAAAACUUUGUUGACCGACCGUUGGCUUCCACCUCCUCGGCCAGUAGCCGAGGAGUGUUUGUCCUACUUUAUAAAGCCUUUAUGAGGGCAAGACAAACAAGGCAAUCUGGCCAUACAGUUUUAUAAACAAAGGUACGUAGAGAGAUAUGUUAUAAUACAAUUUAACAUAAGAAAUGUCUUCCAAAGAAAAUAGUCCCGCUAUCGGUUCCUUUCUUUGGGUUGUCAUGCUAAGCAUGAUCAUGAAACCUCAGCUCUAAUGUAAGAGCAAAAUAUUGAGAAUUUAGUUUGGGAGGCCAGUUAAUAGCCCCCGGUAGUGUUCGGCGACAGUCGAGGUCAAGCCGUAAACACUUCGGCCAUUGUUAUGAAUGGCCUGUCAUUUAACACAGUCAUCGGAUCGCUGACCAGUUUAUGCUUAUUGUGACAGUCGGUUUUCGGCUUUCUCCACUGAGGUGCUUAACCAUGUGAGAUGGAAGCACAAUCGCAGUGGUUCUCCCUUUGCACGCCUAGCCGAACAAAGCGGAACGUAGCAAGCAAGUGCAGGAGCCGGGCAACCCAACUAUUGACCGUAGACACAAUUCGAAACCGAUGCAAAUAUAGCGAUAUCCGAGAAUGUUUUUGCCGAAUCUCUAAAGGUGUCCGGCGUUGCACUACGAGACUUGUGCUGAAAACACACAAAUAGUUUAAAAGUAUUGUAAGCUUGGAAAACCAAAAAACGUCAGUAAAAACUUGACGUCCGAACAAGAUCAAGUGUUCGGUGCCAAUCCGAAAAUUGGUCUUAGAAAAAAAAGUGCUUCUGUCGUGCUUUAACAUGUCACAUCCUAUCUCAAGACUUCAAGCAGGUCAGCCUACGGCUUCAACCUCCUAUCCCGAAGGCGGAGUACUUCUCAUUAGGCCGGUUUAGCAAACUAAACUCUAGCGGCUUUGAGAGAGAAAUUAGGCUCCCCGGCUAGUGACCACGCACUCGUGUCGAAAAAAGGAGUGAUGAAUAAUAAUAGUAAUAAAAACUUUGCAACAACUAAGAAGAAGAACACCUAUUAUAAAACGGCUCAUAUAAAUUUAAGAGCCCCCAAGUGACUUGGGUAAAAGAAUUUUAUGUAUAAUGAUUGUAUGUACCGAAGUACUAAUAUCAUAUCUUUGUUCACCCGAACUUUAAACGCGUCUUAACCGACCGUCGGCUUCUCCCUCUUCGGUCAAGGACCGAAAAGUGUUACGUACUCCACCUGUCGAGAAUAUCGACGGUGUUUCCGAUAACCAGGCAACCGGGCCAUAAGGCUGUAACAGACAAAGCGCGCUCAGGGAACUUAUGCUAUAUUACAGACGAAGUGUAAGAAGCAUCUUCGAAGAAAAUAGUACCCCCACUGAUACCUUUCUUCGGUGCUCAUUAUUACUAUGAGACUUGUGCAAUAGAUUUUUUGUACUCAUGAGUUCCAUUGUGUGCCGACCAUGAUUGAAAACAAUAAGAGCGCUAGCUUUCGGCUUCACCCAGUCUGAGGUCAGAGCUCGGAGGACCCGGUCGUGAAAAUCGCAGAGGUGCUCCCUUUACUCCCUAGCCGAACAAUCGGGAACGUAGGGGCAAGCACAGGAGCCAGGUAACCCAGCUUGCAAAUCGCUUAAGUCAAUAUGCUGCAUAUUGUGGCAUAAUACAUGAACAAGGAAUGAAGCCGUACAAGUAUAAUCAUAUGCAAGAGGAAAAGCUUCAUAAAGGAAGCCCCCAAAUAAAUGGGUAUUUCAAUUUGUGCGUCACAAACAAAGUUUGGACAAGGAAAUUUUUUACAAGCAACUUUUUUCCAAAAAGGUAUAAUGCUUGGUCGAACCAAACACAAGUUAAAAAUUUAAAACUUGGAGCAUGAAGGCAACUUAGAUGGUUAAUGUGUUCGGUAUUGACGACGUGAUCCGAGCUUGAUGCGGGACAAGGUUCCAUCCCCCAAGCCGGUCCCGAGGUGGCGAAGCAAAAAAGCUCGGCACGCCAAAGUGGUGACAUAGCACGGCCAAUGCAGGCCGACAGAGUGAUACCGAAGUCCCUGGCAUGGGGUAAUGAAGUGUUGACGAAGCCCCUUGUCCAGCCGAGGUGACGUGGUAUGUCAUUACGCCGAGUUGUCGAUACUGCCCAACCCGGAUCAUUUUCCUGUGCACAAAAAACAGUGCAAACCGGAGAUAAUGGUAAUAAUAGUAAUAAAAAUCAUUGCAUAAUAAAUAAUGUGUGCAAAGUGAGUAAUAAAAGAAAUAUGGCUUGGCGCCAAAGUCAGUGUCGAUGCAGGGCGUCGGCGUGAUGUGGUAAAGGCGUGGCAAAGUCUGAAUUCACAGGUCGGUCCGAGUUCCGGAUGCGGAGUUCGCCGGACUAUGUACGGAAACUGACCGAACCACCAUGCGACUGUCGUUAAUGCGGCCACCAUUUGAUAGACCUGAGUACAUAUGAUGGAAAAACUAGGGUAAUAAUUCCUUGGGAAGAAUGAACCCAAAUAAGCAAAAAAUACUAGGAUUAAUAGCACCUAGUUUAUUUGUUGUAGCGAUCCAAAGAAAGGUGAUUCCCAAAAUUGGGACUCGAUCCGCACACCCAUUGCCAGAUGGGCGAUAAAGCGAUGGCAUGGCGAUGCUGGAAAAGGUUGGCUUGCCGAGGCGAAGCCCUCAGUCUAGCUAACGUGACGAAGCUGGUCGGCUGGUGACGCCGAAGUCAUCGGAGUAUGUUAAUGAAGAGACGAUGAAGCCCCCGGUCUAGCCGAGGUGUUGGAGUGGCUCGACGAAGAGAUGCCGGAGUCUACCUGUCAGCCGAUGUGUCGAAACCGGUCAGCGUGUUUGAUGAUGAUUUGAAGAAGAGGCAGCAUGGUGAUGCCGACGCAGGUCAAGACUUGUGACGCUGCUCGAUGCAGCUAUCGCGUGGCGAUGCCGGUGUGCCCGCUUCGUGUAGUCCGUGGGGCAGCGACGUUGAUGAUGAUUUAUCCUUCGCGAUGCCGAACUCUUGUUCGGCUUGCCGAGAUGAUGAUCGAAGGAGUUGAGCUCGGUUCAAUAAAGCGGCGACGUGUCUAGCACAGGUCGGCAGCCGUGGAGCAAUACUGCCGGACUGGUUUGACACCAGCGUGAUGGUGAAGAUUACCUCAGAGGAGGCUUAAAAUUUUAUGUGUACGUGUUUAAAAACAACGCACAAUAACAUAGAAGAAAAUUUCUUAAAAAAGGUUGUCCAAUAUCACAUUCAUAAAGAAACAUGAAUUCUGGUCGGAUCCGUAUUCGCGCAAAAAAUAGAUCCGAAAAUUGUUGCGCUCAUCGAAGGUUUCCCGGAGUUUGAACGGUCAGAUCGAGCUGAAAUUUUGAGGGGUGCUAGAUACAGGAUCAACGGUUGGAUCUUCCAAACGAUGUCCGAGCUAGAUGCUGGACGCCACGCUCCAAACUCGUCCAGAUUCCCGUCCAGAUUCGAAACGGCUCCGGUAUAUCAUAGAUUGCCAGAGAUUCCUCCAUCGGAACUCGAUGAAAUUUUGCAUGGCUGUUGUAGUCUCAAUUUCGCACAAUCCCACGAUACUCGAGGAGGUGGUGGCGGCAGAUACGAGUUCGCUGUCCAGAAAAAUAGCACGGUCACUCGAGGGCAAUGUUGAUGUUGAGCCCCCGAGCUACAUGGAUGAUUCCUCCAUGAUCUUGAUAGAGAUCGGAGUUGAUGUUUGAUGAAGGACCUCGUCUGAACAUGGUGAUCCAAAUGCAGGGCGCAGUUCUUGGUCGAACCAAGAUGACCAGUCGAGCUAGUGACGGAGAUGCCGAAGUCGUAGUUGAUCUGCCGGCGAGCCAUCGAUCCUUUUGCCGAUCACACAUCGGAACUCUCAAUGAAAGCACCGAUGUCGGUGUCAAAACCGGCAGAUCUCGAGUAGGGGGUCACAAGUUGUGUAUCAUGGAUAGAUGGGUAACAAAAGACAGGGGACACGAUGCUUACCCAGGUUUGGGCCCUCUUAAUGGAGGUAAAACCCUAUGUCCUGCUCUUCUUUAUAUUGAUGAGUAUAGGGGUUACAAGAGUUGAUCUACCACGAGAUCGUAGAGGCUAAACCCUAGAAGCCAGCCUAUGGUAUGAUUGUAUGUAUAUGUUCUCUAUCGACUAGCCUGGCCUCGGUUUAUAUAAUGCACCAAUGGCCUAGGAUAACAAGAGUCCUAGCCGAAUACACCGGUGGGGAGGAGUCCUUGUCUUGAUCACCAAGUCUUGUGGAAUCUUCCAUGUAUGCGGCAGCUGUCUGAACUGGCCCAUGAGUAUACGGCCGUGGGGGUCCUCGGCCCAAUCUAACAGAUCGGGAGAUGAUGUGUUGAGUACCCCCUAGUCCAGGACACCGUCAACGAUGAACCGUUAUGUACGACUUCGUUGGUUUCAACAUAGCCCUUCCCAUAGUGAUCCACUGCUUCCAUCCUGAUUGUGUCGCCUGCGUGAAAUUUUUGUACGCAAGUUCAGUGUGCUAUGAUGUUUUAUAUGAUUGUGUCAACUAUAUAAGUUUUUACUGAGCGUCAGCAAUGCAUAUGGCUGAAAGAUGUAUUUACGAGCAUCGGCCGAUGGGUCUCUCUCUCUCUCUCACACACACACACACACGUGCACACACGCACAAGUGGGACCCGUUGAAUUAUUUAUUUGCUCGUGAUAGCUUUUAAUUAGGUUCCACUCUAAUCUAACUUUUUUCUUAAGUUAUUAGUUGAGCUCACUGACUUCAAAAAGUUGUACAGAAGCCUUGUUUGGGCCUUUCCUGCGUCGCUGAAUGUGGGCUGAGUAACCAUGUUAGGUUGUACUGUACUACACAGGCCUUUUCGCUAUUUUUUCUUAAAUAAUACAUUUUUUAUUAAUUUUCAUAAAUAUUACGCUGGGUAAUUUUUUUCAAAAAUAAUACACCGUCCGCCCGCUGCAGGCCGACUGGGCCUAGUUGGCCCACAGCAAGCCGAUUGGACUCCAGUCGGCCUACAACAGGCCGACUGGCCCCUGUCGGCCCAUUGUGGGCCGACUGGAGCUAAUUGGCUCGCUGUGGGCUAAUUGUUUUUGCAAAAGUGUUAGUCAUGUAUUUAAAAAAUAUUUGUAUUGUGACCUCCUCCGCUCGUUGUGGGCCCACUGUUGACUAAAAAAUAUGUUUUAAAAAGUAUUAAUCAUGUAUUUAAAAAUUGUUAAAUGUGUGUAUAAAAAAUAUUCCUUAUCUAUACAAUUUUUUUAAUGUGUGUAUAGAAAAUAGUUUUUUUUUCAACAUCAGCAAUGCAACUGGGCCGACAGUUGUACACAAUAUCCGGGUCAACUUGUUAUUCUCCGCCUCGCUGGGCUGCAAACUUUCCUAGGAGGUAUGCAUUAGGCUUAACAAGAAAAUAGACUUUAAGAAAUAAUAAAUGGGAUGUAAUUAUAAUAACUGGACAGUUACUAUGCACCAAACACGUAAUUAGUUUGAAAAAUAUAUUAUUUUUGGAAUUUGGAAAUUUUAAUUUCAUUACUUGUUGCGCGUGCAAUAUUUCGUUGGAUUUUAACAUAAUACAACUUUAUUUUGAAAUUAUAUUUAACCUGACUAGAAAUUUCGGAUACAAAUAUUUCAGAUCCCAUCAAAAUGUGAGAAUUUUUUUUGAAUUCUGUUUUGAGCGGUUGUUUGAAAUUAUUAAUCGUUGUCCUAGCUAGAAGUUGGCUGUACUUUUAACAAACUGUAAAUGGCGUGUAGUAAAUUCCAUUAGAAUUAAAAAUGGUUUGUACAUUCUUACAAAUCGCAAAUGGGCUAUAUGUUCUCUGCCAAAUCCGAGCUCUGGGCCUACUAAGUUAACGCGUACCAAGGGCUUUGUCAACUUAGUCAAUAUAAACGAUUCUAGCUGCAGUUAUCGUACGAUGUGCAUCCAACGGCAGUAGUGCUUCUUCAACCUCUGGUCUUCUUGCUCCAGCCGCCCAAAGCAGCGUCGGUCGUGUCGCGUGCUCCUGCCUCCCGUGGCUGGCUAUGAUUCCGCGAAGGCCUCACUGCCCCAUACUACUCCCACCACUGGCCAGGCCAUCCCUCUACUCACCCACACCCCCUGUUAUUCUGCGGCGACGGCAGCCUCACACCGCAGUCGAACCAGUGAACCCUCGUACUCCUCUCCGCGCGGGCUUCCACUGAUGUGUCUUCCCCGGCUCCGCGUCAUCCCCUUCCUAGGCCUCGCCGUCGUCUAGACCACCGCCCUGGUACUCUCGGCGCGGCGUGGUCAAAGUGGUCAAUGACCGACUUCCAUCGGAAGAGUACUACACAUAGAGAGGCUGAGAGCUAGGUCCACGGCAGCCGCAAGGAAGUGCCUCCUUAUUACGCGCAAAAUAAUUAUUCCUCCACCUGACAACGGAUACCCACCGGAUGGGCCACUGUAUUUCGCGAAAAAAUGAUUCGCCCCCUGACUGCUGGGACCCACGAGCUACAUCUUCACACGCAAGGAAGUGCGUCUGAAAAAAAACAAUUCACCCCCUGACUGUUGGGACCCACCAGGCCCCCGACUGCUGGGACCCACCAGCUACAUCUUCGCAUGCAAGGAAGUGCGUCCGGGCAAAAAAAAAAACGAUUCGCCCCAUGACUGCUAGGACCGACCAGCUAUAUCUUCACAGGCAAGGAAGUGCCUGACAGUCGGGACCCACCUGGUCGAAGCGUACAUAGCAUUGUCAUUCUGGUCGCGAAUGUGUAUGUACAUACUGGUCGAUGUAGAGGCACGCACGUGUCGUAGUAGAGGCACGCACGUAGCAUGUACACGUAUGUACAGCGGCCAGGGUGCAAGAAAGAAAAUACGACCACGUAUGUGUACAUACGGGCGGGUCUCGAACGCCUACUCGCGCAUACGUACGGCGAGGGCUCGUGUAGAUGCCUGGGUCGGAACGGAGAAACAGCGUCAUCGUCGUGUUCAUGGGGAGGCAACGGAAUGCUUCGGGUUCAUGGGGAGGGAACGGAAUGCGUCGUGUUCACGGGGAGGCAACGGAAUGCGUCGUGUUCAUCGGGAGGGGUUGGACGGAACAAGCGAUGGAAACGAGGCCUGGCGUACCGCAGAACGAAGGAAACGGCCUUGUGUUCGACCGGCCACGUUCGAAACGGGAUCCUGUUCAUGAGGAGGGGUCCGGCGUACCGCAAAACGGAGUUAACGGACCUCCUACGAUCGAAAUGGGGGUCGUGUUGAUCGGUAGGGGUGUGGCAUACCGCAAAACAGAGGAAACGGACUUGUGUUGGAGCGCUACGGUCGAAACGGGGGUCCUGUUCAUCGGGAGGGGUGUGGCGUACCGCAAAACGGGACUCCACGGGAUACUAUUCAUCUCCACCGUCGACCCCCUCCAUCCUCCACGAGCUACUGUUCAUCCACCGUCGACCUCCUCCAGCCUCCACCUACGACUGUUCAUCCACCGGCUACUGUUCAACCACCCCUCCACCAUCUAUUGUUCAUCCAGCCCUCCACACCAUGGGGUCCUGUUCAACCACCCCUCCACGGGCACCCCUCCACCGUCUACUAUUCAUCCAGCCCUCCACACCACGGGGUCCUGNNNNNNNNNNNNNNNNNNNNNNNNNNNNNNNNNNNNNNNNNNNNNNNNNNNNNNNNNNNNNNNNNNNNNNNNNNNNNNNNNNNNNNNNNNNNNNNNNNNNNNNNNNNNNNNNNNNNNNNNNNNNNNNNNNNNNNNNNNNNNNNNNNNNNNNNNNNNNNNNNNNNNNNNNNNNNNNNNNNNNNNNNNNNNNNNNNNNNNNNNNNNNNNNNNNNNNNNNNNNNNNNNNNNNNNNNNNNNNNNNNNNNNNNNNNNNNNNNNNNNNNNNNNNNNNNNNNNNNNNNNNNNNNNNNNNNNNNNNNNNNNNNNNNNNNNNNNNNNNNNNNNNNNNNNNNNNNNNNNNNNNNNNNNNNNNNNNNNNNGGUCCUGUUCAACCACCCCUCCACCGUCUACUGUUCAUCCAGCCCUCCACACCACGGGGUCCUGUUCAUCCACCCCUCCACGGGCACCCCUCCAUCGUAUACUGUUCAUCCAGCCCUCCACCACACCACGGGGUCCUAUUCAUCCAGAGGCAAUGCCACCGCUCACUAUUCAUCCAAACCCCCCACAACGCUCACUGUUCAUCCCAUCGAUCAGCUUCAAUUAGCAGCAGUAGCGAAGGAAUCGCUCGAUCGGGUUCAGUUAACAGCCAUCGAUCGAUUGCUCUGGUUCAGUAACGCGUAGCCUGCAGUGCAAUCGCUCGGUUUCAGUUAGAGCCCAACGCCUCGCUCGGGUUCAGUUAGAGCCAACGCCUCGCCCACACGUGCGUACGUGUACGAGAUAAACGCGCAUCGCUCGGCCCCCGACCUCCCACCGUAACCGGGAACUCCCCGAAAUUUUCCUCCCCCUCACUUCUACCAUGGUUUUUUCCGUCAUGGACGGCCCAAAGAAUGUCAUGCAGCUGCGUCUCCGGCCCACCCAGGACGAAAAACCCAUUUUCUGUCAUGAUGUUUUGUCAUAGAAGUAGGAGCCCACCACAUCUAUGAUGAUACCGGGUUUUGUCACAAUUAUCGUCAUAGAAGUGUCAUAUGUAUGACAGAAAAAAAUUUCGUUCGGCCCAAAAUGUCACGGAUGUGUCUUUUUUUUGUAGUGUAUUUUUGGGACUAACAUAUUGAUCCAGUGCCCAGUGCCAGUUCCUGUUUGUUGCAUGUUUUUUGUUUUUCAGAAUAUCCAUAUCAAACGUAGUCCAAAUGGGAUAAAAAUUGACGGAGAUUUUUUUUGGAAUAUAUAUGAUUUUUGGGAAGAAAAAUCCACGGAGACGGUGCCCGAGGUGGCCACGAGGCAGGGGGCGCGCCCUUGACCCUCGUGGGCCACCCGUAAGGCGGUUGAUGCCCUUCUUUCGCCGCAAGAAAGCUAAUAUCCGAAUAGAUAUCGCGUUAAAAUUUCAGCCCAAUCGGAGUGACGGAUCUCCGGGAAUAUAAGAAACGGUGAAAGGGAAAAAUCUGAGAAUGCAGAAACAGAGAGAGACAGAGAGAGAGAUCCAAUCUCGGAGGGGCUCUCGCCCCUCCUGUUCCAUGGAGGCCAUGGACCAGAGGGGAAACCCUUCUCCCAUCUAGGGAGGAGGUCAAGGAAGAAGAAGAAGGAGGGGGACUCUCUCCCCCUCGCUUCCGGUGGCACCGGAGUGCCACCGGGGGCCAUCAUCAUCACUGUGAUCUACACCAACACCUCCGCCAUCUUCACCAACAUCUCCAUCACCUUCCCCCCUCUAUCUACAGUGGUCCACUCUCCCGCAACCCGUUGUACCCUCUACUUGAACAUGGUGCUUUAUGCUUCAUAUUAUUAUCCAAUGAUGUGUUGCCAUCCGAUGAUGUCUGAGUAGAUUUUCGUUGUCCUAUCGGUGGUUGAUGAAUUGCUAUGAUUGAUUUAAUUUGCUUGUGGUUAUGUUGAUGUCCUUUGGUGCCCAUCAUAUGAUUGCAUGCGUGGAUCACACCCUAGGGUUAGUUGUAUGUUGAUACGACUAUGUAUUGGAGGGCAAGAGUGACAGAAGCUCCAACCUAGCAUAGAAAUUGAUGCAUACGGGAUUGAACAGGGACCAAUAUAUCUUAAUGCUAUGGUUGGGUUUUACCUUAAUGAACAUUAGUAGUUGCGGAUGCUUGCUAAUAGUUCCAAUCAUAAGUGCAUAGAAUUCCAAGUCAGGGAUGACAUGCUAGAAGUGGCCUCUCCCACAUAAUACUUGAUAUCGGUCUAGUAAAGUAGUCAAUUGCUUAGGGGCAAUUUUGCAACUCCUACCACCACUUUUCCACACUCGCUAUAUUUACUUUAUUGCUUCUUUACUUAAACAGCCCCUACUUUUUAUUUACGUAAUCUUUAUUAUCUUGCAAACCUAUCCAACAACACCUACAAAGUACUUCUAGCUUCAUACUUGUUCUAGGUAAAGCGAACGUCAAGCGUGCAUAGAGUUGUAUCGGCGGUCGAUAGAACUUGAGGGAAUAUUUGGUCUACCUUUAGCUCCUCAUUGGGUUCGACACUCUUACUUAUCGAAAACUGUUGUGAUCCCCUAUACUUGUGGGUUAUCACCCCUCAUACCACGGAAUAACGCCCUUGCCUCGUGUUCUUCCCGGGUGUUCAGGAUUUCCCAGGGCACGUGUAAGCUCGUCGUUCUCUCCGUUGGGCUCGAACACCCCCGAUCGAGCCUCUUGUAUUGCAACAAGUAUCUUAUCUUGGGCUUCGUUCAGACAUGCCUUCUUCGAAACUAAGCCUGUCUUCGGGUCUAACUCCCCCCCAUGCGCAUAGAACCAAGUCCUGCACCUGGGGGGCCAGCUCAAUGUAACUGGAGUGACACCUGCAUCCUCCAUCUCUUUCUCAGGCUUAUCCCACUUAGGCAUUGCCACCGCGUAGCCACCUGGCCCCAGCUUAUGGAACUUAUCCUUUUUUGCUGCAUUGGCCUUGUUUAUUCUCGACCGUUCCUUAGAUAAUUCCGAUUCCUUGAAUUUCAUGAAAUCGUCCCAAUGAGCACUUUGCUUCUGUAGUGUUCCCUUGAAUACUGGAGUCUUCCUUCCUCCCUUGACGUACUUGUCCCAUACACGUUUCUUGUGGUUGUUGAAUGCAACCGCCAUCUUCCUAAGAGCAGUGUCCUUGACUUUCUCCACAUCUGCAUCUGUGAAAUGAUCUGGUAGGGUGAAAUGUUCCAUGAGAGAUUCCCAAAGCAGAACUUUUUGUCUGUCAUCGACAAAAGUAAGAUCUGGACGUGGCUUUGCUGGCUCUCUCCAUUCUUGAAGGGAGAUCGGGAGUUGGUCCUUCACAAGAACUCCGCACUGACGAAUGAACUUGUCCACAAUCUUCUUAGGCGCUAACGGUUCGCCAUUAAGUUUGAUGGCCUCGAUAUUGUACUUUACGCCCUCCUUCAACUUUUUGUUCGGGUCUCGUACUGUCCCGCUGCCUGAAGAUUUGCUCGAUCCGGAUGGCUCAAAGAAGAAAGAUCGAUUCGUUAAUAUAUAUUCAAGUCAUUUAAAACAUGUGAUGAUCACCAGAUGCCUGCUUAUAUAAAUAUACCUCGCCGGUGUUUUUUGUUUCAAGAUCAAAAUUUUCUUCGUCAUGUUCAUAGUUCAUGACUUCAUCAAUUAGGUCGUCGCGAUCGAAUAUCAUAUCACCCUCCCCGGUGUAGUUUAGAUAUUCGGAGCCGUCAUAAUAUUCUUCAUUCUGAUCAUCAUCUGGCCCGGGAGGAUGGCGUAUGAUAUUGAACAGGGCCUCUACUCCCUCUCUGUCGGUAUUGUCCGCCAUAGCUUUUAUUUAACUAAUCCAAAAGAAAUAUAAAACAAUUUAGUAUUCAAAUUACAAUGCAUGGAUGCAAUCAAUUAAUAAGGAAAAACUGAAUCAAUCAUAGUACAUAAUAAGCAUCAUCGAAUAUAAUCUUGAAUACAUCGUCUCGAAUAAUAGAAAUAAUCUCGAAUACAUCGUCUCGAAUAAUAUAUAUAAUAUCGAAUAAAUCACCUCGAAUAUUAUAUAUCAAAUACAUCACUAGCUAGCUAAUAAAGAUCGAAUACUAGAGAGUAAUCUAGGCCACUCGGGGUUCCUUAGGCGCGGGCGGUGGACAACCAUAGUGAAGGAACCAUCAUUGGAUCAUAGCUCGGGCGAUCUCCCCAAAGAACCUGCCAGCUAUUGGAGAACCUGACGUCUAUAGCAGCCAUGUAGCGAUGGACGUGCUCGUCCUCCUCCCUGACACGAUGACGUACCACCUCCGGCGGGGCCGGCUCCCAACGUAGCGAAAGUGGCCCACGCGAAUGCCACCAAAGGAGAUCAGGGUCGACGACGGGACCCGGGGCCGGGUUCCACACCAAGCGUCUCGCCCCUGAAGGUAGCACCUCCCAGUGCCAGCCCGGCGGAGCCCAUUCUCGGACAUGGGUCCUCUGAAGCAGGACGUCGUCGCAGACGGGUCGACGGCGAGGAUGCGGGCCGGGCGUUGUCGACAACAAAUACUAUAUGCCGCAAAAGUAAAGUAACAUUUUUUAAAUGAUGGAUUGUGAUUUCAUAUAUGCAAAUUCUAAAUUUUAUAACUAAAAAUAUAAUAAACUAAAAAAACAUUGACCAUAUCUAAAACUAACAUUUCUAAUAUUUCUAUAACUAAAAAACAGAAAAAUUUAUAACAUUUCUAUAUAACUAACAUUUAUAAUAUUUCUAUAACUAAAAAACAGAAAAAUUGCUAACAUUUCUAUAAUAAUGUGUGUGUGUGGACAUGGCGGCCGGGGCAGGAGCUCACCGGCGAGGCACAGCGACGGGGGCGGCGACGGGGACGGAGACGGGAGGUGACGACGGGCAUGGGGACGGGGACGAGCCGGGCGNNNNNNNNNNNNNNNNNNNNNNNNNNNNNNNNNNNNNNNNNNNNNNNNNNNNNNNNNNNNNNNNNNNNNNNNNNNNNNNNNNNNNNNNNNNNNNNNNNNNNNNNNNNNNNNNNNNNNNNNNNNNNNNNNNNNNNNNNNNNNNNNNNNNNNNNNNNNNNNNNNNNNNNNNNNNNNNNNNNNNNNNNNNNNNNNNNNNNNNNNNNNNNNNNNNNNNNNNNNNNNNNNNNNNNNNNNNNNNNNNNNNNNNNNNNNNNNNNNNNNNNNNNNNNNNNNNNNNNNNNNNNNNNNNNNNNNNNNNNNNNNNNNNNNNNNNNNNNNNNNNNNNAGGAGAGGGAGAGAUGAGAUACUGAUUUUUUUAAGUGUUUUCUUAUAUAGAACAACCUUUAGUACCAGUUGAAGCCACCAACCGGUACUAAAGGUCUGUUUUGGCCAGGCCAAGCGGCGGGAAGCGCACCCCCUUUAGUACCGGGUGGUGGCUCCAACCGGUACUAAAGACCCCCCCCCCCUUUAGUACCGGUUUGAGCCACCACCCGGUACUAAAGGGGGUGCACUAGCGCAGGUGCGGUGCAUCAUUUUUAGUCCCACCUCGCUUGUCGAGGGGCGUCCGCACUGGUUUAUAAGCCCCAGUGCAGUAGCUCUCUCGAGCUCCUCUCCAAAGUAGGCCUACUGGGCCUAAAUGUUCUGUGCUGCCCUGUGGGCCUACUGGGCCUUUGCGGGCCUGCAUCCUGGCCCAACAACAUGUUGGGUUUCUAGUCGUAUGCAGGCCGUUGUGGCGCAGUAGGCGGGCUUUUUUAUUUUCUUAUUUUUUGCUUUAUUUAUUUUUGUUUUAUUUAUUUUUGAGUUGUUUUUUGCUGUAUUUAGAGUUUAUUUUUGAAUAUUUUUGCUUUAGGUACAAAAAAUUACAAACUUUCUAUAAGUGCCGGUAGUUUACAAAUUUGAAUAGUUUAUAUUUUGAAUUAUUUGAAAUUUGUGUGAAUCACUAGUUUGUGAAUAACUUAACUUUGAAAAUAGAUUUUUCAGUGAUUCUUUUUUCUUAUGUUUAAUAUUAGUGUGUUUUAUCAUUAUAUUCAAUUUGGUAAUGCUUAGGUUAUUUAAAAUGAAAUGCAAUUGUAACGGAUGAGUCUUUGUCUGAAACCCUGAUACUUCGAAAGAGAUUGUCCAUUUCGUACAUGAAGUGCAUCCUGUUUUUGCGGAUGCUCGGGUCAAUAUUCACUGUGAAUGGAGCAAUUUCAACAAACAUUUUUAAUAAUCUCCUGACAUGUCUGUCUUGUCAUCCACCCCCAUGAUGUUUCUCUUCCCAGAAAGAACUAUGUGCCGCUUUGGCUCAUCGUAUGAUGCAUUCGCUUCCUUAUCUUUUCUUUUUCUCGGCUUGGUAGACAUGUCCUUCACAUAGAAAACCUGUGCCACAUCAUCGGCUAGGACGAAUGGUUCGUCUGCAUACGCAAGAUUGUUGAGAUCCACUGUUGUCAUUCCGUACUGCGGGUCUUCCGUUACCCCGCCUCGUGUCAUAUUGACCCAUUUGCACCGAAACAAAGGGACCUUCAAACCACGUCCAUAGUCAAGUUCCCAUAUGUCAUGUAUAUAACCAUAAUAUGUUUCCUUUCCCGUCUUGGUUGCUGCAUCAAAGCGGACACCGCUGUUUUGGUUGGUGCUCUUCUUAUCUUGGGCGAUCGUGUAAAAUGUUUUACCAUUUAUCUCGUACCCUUUGAAAGUCAUUAUAUUAAAAGAUGGUAACUGGGACAGCGAGUACAGGUCAUCUUCAAUAGAGGCGUCAUGCAUGGUACGUGUCUGCAACCAGCCGGCAAAACUCCUGGUUUGUUCACGUGUAAUCCAGUCAUCACACCGCUCCGGGUGUUCGGAGCAUAGAAAAUUCUUGUGUUCGUCCAUAUACGGAGCCACCAAGGCGGAAUUCUGUAGAACUGUGUAGUGUGCUUCAGUGAAAGAAUGUCCAUCCAUACAUAUUAUUUGAUCCCCUCCUAGCGUGCCUUUUCCAUCCAGUCUGCCCUUAUGCCGCGAUUCAGGAACACCAAUCGGCUUAAGGUCAGGAAUAAAGUCAAUACAAAACUCAAUGAGCUCCUCAUUUCCAUGGCCCUUGGAGAUGCUUCCUUAUGGCCUAGCACGGUUAUGAACAUAUUUCUUUAAGACUCCCAUGAACCUCUCAAAGGGGAACAUAUUGUGUAGAAAUACAGGACCCAAAACGUUAAUCUCUUCGCAUAGGUGAACUAGGACGUGUGUCAUGAUGUUGAAGAAGGAUGGUGGGAACACCAACUCGAAACUGACAAUGCAUUGCACCAAAUCAUUCUCUAACCUUGGUAUGAUUUCUGGAUCGAUUACCUUCUGAGAGAUUGCAUUGAGGAAUGCACAUAGCUUCACAAUGGCUAAUCGAACGUUUUCCGGUAGAAGCCCCCAAUGCAACCGGAAGCAGUUGCGUCAUAAUCACGUGGCUGUCAUGAGACUUUAGGUUCUGGAACUUUUUCUCUGCCAUGUUUAUUAUUCCCUUUAUAUUUGACGAGAAGCCAUACGGUACCUUAAUACUGAGAAGGCAUUCAAAAAGAUUUCAUGGCGUAGCUGGCAUGACCCUGAUGUAUGCCGUCUUUUCCGUGCAUGCGUUGCUGGUCCUCCCGUGCCUCGGGUGUAUCUUUUGUCUUCCCAUACAUGCCCAAGAAGACAAGCAGGGUCAUGCAAAGAUUCUUCGUCAUGUGCAUCACGUCGAUUGCGGAGUGGACCUCUAGGUCUUUCCAAUAGGGCAGGUCCCAAAAUAUAGAUUUCUUCUUCCACAUGGGUGCGCGUUCGUCAGCGUCAUUCGGAACAGGUUGUUCGCCAGGACCCUUUCCAAAGACUACCUUCAAAUCCUUGACCAUAUCAUGUACAUCAGCACCAGUACGGUGGCGAGGCUUCGUCCGGUGAUCUGCCUCACCUUUGAAAUGCUUGCCUUUCUUUCUUAUGGCAUGCCUGCUCGGAAGAAAUCGACGAUGUCCCAGAUACACAUUCUUGCUACAAUUAGCCAAAUAUAUACUGUCGGUAUCGUCCAAACAGUGCGUGCAUGCGUGGUAUCCCUUGUUUGUCUGUCCUGAAAGGUUACUGAGACCAGGCCAAUCAUUGAUGGUCACGAACAGCAACGCCUUUAGGUCAAAUUCUUCCCCCAUGUGCUCAUCCCACGCACGUACACCUAUUCCAUUCCACAGCUGUAAGAGUUCUUCAACUAAUGGCCUUAGGUACACAUCAAUAUCGUUGCCGGGUUGCUUAGGGCCUUGGAUGAGCACUGGAAUCAUAAUGAACUUCCGCUUCAUGCACAACCAAGGAGGAAGGUUAUACAAACAUAGAGUCACAGGCCAGGUGCUAUGGUUGCUGCUCUGCUCCCAGAUACGUCUCCGUCGUAUCUACUUUUCCAAACACUUUUGCCCUUGUUUUGGACUCUAACUUGUAUGAUUUCAAUGGAACUAACCCGGACUAACGCUGUUUUCAGCAGAAUUGCCAUGAUGUUGUUUUACGUGCAGAAAACAAAAGUUCUCAGAAUGACCUGAAACUCCAUGGAAUAUCUUACAAUAAAUAAUAAAAAAUCCUCGCCAAAUAUGAAGACCAGGGGGCCCACACCCUUGCCACAAGGGUGGAGGGCGCCCCCCCUCCUAGGGUGCGCCCCCUACCUCGUGUUCCCCUGGAUACCUCCCGACUCCAACUCCAACUCUAUAUAUCUGCUUUUGGGGAGAAAAAAAUAGGAGAGAAGAAAUCAUUGCGUUUUACAAAUAUGGAGCCACCGCCAAGCCCUAAAACCUCUUGGGAGGGCUGAUCUGGAGUCCGUUCGGGGCUCCGGAGAGGGGAAUCCGUCGCCAUCGUCAUCGUCAACCAUCCUCCAUCACCAAUUUCAUGAUGCUCACCGCCGUGCGUGAGUAAUUCCAUCGUAGGCUUGCUGGACGGUGAUGGGUUGGAUGAGAUUUAUCAUGUAAUCGAGUUAGUUUUGUUAGGGUUUGAUCCCUAGUAUCCACUAUGUUCUGAGAUUGAUGUUGCUAUGACUUUGCUAUGCUUAAUGCUUGUCACUAGGGCCCGAGUGCCAUGAUUUCAAAUCUGAACCUAUUAUGUUUUCAUCAAUAUAUGAGAGUUGUUGAUCCUAUCUUGCAAGUCUAUAGUCACCUAUUAUGUGUUAUGAUCCGUUAACCCCGAAGUGACAAUAAUCAAGAUACUUACCGGUGAUGACCGUAGUUUGAGGAUUUCAUGUAUUCACUAUGUGCUAAUGCUUUGUUCCGGUUCUCUAUUAAAAGGAGGCCUUAAUAUCCCUUAGUUUCCAUUAGGACCCCGCUACCACAGGAGGGUAGGACAAAAGAUGUCAUGCAAGUUCUUUUCCAUAAGCACGUAUGACUAUAUUCAGAAUACAUGCCUACAUUACAUUGAUGAAUUGGAGCUAGUUCUGUGUCACCCUAUGUUAUGACUGUUACAUGAUGAACCCCAUCCGGCAUAAUUAUCCAUCACUGAUCCGAUGCCUACGAGCUUUCCAUAUACUGGUUUAUGCUUAUUUACUUUCCCGUUGCUAUUGUUACAAUUACUACAUAAUACCAAAAAAAUUACUUUGCUUUCAUUACUCUUUUGUUACCGUUACCACCACUAUCGUAUUACUUUUCUACUAAACACUCUGCUGCAGAUACUAAGUUUCCAGGUGUGGUUGAAUUGACAACUCAGCUGCUAAUACUUGAGAAUAUUCUUUGGCUCCCCUUGUGUCGAAUCAAUAAAUUUGGGUUGAAUACUCUACCCUCGAAAGCUGUUGUGAUCCCCUAUACUUGUGGGUUAUCAAGACUAAUUUCUGGCGCCGUUGCCGGGGAACAUAGCUCUAUUCUUUGAGUCACUUGGGAUUUAUAUCUGCUGGACAUGAUGAAGAAAUUGAAAGAUGCCAAGACAACAAUUUAUCCCUCAACUACUAGGGGAGGUAAGGAACUGCCAUCUAGCUCUGCACUUGAUUCACCUUCUGUGAUGAGUAAGCUUGCGACACCUAAACCUGCUUCUGCUAUUCGUUCUGAUAUGUCGCAUGUUAUUGAUGAUGAUACUUCUGCUAUACAUGAUACUUAUGAUGAAACUACUUCUAUGCUUGAUACUACUGUGCCACUUGGUGAUUUUCUCGAGGAACGACUUGCUAGAGCUAGAGAGGUUGAAAAUAUUGAAUCUGAUUAUGAUGAUGAAAGUGAUGAUGAGAGAAUCACUUGUUAUUCCUGAGGGUUAUUUAUUUGAUCAAGAAGCUUCUUUAGCUAUUUUAGCUUGCAAAGAUAGAUAUGAACUCAAAAGGUUAUUAGCUAAAUGGAACAAGCAAUCUCUAAAUGCUAGGAUGAAACCUGACCCUGCUUUUGCUACUUCACCUAUCUGUGUUACUGAUAAGGAUUAUGAAUUCUCUGUUGAUCUUGAUAUAAUUACUUUAGUUGAAUCUGAUCCUUUUCAUGGAUAUGAAUCUGAAAUUGUUGUAGCACAUCUUACUAAAUUAAAUGAUAUAGCUACCCUGUUACACUAAUGAUGAGAGAUCUCGCUACUUUUAUAUCCUUAAAAUAUUUCCGUUCUCAUUAAAGGGUGAUGCUAAGAUAUGGUUUAAUUCUCUUGAUCCUGGUUGUGUGCGUAGUCCCCAGGAUAUGAUUUACUACUUCUCUGCUAAAUAUUUCCCUGCUCAUAAGAAACAAGCUGCUUUAAAGGAAAUAUACAACUUUGUGCAAAUUAAAGAAGUGAGUCUCCCACAAGCUUGGGGGAGGCUUCUCAAGUUACUUAAUGCUUUGCCUGAUCAUCCUCUUAAGAAAAAUGAAAUACUUGAUAUCUUUUAUAAUGGACUAACCGAUGCUUCCAGAGAUUACCUGGAUAGUUGUGUUGGUUCUCUUUCCAGGAAAAGAACACCGGAUGAAGCUGAAAUCUUAUUGAAUAAUAUGUUAACAAAUGAAAAUAAUUGGGCACCUCCCGAGCCAGCUCCUGCUCCAAUUAAUGAUCCUAUUCCUAAACCAACUCCGAAGAAGAGAGGUGUUCUAUUUCUCAGUCCCGAAGAUAUGCAAGAGGCAAAGAAAUCUAUGAAAGAAAAAGGUAUUAAAGCUGAAGAUGUUAAGAAUUUACCUCCUAUUGAAGAAAUAGAUGGUCUUAAUUUACCGCCUAUUGAAGAAACAUAUGAUCUUAAUCCUUUAUUUAUUGAAGAACCUCCAGACCCCGAUAACCCGACAUAGGUAGUAAAGGUAAAUUCUCUCUAUAGAUAUGGUAAAGAUGAAAUCCCUCCUGCUAAAAUUGCUAGUCAAUGCUUGGAUGAGUUUGAUAAUUUUAUGUUUAAGCAAGAAAACUUCAAUGCUUAUUUUGGUAGACAAUUAAAACAAGAUGCUGAUAUGAUUAAAUAUUUAGGUGAUUAUAUGGCUAAUUAGAGGUGAACUUAAACUUGUUAGCAAACAUGCUUUUAUGGUUACCACUCAAGUAGAACAAGUACUUAAAGCUCAAAAGGAAUUGCUCAAUGAGAUGAAUAGUAAGAAAAAUGAUUAUGUUGUUAAAGUGGCUACUAGAACUGGUAGAAUGACUCAGGAACCUUUGUAUCCUAAAGGCCACCCCAAGAGAAUUGAGCAAGAUUCUCAGAGAAAUAAUAUUGAUGCACCUAGUUCUUCUAAAAGGAAGAAAAAGAAAAAUGAUAGAACUAUGCAAACUUCAAGUGAACCUAUUGCUGAACCACCUGAUAAUCCAAAUGAUAUCUCUAUGUCUGAUGCUGAAACACAAUCUGGCAAUGAACAUGAACCUAAUGAAAAUGUUAAUGAUGAUGUUCAUAAUAAUGCUCAACCUAGUAAUGAUAAUGCUGUAGAAAUUGAACCUGCUAUUGAUCUUGAUAACCCACAAUCAAAGAAUCAACGUUAUGAUAAGAAAGACUUUGUUGCUAGGAAACAUGGUAAAGAAAGAGAACCUUGGGUUCAGAAACCCAUGCCUUUUCCUCCCAAACCAUCCAGCAAAAAGGAUGAUGAGGAUUUUGAGCCCUUUGCUGAAAUGAUUAGACCUAUAUUUUUGCGUAUGUGAUUGACUGAUAUGCUUAAAAUGAAUCCUUAUGCUAAGUACAUGAAAGAUAUUGUUACAAAUAAAAGAAAGAUACCAGAAGCUGAAAUUUCCACCAUGCUUUCUAAUUAUACUUUUAAGGGUGGAAUACCAAAGAAACUUGGAGAUCAAGGAGUACCUACUAUACCAUGCUCCAUUAAAAGAAACUAUGUUAAAACUGAUUUAUGUGAUCUUGGAGCCGGUGUUAGUGUUAUGCCUCUCUCUUUAUAUUGUAGACUUGAUUUGAAUAAGUUGACACCUACUGAAAUACCUUUGCAAAUGGCUGAUAAAUGAACUGCUAUACCUGUCGGUAUUUGUGAGGAUGUGCCUAUUGUAGUUGCAAACAUUACUAUUUUAACGGACUUUGUUAUUCUUGAUAUUCCCGAGGACGAUAGUAUGUCUAUUAUUCUUGGAAGACCUUUUCUUAAUACUGCAGGGGCUGUUAUUAAUUGCAACAAAGGCAAUGUCACUUUUCAUGUUAAUGGUAAUGAGCAUACGGUACAUUUUCUGAGGAAACAACCUCAAGUUCAUAGUAUCAAUUCUAUCAGAAAAAUUCCAUCGAUUAUAUUUGGAGGGUUUGAAUUUCCUCUUCCUACUGUCAAGAAGAAAUAUGAUAUACUUAUUAUUGGGGAUGUGCAUAUCCCCGUUGAGGUAACCUAGUGUUAUUCGAAAUUUCUCCGGUUUCAUGUUAAUCGGAAUGAGUUUGUUAACAAGACUUGAUCAACCUUGUUAGUGGAUUCCUUUUGAUGAGCAUGAGAUGGAUGAAACUAGAAGCACAACCUUCUGUACCCUCUCUAUUCUUUCUGUCAUUUAGUUGAAAUAAAGUAAAAAAUAAAUAAUUUUCUGUGUGUUAUCUGAUUAUCUGUGCAAUAUAAAAACACCUCGAAAAUAAAAGUUCUCCAAAUACCCUGAAAAUUAAAUAUGAUUUUUUCUAGAAUAUUUGAGGAUUUAUGGAACAAAGAACACACCAGGGGGGCCAACCACCUUGUCACGAGGGUGGAGGGCGCGCCCACCCCCCUAGGGCACGCCCCCUGCCUCGUGGGCCCACGGUGGCCCUCCUCCACUUAUUCUUGCACCCAUCCUCUUCUUCUUCCUCCCACAAACACGAAAAACCAACUCAAGCACGAGUUCCGGCCCUCUUUGCUGCCAUUUUCGAUCUCCUUGCUCAAAGCACCUCUCACAAAACUGCUUGGGGAGAUUGUUCCUUGUGACUCCUCCAUUGGUCCAAUUAGUUUUUGUUCUAGUGAUUUAUUCAUUGCAAAUUUUUGCUGCUUAAGUGACCCUGUUCUUGAGCUUGCAUGUCAAAUUUAUAUGGUCAAAAGUAGUUUUGAUGCAUGAUAUAGGCCCUUGGCACUUGUAGGAGUGGUUGCUAUCAAUAUUAUUGAGUUUGGUUUACUUUUAUUUUGAAGUUACUAAAAAAUUUCAGAAUUUUUUAGAGGAAGAAAUAUGCUUAGGAAAAUGUUCCAAGGUGGUUCUUCAAAGAAGUAAGGACCCAGGCUUGCAAUGCGUGAUACUGAUGAAGAGCCACCAAGAGACGCUCCAGUGCGUCCUUGUGAGUGGCCUUCUGAAAAUUUUAUGGAUCGAGUGGGAAUUAAAGAAGAAUUUAACGCAUAUUUGCGUAAUGCCGGUCUUGAGGACUUUGAGGCAGACAAAUGCCCCCAGUAUCAUGAUCUCACAAGCUCUUUUGUGAGGAGGUUUGAGUAUUCAUCUUCGCGUAAUUCUCCUUCAGUCAUGUUUGAUCUUUAUGACAAAUCUUAUACCAUGGACUUAGAGGAUUUCACUUUUGCUUGCAAACUUCCACAAUGGGGUAGUGUUAGGGAUCCCCCUAAAUCUGAAUUUAGAAACUUUCUUGCUAGUAUAACUGUAGGGGAAUCUAGAGAUAUAACGCAAGCUACCAUAGGGAGCGUUCACUUUCCUGCUAUACAUUAUUUUGCUCUCUUCAUAGGUAGGUGCAUAAAUGCUAAGGAUGAAGCAUGUCACAUGUGUGUCCCUGACCUUAGCAUUCUCAGGAGUGUUGUGUCAGGAGACCAAUCUUAUCAUAUGGGAGCCAUUGUAGCUCGUAGGUUGCAUCAUAAUAGAUAUAAUGGAGAUUUCUUUGGAUGAAUUUAUGCAACCCGCUUAGCUAAAUUUCUUGAGAUAGAUGUUCGUGAAGGAGACAUGGAGUUGCCUCCUGCUUAUUUAGAUUUUGAUUCUAUGGUUUCUCACCAUUUUGUCGAGAGGAAUGAAUCGCCUCUCCAGUACCGACUAAUCUUUGACAGACGUCGUGUUGUCCGUAUUACUCUCCCUGCUCCUGUUUUCUUUGAUUAUCAGGCAAGAGGAGGAUAUACUAUUACCACAGAGGAGGCAGAUGAGUACGAGAGGAGAGCAGAGGCCGCUCGUCGUCACACUGCAGCUCAGGAGGCGAUAGUCGCUGCAUUGCCGUACGACCCCAACUAUUAUUAUGGAUAUCAGCCAGGCCAGCCAUGGCCAUAGACCAACUUAGGCCAAAAGCCUAAGCUUGGGGGAGUACGUAUUUCUCACCGACAUUACAUUUAUAUUCACACACACUCAUUACUAGAUGUCGGUGCUCAUACUUUUUCAUUGUAUCAUCCAUGCUAGUUUAUUUCCUUUUAUGCUUUCUUAUUGUGUGUUUAAUAAACCUUAAGAAAAUACCAAAAAAAUUAGUUGUAGAUGUUAAUUAAUUUACUUUCCAUGCUUGUAGUAGUAAUUAAAAAGAAAACCCAAAAAUAUUUCCUGUUCUUUUUUUGCUUGUUGGGAGCUUUCCUGUGUAAAUAGUUUUAUUUCUUUUAUUUUCUUUGGGGGUCAGUAGGAGAAGACCAUGAUUAAAUUGUUGAAGUGGCUCUUAUAUGCUUUAUUGUUGAUUUAACCAAGACCCAUAUUGUUUUGUCUUCUCCUGUUUAUUGAAUGCUCGCAGAUUCCAGCUUAGUCCAAUGCACGUGUACUCUUAUUAUUAUUCACAUCAUUCGUUCAUGCGAGUGAAAGGCAAUUAUGAUGAUAUAUGAUGGACUGACUGAGAUGAGAAAACCUGGUAUGAACUCGACCUCUUUUGUUUUUGUAAAUAUGAUGAGUUCAUCAUUCUUGAUUCAGCUUGUUAUGAAUAAACAUGUUCACAAUGAAAAUUAGAGAUCAUAGUUGCUUGUGCCAUGCUUGAUUAGCUAUGAGUUAUAAUGGUUUACCUUGCGUGCCAACAUGCUAUUGAGAUGGUUAUGGUGUGGUAUGAUGGGGUGGUAUCCUCCUUUGAAUGAUUUAAGUGACUUGACUUGGCACAUGUUCACGCAUGUAGUUGAAACAAAUCAACAUAGCCUUCACGAUAUUUAUGUUCAUGGUGGAUUAUGUCCUACUCAUGCUUGCAUCCAAUGUUUAUUAAUUUUAAUGCAUGUACAUGGUUGUUGUCGCUCUCUAGUUGGUCGCUUCCCGGUCUUUUGCUAGUCUUCACCUGUAUUAAGCAGGAAUACUGCUUGUGCAUCCAAACUCCUUAAACCCCAAAGUUAUUCCACAUGAGUCCACUAUAUGCGGUAUCUACCUGCCAUUCCAAGUAAAUUUGUAUGUGCCAAACUCUAAACCUUCAAAUGAUCUUCCUAUUUUGUAUGCUCGAAUAGCUCAUGUAUCAACUAGGGUUGUCUGUAUCUUCCAUGCUAGGCGGGUUAUUCUCAAGAGGAGUGGACUCCGCUCCUCACUCAUGAGAAAAUGGCUGGUCACCGGGAUGUCCAGUCCCAUGCUUUAUGCAAACUAAAUCAAAAAUAAUUGCAAAACAAAACUCCCCCUGGGACCUGAUGUAUGUUGAAGGCACUUGUUGUUUCGAGCAAGCCAUGGAUUGAUGUUUGUUGGUGGAGGGGGAGUAUAAACUUUACCAUUCUGUUUGGGAACCACCUAUAAUGUGUGUAGCAUGGAAGAUAUCGCCAUCUCUUGGUUGUUAUGUUGACAAUGAAAGUAUACCGGUCAAAAUAUUAUUCACCUCUAUUUCAAAACCGAGCUCUGGCACCUCUACAAAUCCCUGAUUCCCUCUGCGAAGGGCCUAUCUAUUUACUUUUAUAUUGAGUCAUCACCCUCUUAUUAAAAGCACUAGCUGGAGAGCGCAGCUGUCAUUUGCAUUCAUCACUGUUAAUUUAUAUUGGGUGUGACUAUGAUUGGAUCUCUUUUACCAUGAAUUACAAUGUCUAGUUAGUCCUUGAUCUUUAAAGGUGCUCUGCAUUUAUGUAUUGCGGUAUCAGAAAGGGCUAGCGAGAUACCGUCUUGUUAUAUCAUAUUAUGAUUGUUUUGAGAAAGUGUUGUCAUCUGAGAUUUAUUAUUAUGGCUUGCUAGUUGAUUAUGCUGUUGAUAUGGGUAAUCAUGAGACCUGAGAAUUAUUGCAAAUGUGGUUAGUUAUAAUCUUUGCUGAAAACUUGAAUGCUAGCUUGACAUAUUUAUAACAACAAGAGCAAACAGAGUUUGUAAACGUUUUUCUGUAUUUAUUUCAGUUUGUCAACUGAAUUUCUUGAGGACAAGCAAGGGUUUAAGCUUGGGGGAGUUGAUAUGUCUCCAUCGUAUCUACUUUUCCAAACACUUUUGCCCUUGUUUUGGACUCUAACUUGUAUGAUUUCAAUGGAACUAACCCGGACUGACGUUGUUUUCAGCAGAAUUGCCAUGAUGUUGUUUUAUGUGCAGAAAACAAAAGUUCUCGGAAUGACCUGAAACUCCACGGAAUAUCUUACAAUAAAUAAUAAAAAAUCCUCGCCAAAGAUGAAGACCAGGGGGCCCACACCCUUGCCACGAGGGUGGAGGGCGCCCCCUACAUCGUGGGCCCCCUGGAGACCUCCCGACUCCAACUCCAACUCUAUAUAUCUGCUUUCGGGGAUAAAAAAAUAGGAGAGAAGAAAUCAUCGCGUUUUACGAUAUGGAGCCGCCGCCAAGCCCUAAAACCUCUCGGGAGGGUUGAUCUGGAGUCCGUUCGGGGCUCCGGAGAGGGGAAUCCGUCGCCAUCGUCAUCAUCAACCAUCCUCCAUCACCAAUUUCAUGAUGCUCACCGCCGUGCGUGAAUAAUUCCAUUGUAGGAUUGCUGGACAGUGAUGGGUUGGAUGAGAUUUAUCAUGUAAUCGAGUUAGUUUUGUUAGGGUUUGAUCCCUAGUAUCCACUAUGUUCUAAGAUUGAUCUUGCUAUGACUUUGCUAUGCUUAAUGCCUGUCACUAGGGCCCGAGUGCCAUCAUUUCAGAUCUGAACCUAUUAUGUUUUCAUCAGUAUAUGAGAGUUCUUGAUCCUAUCUUGCAAGUCUAUAGUCACCUAUUAUGUGUUAUGAUCCGUUAACCCCGAAGUGACAAUAAUCGGGAUACUUACCAGUGAUGACCAUAGUUUGAGGAGUUCAUGUAUUCACUAUGUGCUAAUGCUUUGUUCCGGUUCUCCCCGCUGCCACGGUGUAACAUCCCAAAUUUCCAAUUUGGAAUGUUAUACAUUAGAUCAUCAUUACAUAGCAUAUUUUAUUGCUUUUAGGCCUGAUCCAGAAAUUCUAGGCAACUCAAGGACCCACGGAGAGAGUUGGGGAUUUCGUUCUUUUCAUAUUUGAGUUUUCUCAAAUUUUGAAAAUAGGAUCAUUUGAUUUUAUUUAUUUUAUCUUCAAUUAUUUCUAUUAUAAAAAUAUGAAAGAGGGAAUAAAAUGACUUUCCCAAAAUAAAGAAAUAUUGAGAGUUUAGUAAUAAAAUCAAAUAAGUUUUUGUUUUGGAGUUUUUCACUGUUUUAUUUGAAUAUAGGAAAAAUUGCACGUUUUCAAAAACUACAUUUAGGGCCAAGAAAAUGUUCAUCCUAUUCUAAAUAUUUUAUUUAGACGGUGAAAAUUUGUUUUGGCAAUUUUAGAAUUUUAUUUAUCUAUUUAGGAUUUUUCUUAGUUCGGUAGAAUUUUUUAAAAAAAAACCUGCGCGCCCGACUGGGCCAGGCCGGCCCGCCAGGCGCCACCGCCUCCUCGCCCAUGCUGCCGCCGGACUCGGAGAGUCCGAGCCGGAGCCGCCGCCGCCGCCCGACCCCCCUCCCCAAGUCGGACGCCGCCGCCCCCCUCCCUCCUUUAUUUACCACCCCAGGGCCCCCACCCUGGAGCCCCGAGUCGCCGCCGCCNNNNNNNNNNNNNNNNNNNNNNNNNNNNNNNNNNNNNNNNNNNNNNNNNNNNNNNNNNNNNNNNNNNNNNNNNNNNNNNNNNNNNNNNNNNNNNNNNNNNNNNNNNNNNNNNNNNNNNNNNNNNNNNNNNNNNNNNNNNNNNNNNNNNNNNNNNNNNNNNNNNNNNNNNNNNNNNNNNNNNNNNNNNNNNNNNNNNNNNNNNNNNNNNNNNNNNNNNNNNNNNNNNNNNNNNNNNNNNNNNNNNNNNNNNNNNNNNNNNNNNNNNNNNNNNNNNNNNNNNNNNNNNNNNNNNNNNNNNNNNNNNNNNNNNNNNNNNNNNNNNNNNNNNNNNNNNNNNNNNNNNNNNNNNNNNNNNNNNNNNNNNNNNNNNNNNNNNNNNNNNNNNNNNNNNNNNNNNNNNNNNNNNNNNNNNNNNNNNNNNNNNNNNNNNNNNNNNNNNNNNNNNNNNNNNNNNNNNNNNNNNNNNNNNNNNNNNNNNNNNNNNNNNNNNNNNNNNNCACCCCACGCCGCCCGGAACCCCGCCGGAGCCCCGCCGGAGUCCGAGCCGAGGUAGCCGUCGCCGCCCAGUUUUCUGAGAAAAAUUGAUCUGGUUUUUUUUAGAAAACCCUAGUUUCAUUUUUUAAAUAGAUCGGUUUUUGGUUUAUUUAUUUAGCGAGCGUUCGCUCGUUCGUUUUUUUAACGAAAGCGUUCAUCGUUUAGUUCCAGAAAACGAAUGUUCGUUCGUUAUUCUGUUCGUCAUUUUUCUUUUUCUCGGAUUAUUCCGCGAUUAUUUCUAAUCGCGAUUUCUGAUCCGGUUUACGUUUUAGUGUAACUCUUCGCUCGUUUAUCAGAAUCAGGCGAUUCAAGCGCCUGAAGUUUCGCCUCAAAACCCUCUUUCUGUUUAACCAACUCAAACAAGUUUUUGCCUCUGUAAAAUUUGACCUAGAUCCAGAUUAGUAAACGAAGUUUGUUUCUUUUGCCGUUUGUCUUUCGUUGCUUCGUUCGAUUUGAUUUCUUUUGCCAACUGGAGUUCUUAAGUUGAACUUUCUGGUUAGAUCUCUUAUUUGAGUUUUACCUGUGCAUUAGUUGAGUAGUUAUUGUAUGCUUGUUUGUUUGUUUGCGUUAGAGUACCCGUUGUGCGCCGCUUGGUACUUCGAAUCCCUAGGUUUCACGGAUCAUCAGCAAGGCAAGUGACACUUUGAUCAUACCUCCUACUACCCAGUUUUUAUUGCAUUAGGUCAAUCCUCAAACAUUGUAUGAUUAGGAUCUAAUUAAAUUGUGGGUUUUGGGAAGUAGAUGAGGUAGUACCUAUUACCUGUUUCUUUAUCAAACCCUGGGAGUUACUUCUACGUUUGCUUAUAUUGCCAUGCUAUGCUAGUAGACGUGGAUUGGGUGAGUGUAUCCAUGACAGAUGUGAGAUUGUUAAUUAAUGGUUUAUUUAAGGUGGAAACUUAAACACACAUUUGGGUGGAUUGAGGCACCUGGGUAUUCCAGCGAUUGCCUGUUUUUUCUUUUGGACCGCCACCCAGACUCAAAGGGAUCAUGAGAUUAUUCAUGCUAGAAACUUCCGUGUGCAACCACAAGCUACUAUGGGCUCUAGCAUAGUUGAUUAAGUCAUGCGAACUCUUACAGUGGUAGACUAGUAGAUGUAGGGGAAAGUAGGUGUAACGGUCUACCCGAUCGUAAGGUGCUAGCGCUUCUGAAAAACUAUGUCUCGGUCAUCCGUUUCUCAAACACCAUGUAGUGCGAGAACCCCAACGGAGGAGAUCGAGUCUUGUGGGGAAAAGUGUGCAAACCUCUGCAGAGUGUAUAAACUAAUCAUGGUUAGACGUGUCUCCGGUUAUGGACAACCUGAGUAUCUAGUACCUGGAUUAUCAUGUGAAUCUCAUCAUGUUACUCUAAUUAAUUUUGUUGGGUUUUAAUGAUGAUGUUUAAUUGGGAUUGAGAGGGUGUCUACACUCUUUAUGUUUAACAACUACCAUGAUAGUUAAAUAAAAAUUUAUUCCUUUGCAGUAGGGAAAAAUUGGCUUUACGCAAAACUGUAACCAUAGAGCUUUCCACCAGCCAAAUAUGCAUGCAGUAUAGCCUUAUUCCUUCAUUGCUCUCUAUGUGUUACUGCUCCCCAAAAGGAUUAAUGCCAUCUGCGCUUAGACCAAACCAUACGUUCCUUGCGUCAUCUGCAAACUCCUUCCCGUACUUUCUUUCGAUUUUUCUCCACUGCGACCCGUUAGCGGGUACUCUCAACUUUCCGUAUUUCUUACGAUCUUCUCUGUGCCAUCGCAUCGCCUUGGCAUGCUCUUUGUUUUGGAACAAACGUUUCAACCGUGGUAUUAUAGGAGCAUACCACAUCACCUUGGCAGGAAUCUUCUUCCUGGGGCGCUCGCCCUCGACAUCACUAGGGUCAUCGCGGCUGAUCUUAUAGCGCAAUGCACCGCAUACCGGGCAAGCGUUCAAAUCCUCGUACUCACCGUGGUAGAGGAUGCAAUCAUUAGGGCAUGCAUGUAUCUUCUGCACCUCUAACCCUAGAGGGCAGACAGCCUUCUUUGCUUCGUACGUACUCUCGGGCAAUUCGUUGUCCUUUGGAAGCAUAUCCUUUAUCAUUACCAGCAACUUUCCAAAUCCCUUGUCAGAUACACCAUUCUCUGUCUUCCAUUGCAGCAAUUCCAGUGUGGUGCCCAGCUUUUUCUUGUCACCUACGCAAUUCGGGUACAACAAUUUUUUGUGAUCCUCUAACAUGCGCUGCAACUUCUUCUUCUCCAAAUCACUUGCGCAGUUUCUCUUUGCAUCGGCAAUGGCCCGACCUAGAUCAUCAACGGGCUCAUCCGAUGCCUCUUCUUCAGCUUCUUCCCGCAUUGCCGGCUCAGCUUCUUCCCACAUUACCGGCUCAGCUUCUUCCCUCGUUGUUGUAUCAUCGUAUUCAAGGAACCCAUGGCCAGGAUAGUUGUCGUCAUCCUCUUCUUCUUCAUUGUCUUCCAUCAUAACCCCUCUUUCUCCAUGCUUGGUCCAAACAUUAUAGUGGGGCAUGAAACCGAACUCAAACAGGUGGACGUGAAUGGUUCUUGACAUAGAGUAAUUGUGACCAUUCUUACAGCCAGCACAUGGACACUGCAUAAAACCAUCCGCUCGCUUGUUUGCCUCAACCGCAAGCAGAAAAGUACGCACGCCAUUAAUGAACUCGGGAGAGCAUCGGUCAUCGUACAUCCAUUGCCGACUCAUCUUCAAUACACAGCACCGAAAACAUCAAAUUAAUACAAUACAUAAAGUUCAUACAUAAAGAUCAUAUAACACUUAAAUGCAACAAACAAAUAACUCUCUAGCUAAAGAAUUUAAAUGCAACAACAAAUGCGAUCAAGAUCGCAACUAAGGUAACAAUUGAUCCAACAACAUAAUGAUACCAAGCCUCACUAUGAAUGGCAUAUUUUCUAAUCUUUCUAAUCUUCAAGCGCAUUUUCUCCAUCUUAAUCUUGUGAUCAUCGACGACAUCAGCAACAUGCAACUCUAAUUCGAUCUUCUCCCCCUCAAUUCUUUUCAAUUUUUACAUCAAAUCCUCGUUUUCUCUUUCAACUAAAUUUAACCUCUCGACAAUAGGGUCGGUUGGAAUUUCCGGUUCAACUACCUCCUACAUACAAAUAUCUACCUCCUAAACACGAAAUGCAAUGAAUAGUUUUAAAAGAGAAUAUACCACAUCCGAAUCAUAACCCGGACGAGGGCUGACGGGGACGGAUAUCAAAACCAUGGCACUAUGUAUAACAAACAACGUAUGGGUAAGAUAAUUAUACGAGUAACUAUAUAUCCAAAUCACACAAACAUCAUUUUUUUAUAUAAAACUUCAUGAACAAGAGGCUCACCACAAGGUGGUGCCGGCGACGGGACGUUGCGAGCGAUCGACGGUGGUUACGACGGAGAUUUAGAAGGUACUAAGUAAACCACACCUACAUAUGCAAACUAAGUGUUAUUUUUGACCUCAAAUUGCAUAUAAAUCCAAUACUAGGACAUAUAUAUAAUUCCUCCCAAAUUACUAAACUCAAAAAUCAAUCACUAUAUAAAGCAUUGCACGAGCUAAUCUAGCAAUGAGAGAUGAAAGGAAAAAGUUGCUAACCUUUGUGAUCAUUUGAAUGGAUGGGGGCCUUCAAAUCUUGGGCAAAAUGUGUGAUGAGCUUGAGAGGAAGAGGGAAAAGAACAUAGAGGAGAGGGGAAAGGGAAAGAACAGAGCGAGCUCGGGUGGACGAAGGGUCUAUGUAGGACGACCUUUAGUACCGGUUCGUGAUACGACCCGGUACUAAAGGUGCUGGAGGGGCCCCGGACUGACAACAUCCUGCCACCACUCACUUUAGUAACGGUUCGUGGCACGAACCGGUGCUAAAGAUUCGCCACGAACCGGUACUAAUGAGAGCGGCCCGGCUAGCCGUUGAAACCGGCACUAAUGUACACAUUAGUGCUGGCUCAAAUUCAAACCGGCACUAAUGUGCUUCACGUUUGACCAUUUUUCUACUAGUGGGUAAGGGUAGUGUUAUUAGCUUGCAUAAUGUAAUAGUAAAAAAGAUGUGAUGCUUUGAUAAAUCAAGUUUAGUCAAUUCAGGUUGCUCUUGAUAAGCAAACUGAUCUUAUAAAAAAGCAAAAUCAAAUCCAACUUAAUGCUUCGAUUGAUUUGGUGAGAUGUUGCAUCAAGGCUUAUCUUUCUGAGGCCAUGACGAGUCAGAAGAGUCAAAAUAUUCAAAAAAAAUUAAGGAAUUUUUUUGAGACUUGGUACAUACUUUGGCAAACCAAAAUAAAGCUAUAUGAAAUGUAGUCCUGGAGUGAACCCAAUGGUCAAAUUUUCUGGCUCCGCCCCUGAUCUUGCAUGUAAUUUAGAGAUGACAAAAGAAAUGUCUACAAUGGAUCAUCUCUUAGCCUUAUCUUCAAUAACUAGCCCUUCCUAAAAAUAUGGUGAGACAUAUUGUGCUAAGAGAUCAUCUCUUGUCUUCUCUCAAAUAAGAGAAGACAAGCUUUUUCUUAUGAGUUCUUUCUCCUACACCUCAUCAAUUAUUCUACAUGCCACUCUCAAGAUAGCAUCAUUGUACACGCCCUAGCAGGCGCUGCACAGGAAGGCGUACGUCGGUAUGUCCCGCCGCUGUAUAGAUAGAUAGAUAUAUAGAUAGAUUAGAAGAUAGAAUAGAUAAAAUAGAUAGAAGGUAGAUAGAUAGAAUAGAUGCAUGGCCCAUAAGCCACUGGUGCAUCCGGUGCACCAGUUUGGUUGUUCCACAGGAUAAUUUUCGUUCUCUGUUGCAUGUGCCCAUUAGUUUCUACUCUCACAUAUACGCACCCUGUACAUGUCCUACCACCAUUUCUCCCAACCCGGAACAGAAUAGAACAAAGCUAGCAGUCACUCAUAGGUAGCCACCAUGGACGCGGCCUCGGUGCUUCUCCCCUUCGUCCUGGCGCUGGUGGCGAUCCCGAUCUUGCUCGCGCUACUCGACUGGCUGCGCCUCCCGCCGGGCCCGUGCCCGUGGCCGGUGGUAGGCAACCUGCGCCAGAUCAAGCCCGUGCGUUGCCGCUGCUUCCAGGAGUGGGCGGAGCGGUACGGGCCAAUCUUCUCCGUGUGGUUCGGCUCCUCCCUCACCGUUGUCGUCUCCACGCCGGAGCUGGCCAAGGAGGUGCUCAAGGAGCACGACCAGCAGCUUGCCAACCGCACCCGGAACCGCUCCACCCAGCGCUUCAGCCGCAACGGCCAGGACCUCGUCUGGGCCGACUACGGCCCGCACUACAUCAAGGUGCGCAAGCUGUGCAAUCUUGAGCUCUUCACGCAGAAGCGACUCGAGGCGCUCCGCCCCAUCCGGGAGGACGAGGUCACCGCCAUGGUCGCGUCCGUCCAUCGCGCCGCCAUCGGCCCCGGUAAGCAAAGCAAGCAACCGAGAUCGCACCUUUUUUAUGUUCUUUUUCACCUCCGCACACUGACAUUACUUAUGCCAUGCAUUAUUGUUGCUGCUGCAAAUAAACUCGUACGUCGAGUGGUUGACGAAUUGCUUUCUCCUGUUAGACUCGUGUUGGGAUGGGAGUUCGCCGGAUUAGCAAAAUGUCUAACUGUUGUGUACCUUUCUUAGUGUCAAGCUUGCAUGGAAAGGAAAAAGAACCCCGCAAAAAAAAAGAGCACUGUUAUGCGACGCUUUGGAUCCGAUUUCAGUACCACAAAUAAUACGAGCCAUCCAUCGAAUCGUCGUGCUAAGGCCGGAUGCCAAAGCAUUGUACACACUGAUUCUGACAAGAAAAAGCAUUCAUAGCAACAUUUUAUAAGAUUCAUACCAUAAUUCUAAUUGCAACAUUCAUAACAAUAUGUUAUAAGAUUCAUUCAACAAAUAUAACAAGAUUUGCUAAAUGAAAUCAGUGUACAAUAUAUCGUUUGCUAUAGCGCGUUAUAGAUUCGCUAUAGUAGCAGAUUUUAAAGGAUGCGCUAUUUUGUCGUAGCACACUAUUUUUUCCCUUGUUAAUAACACAAUUCUAAUUGCAAAGUUCAUAGCAAAAUACUAUAAGAUUCAUAGCAAUAUCGUAUUGAGUUGAGUUGUAAAUUAAUUGUUCCAAUGUUUUUAGGUAAUGAAGGAAAGCCAUUGGUUCUGAGGAGUCACCUUGCUAUGGUGUCUUUCAACAAUAUAACACGGCUAGUUUUUGGGAAGCGGUUCAUGAAUGCAAAUGGCGACAUUAACGAAGAAGGGCAUGAGUUCAAGAGUAUUGUCAACAACGGGAUAAAAAUAGGUGCAUCUCUCUCUAUUGCUGAAUAUGUUUGGUACUUGAGAUGGCUGUUUCCACUUAAUGAGGAGCUUUACAAGACCCACAAUGAGAGAAGGGAUCACCUGACCAAGAAGAUCAUAGAAGAGCAUGCGAAGGCCCUCGAGGAGAGUGGUAGCAAGAAUCAUUUCGUGGAUGCACUGUUGACUCUCAGAGAACAGUAUGACCUUAGUGAUGACACAGUUUUCGGACUUCUAUGGAUAUGAUGGAUGCCCCUUUAUAUUUAAUUAAUAUAUCUUCAUACAGUACAUUUUGAUUUUAGUGUCAUAAGAUGUCCCAAUUUUUAAUGUGGAAUAAAAUAUCAAUGCCUUGUCAGUGCUCCCAUUAUUUGAAUAAAUGUUGCAUUCCCUGCCUUUUUAUUGCAUUGAUUGAUUUUUGGGAGAAGGGAAAGUUUAGCCAAAUUUACUAGAUAUACGUUUGGUGAGAUGCCACUCUCUCAAGGUUGGUGUAAGAUGCUGGGAUUGGAAAAUGCAUGUUUAUUUUCUCGUUACAAAUAAGGUAAUGCUUUGCGAAAAUACAAAGGUGAAGAUUUUUAAAAAAAAUCUGAAAUUUCGGGGUAUGAAACUUAGUCGACAAUUCUACUCGAGUGUGAAGUUUCGUGAUCUAUUGACACCUAUGGUAUUCUUAGUGAAGAAAAUACAAUUAGGACCAUACUAUUCAUCAAACAGUGUGUUUUUUAAUAUAGCUUCGAUUUUGUCAUUUUUGCCAAGAUUGCCAUGGAUGUGAUUUCUUCGUGAAACGAGUAUACUGGUUAGCUAUGUAUAUUAUAAAAAAAAGUUCAGAUUUUUUGUUUUUUCUAGUAUUUUUUUGAUUUUACUAUUAAUAAGGGGUGCGCGUCAGCGCGUGGAGCCAUGUUUACCAAAUCCGUGUCCAAUGCUUUUUUGUUAAAUACUAAUUGAUCACGAACUAUUUCCUCCUUCACAUAUUACUUGUUGGUCAAACAAAUGGAUUUAGCACUGAUAUACGUCUAGAUACAUUCGGCUGGGCGACAGUUAAUAUGAGAAGGAGGGAGUAGUAUUUAGCCAAAAAAAAUUGUCACACUGUGGCUCUUUAUAUUCGUAUCUUGCAAAUGCCAAACUUGUUCAUACUGCUAAAUCAACAUCAAAGCAGUACACGAUAUCUGCUAUGUACUGAAGUUGCAGCCUGAUAAUCUGUUGAGGGGGCCCUCUUGUGAUUUCUUUAGUGCUUACCACCCCAAGAUUUGUUCCUUGUGUUCAGGACAUCAUCACUACUGGAAUGGAUACAACAGUCAUAUCAGUCGAGUGGGCAAUGGCAGAGCUGGUCAGGUAUCCCAGGGUGCAGAAGAAGCUGCAAGAGGAGUUGGACAGUGUCAUCGGCCGUGACCGCGUCAUGUCCGAGGCAGACUUCCAAAAACUGCCCUACUUGCUAGCCGUCGUCAAGGAGUCCCUCCGGUUGCACCCGGCAACGCCGCUCAUGCUGCCGCACAAGGCCAGCGCAAGCGUCAAGGUCGGCGGCUACAACAUCCCAAAGGGCGCCGAUGUCACGGUGAAUGUGUGGGCGAUCGCUCGCAACCCCGAUGUGUGGAGAAACCCGCUGGAGUACAGGCCGGAGCGUUUCCUCGAGGAGAGCAUUGACAUCAAGGGUGGUGACUUCAGGGUGCUCCCCUUCGGCGCGGGCCGGAGGGUGUGUCCUGGCGCGCAGCUGGGAAUCAACCUCGUGGCCUCCAUGAUCGGGCACCUUCUGCACCAUUUCGAGUGGUCUCUUCCAGAAGGUACCAUGCCGGAGGAUGUUGACAUGAUGGAGUCCCCUGGAAUUGUCAUGUUCAUGAGCACGCCGCUGCAGGCUGUCGCCAAGCCGCGCCUGGACAAGGAGGAGUUGUACAACAGGGUCCCGGUUGAGAUGUGAGCAAGGUUUUGGAUUUUGAAUGAUGUUUUUUUCUCGCGGGGGACCGAGAUUCUAGGUUACCACGGUAACCAUGAAAUACUGGCAAAAUUUAAAUCAAAUCUUGAAUUCAAAAUUAUGUAAGUACCACUUAUAUACAUUAUUAUUGAACUUAAUAUAUUCAGAAACUAUCUGCUGGCAGACGGGUUAGGUCCGCAGGACCGAGGGUCGAACCAGUGGCCUAUAUAUAAGGUUGGACUCGAUAUGGAAAACCCUAGUUACCACUACAACAUCGCUAGUUAGGUAUGCUAUAUGUUUCAGUUCCUGUUGUGUCUAACUACACAUCGACCGUUUAAAUUCAUUUCUUUUAAGUUCCAGUAUUUGUUUUACUCGGUGUAUGGGUUUCUCAUGGGGCGGCGUGAUUUGCCGGGCGGUUUGUGAAAAAAAAACCUUGGAUGUGAGCAGCUUGGAAUGUUUGUUUGAGGAGUGGCUUGGAAUGUGUUACACCGUUGGGCAUUUGUCCCUCCUAAAAACAGGUGCUUGAUUGAGCUCAUGUUAUUGUAAACUGGGUAUUAACUUUCCUUUGAAAUCGUAAAGUUACAGUUUGAGACCGUUUAAACCUCUUGAUGGCUCUUGGAAAAGAUGCGCCACGAGGCAACCGCCGUCUCCGUCCCGUCUCCAUGAAGAUACUUUAUUUUGCCGAGAUGCCCCCCUUGGCUCUCGGCAAAUUGUUUGCCGUGUGCCAGAUGGAUGGUUCUCGACGAAAUUUUGUUUAUCUCAGAGGUGUAAGGCGAGAACUCUUUGCCAAGAACAAUUCUGGGAAAAGCCUUUGCCGAGUUUAUUUGGCCCUUUGCCAUGUGUUUCUGGCACUCGGCGUAAAGUGAAUUUAUAGUAGUGUUUGUUCUACUUUGAUUAUGUACUUAGAUGUGUAUUCGCAUAGAAUUUUGAUUUUUACUAAUGAUAAAAAAAUAGACAGUGUAUUUCUCCACCUAUUACCUAAUACUAUCCAUGUAAAUGAUGGUUGAAUACCGUGCUCUCGACUGAAACUUGGCACUGUGUUCACAUUUUAGGUCCUCUUAGGGCAUCUCCAACGUUGUAUGUCAAACUCCUCGUAACCGCACGGUCCGAACAGUUUAAACUCUACAAGGCUGUCCUCUAAAUGUCCGUGGACGGGUCCAAACAUCUAAAUUCUCACAAAACGGAAGCAAACCGAUAGGAGGUUUGCAGUGGCCGAACCUAUGCCACGUACACUACUGACUUCCUAGACCCACACAGCUUGUGGCAGAUUAAAUAACUCCGGCAAUGGGCAGAUUCAACUGGAUCUAUAUUGCGUCUUCUACCGGUACUUUUGUGUUAAAGACGACAAGGGCAAGGGCACAACAACCGGCGCUGAAGCCCAAACCGCCCAAUAACGUGUUCAGCCUCUCAGGAAUCCCCUACCGAGUCCAUCGUCGUUCUCCUCUAAAUCCACGUUGCUGAGCCACCCUCCGUGCCACCGCACCACGCUGGUGCUCCUUCUUCUAACACUGCGCCGCCUCUGCGUGACGACUGCCACUUCGAGUCCGCGGCACAUCGGUGCUGCGCAGCCGCCCACCCGGUUAGGCUGUGCACUGUUGCGCGCCGGCUUGCAAGAAGCGGCCGCAGGAGCGAGCAUUGCAGCUUCUAGAAGCGGCAGGCGCAACAUUUGUUCCGACACCCGGCACAUUAACCAUCACUUGCGCUUUAAUUGUGCAUAUUUAAUGUAUUGUUGGUGCUUUUCGUACUGCCAUACUCUACAGCCUGCAGAGAUGAACUAAUAUUCAUAUUCAGGACCUUCACAACGAGGUUGUUGCUUUAAGUUCAGUGCUGGGCUCAAUGCUUUGGCAGGAUUAAAUUAACAAUUUCAUACUCUACACUUCAUUUCUACAACUACAUCUUAAAUCUAUUCUUCCCUUUCUCAAAAGCUACAACUCUUUUUGGGAAAACUAUAUGCACAAGUACUCACUUGUGCAAAGAUUUACAUUCAUAUUUUUUUGCUCAUAUUUGUAGGUGUCACUUGUUAUUCAUGGGUUGUAUUGUGGCAUCUAGUAGUUCCGAAGACAGUUUUAUGCAUUUCAUAUGUUUUUUUUAUGUUUUUUCAUGUUUUUAGUACUGAAUUCCAUGAGUUUUGCCUGAAUAGACUUGCCCGAUUGCAUUUGUAAAGAAAAAAAAAUAGACCUUAAAACAUCCCAAAAUAAGUGACUCAACUUGAAGUUAGUACAAAGUUAAGUCACUUAUUUUGGGACGGGUGAAGUAUAAAUUAGUAACUCGCAAAUGACAAUCAUAUAUACAUCCAAGCAAACACUCAGUGGGAAGACACAGAAAAGAACAUCAUGCAUCGGCCGGCUCGCGGCCGGCUGAUCUUUUGAAAAGAUCAGAUAGAAUGAGCGCAAACAAUGAUCAAACUGACAUCCGUAUGGACCGUAUCGUCAUGAACAACCAUACAUAAAUUUCGUCACCCGUAAAUGACUAUCAUAUUUACAUGCAAGCAAACACGAAAUACCUGUAGACACUCAUACCUCGUCCGGACCAAGAACGAUGAAGCCGGCCGAAAGAGCAGACCUCUCGAACCUAUUAUUCUCGUAGUGCAAACACGUAGCACGAAGACGACGCUGAUCGACACUGGACGCCUCCGUUCAUGAUAUACCAUAACUAGCUACGAAAGCAGGGCAUGCGUGCAUGCAUAUACUACCUAGCCCACGUAACCGACCGACCGACGAAUUACGGCGGACCCGUAGUAUUGUACGGCCCAUCGCCCUGGUGACCAUGACCGGGGCCAGGGCUAUGACCGGGAGUCGUCUCCUUGUCCAUGGGCUCGACGGCGGGGAAGCUGCUGACGCCGUCGCUUCCCUCGGAAGCCCUCUCCGGAGCCGUGGUUGCCACUCCGCCCCUCGCGCAGUGAACUACCCCCGGCAUGGAGAUGGAGUGCGCGACCAGGAGGAGGGCGAUGGCCAUGGCGGCAAAGGUCGAAGCAGACGAUGAUUUGUUGGCCAUAUUGAACUUGGCAAGACUAGUCGCUACUAGGUUAUUGGUAUGAGCGUGAGUCGAGUGUUGAGAGGGUGGAGGCGUUCAUUUGGUGCCUUAUAUAGACGUCUGGUGAAGUGGUGAUUACGGAAGCUUAUUGAUUUUUGUUAGUGACGAUGCAAAAGUGUUAGCACAUGCAUGCAAGCACACGAUGCUUCUUUUCAUGAGAUGAUAAACAUAGUCGAUCAGAUGUUCCAUCUUAUUUAACAAACUGCUGGUCCAGCAUUCUUGGCGCCAGUAUUAGAAACCACCAGCAAGAAACGGUAAAAAGACGUGCCUAUCCGAUACAUCGUGGAGACAGCAUACUAUACCACCAGCAAGAAACGGUAAAAAGACGUGCCUAUCCGAUACAUCGUGGAGACAGCAUACUAUACUGUCACAAAAAAUGCCGCGUAGAUGUGGUAAUAUUCUGUCCAAGGUUUCCCUCAGAUCGAGCGCGUGGUGUUGUCACCUGUACCUAACCUUCUCUUUCGAACCUUGUACUCCCACUUGGACGUUGUUUAUCGUCAUAAUCAAAGCUCGUGGUUGCUUUAGAAUGUAAAGCCAUGGCUCCGGAAUCGUCAAGGAACUCCUAUAUGUCACACUCUCGUGUGCCCAUGAAUCACUUGACCAUUCUCGACCGAAUGUUACUUUAGGAACAACAGGUCUAUUUUCAGUGGCGGAGCUUGGUAGAAAUUGUUGUAUUUUAUCUACGUGGCAGAUGGAUCCCAAGGUUUUACACAACUUCUCAUGGUAAUUUCAAGUGAUCUACACCUUUUUAUCAUUUGUGUGUACAGCAUGGCUAUGCAAUAGUAUUGCAUUAUUUAACUGUUUUCUUUUGCGGGAGGAUAAAAAUAUUGAUGCGAAUGGUGGCUACUUUUACUAGGGUGACAAGGAUAUGGUAUUAGCAGCUAUCUAUGUUUUUGCACAAAGAACAAUAUUUUACCCGUGGUUUCUCUCAUACCAGUGCCGGCAAUUCUAACUAACCUUCUGUUCCGAAUAUUGAAAUUGCACUUCAACAAAGUUUAUCGCCAUAAUUAAGUAUCAUGGUUGCCUUAGACUGUAAUCCAUGAUUCUGAAAUCGUUAAGGGACUGCUAGACACGCCCGCGUGCCAAUCUCGAUUCUAGUUAAACUAGUAAGACCAUAAUAAGUUAGAUAAACGUGAAACUUAUUUUGCAGAACAGCAAGCAACAUAGGUAAACUACCACACACACAAUGGCUACUGAAGACACGACUCGAGGAGCUUCAAGAUUAGUGAUAUGACCACAAGCGUUAAACUAUUAAUGGGAGCAGUACCACACAGUUCAUAACACACACAGGGUUCAUCGUCAUCACCACACAGUACUUAAAUUCCAGUUUACAUAUCCGGAUGACACGCAGAGUUCAUCUUCAUCAUCACACAAUUAUCCACCCAAAGGAUCAGGCGCCCAAGAAGCUAGGCAGAUGAAGAUGCAGUCCCUUGAUGUGUGUUAAGGUUGCUCUUGCUAGUUCAUUCACCGAAUCACUUAGUCUAGCCUAUCGGAACACAUGCAGAGUUCAUCUUCAUCACCACACAUUUCUCCGCUUCACUAUCGGCCACUGCAAAAUAUUGCGCACGCGAGCUGCUCCAACAGACGUUGCAAAAAAUCGGCGCGCCAGAUGCGAGGAAGAAGAGGGUGGCGGGGGAAAGAAGGGGGCGGUGGGGCGCUUGGGUGUGCGGUUGACAGCUCGGGGGCGCGCGUUUUAUAAAGCACGCCGGACGCCGCGUGCCGGGCCGUUUUUUCGCGCGCGCGAUUCUUUGCCGCGCGCCGGAAUCUCCCGCGUACGCUGGAGCGCGUGAAACCGAUUCGCACGCGCUAAAACACCUAUAUACUUAGCGCCGCUGUUAGAGAUGCUCUAACGCCACACCGUCUACAAGGCUGCAAGGUUUGUGAUUGGAAAAAAUCAUCGAAGCUAGUUAUUGCUCUUAGACCUAGUCCAGUUAUGUUACAUCUCGAAUUCUUGAUCAAGCUCCUGCUUGACUUCGCGCGUGUGCGAUUCUUUGCCGCGCGCUGGAAUCUCCCGCGCACGCUGGAGCGCGCGAAACCGAUCCACGUGCACUAAAACACCUAUAUAUUUAGCGCCGCUGUUAGAGAUGCUCUAACGCCACACCGUCUACAAGGCCGCAAGGUUUGUGAUUGAAGAAAAUCAUCGAAGCUAGUUUUUGCUCUUAGACCUAGUCCAGUUAUGUUACAUCUCGAAUUCUUGAUCAAGCUCCCGCUUGACGCUUGUCCAUGUCGAAUAUUCGCAAGAUCUCAACUUAGUCUAAAAUUGUUCGACGUGAUUUUGUACUAAAGAAAGCAGAAAAUUUGAAUACUUUUUGUAGGUAUACACAGGAAAGAAUAUAUAUGUAUGCUCGCAGACUAGUGCAUGCAUGCAUUGACCUGAUCUCUUGAGUAUGUACGUGGUGCAUGGCAAAAAUUGCCUACGUACUACAUGCAGGCAUCCGACCUACUAGAGCGGCAACUCGCACGUCUAGGAGCGCAAUACAUACCGGAGUACGCAGCGGCCGCCACGACCGGCAUGUAUAACUAUGUACAAAAAUACCUGUAUACCGGCCAGCAAGCGCGUGUACAUACUUGAAUACCCGUACAAACAGUUCAAAAUAAGAUGAAAAUGGAUGAACAUCCAGGACGGCCGAAGUCACAUGUUUGGCAAAUGCACUGACCCACCUGCAGUCAGUUGAAAACUAACUAAAUACAUAUGUAUUAUUUUCUUUUGCAGGAGUGUGGGUCAAGAAGAUCAGUCGAAGGGAUAAACAUACGAAGAAGACCAACAUGUUUCCAUCCAUAUCGCUUCCAGGAAAAUCGGGAAACGCCCAAGGCCGCCGCCAUUCAACAACGCACACAUCCAUCAGGAGAUUCAUCCAUACCAUCACGCCGCAAGGCUACCGCAUCCAUCCAUCACGCCGCAAGGCUACCGCAUCCAUUCAUCACGCACAUACGUUCAGAGAAAAGACCUGCUAGCACCACAUCCAUCCAUUCGUCACCGGAGCACACAACCGGCAACCAGGCACACAUCCAUCAUAACUCACGCACGGGAGAGAUCCAUCCAUCCUUCGCGCAACACAACAUCUAUCUAUUCUACCACGCACACAUCCAUCCAUCGCCGGGCAAACCACUUUGCAAAACACCAGAGGCAAAUCACAUCUUGCAGGAAUUAACGCAGCCGCAACGGAGAUCGGCGGCCAUCCGUGCAAGGGCGGCAAGGACUUCGACGAUAUGAACACCAAGCUCAUGUUGCCUGAUGGUGAGAUGAUCGUCUAAUUACUUUUUCUUUUGUUUCUCUCCCUGCCAUCCAGCAUGCGUGCACUACACCUAGAGUAUGUGCCGGACAUCGGAGACGACACGCUUGUGUGAUCGCGUUGUCGCCGCCGUCGAAGACGACUUCACUGGACCAGAAAAACUGCACCGACAUCGUUGGGGUUUGUCUAUGCCAAGCCGUUCAUUUUCAGGUGUCAUGUUCUUGGCUGGAGAUUACUCAGGAGCAGCCGGAGCUCUCCAACGACGCAGCCCAACCGAUAGCCCCGGCGCCCUACCAUCGCAGCCUUCACGGUGCUUGGUGAACACCCCACGGUGUACAGGUCGCGACACACAGAUGGCGACAAACAAGGCCACAGUGAACAGGUUCAUGGCAAAGGGUACACCGGCGUACAUGCUUGGCAUCACACUCUUGGAUGAGAUGGCGUGGCGGAAUCGGAGCUCGCUGACGAUGCAGCCCGAGACCCGCCUUUUUCAUCAUGGCGUACAGGUUUCGCAUUACACUCUUGGAGGAGACGGCAUGGCGGAACCGGAGCUCGCCGACAACGCAGCCCGAGACCCGCCUUCCCAUCACGACGUACAGGUCCUUGGUGGAACCAAUAUCCGCAACGACGGGUCUAAGACCGGUUCCUCCUUCAUGAGGCCCGCAUCCCCGACGAACAGGUCAAUGGCAUACAGAUCCUUUACUGAACUGAAGAUUGCAACGACGCUGUCCAAGACCGGUCCCUCCUUCGAGAGGCGCACCCAUCAUGGCGGACAGGUCCUUGGUGUACAGGUCCAUGGCUUCGCCGGCGCACAGGUCACUCUUCCGCGUAGUACCAGCCCAAGGCGAUGCGGCCUUUGCGACACCACUUUCCACGGCCCUGUGAGGCGGCGCCUUUGCCUUGGCAGACCGCCAAAUACUUGGCGUCUAGCCAAGAUGAGGCGCCAACCACCCUGGCCAUGUCAAUAUGAGCGUGUGUCAGUUUAUUUUACACUGACGCCGGUCUCCCCAAACCGUUACUCCCGCAAGGCGUAGCCCCUUGAACACCCCGAUGAAGCAACAGGUCAUCAAGAUGUCUGAGCCGACCGCGACCCAUGCUACCCCAACACCAACUACUCCAACGCCGCAAAAACCGACGAGGCACGACGGCGAGGGCGGGCGUGGCCACCGCAAAGGCCACACUACUUGCGGCGCGUGUACCGACGAGGACACGGGCUCUGCCGCCGCCCACACACACCACCAUCAUCAUGCAUCGAGAACACGAAGCGAAGACGACGAAGACGACCACGCAGCUUAAUCGAAGGUAUCUCGCGGAGCAACCCGCGGGAGUAAUUAACCGGGAGCCUUCCGAGGCCCCGGGAACCAGGAGACCACGAUCGCCAUAGUCAGGCUGGCCGCGCUAGUAGGCCACGGAGCGCACUUUUUGUUUACGGGUUCUUGUACUUUUGUUUCUCCAAUGAGAUUAAUGAAAUACUCGUUUUCCGCAUCCUUUUCUUUGUGUACUACGGUACACUGGCACGCCCGCAAAUUUUCUUUUCUUCUUUUCCCCGGCGCAAGAGAGAAAUACGCUCCCCUUCCCUUCUCGCGGAGUCCCUAGAUAUUUUUCUCGUGUCAAACAAAAAUUAACCAUGCGCAACGCAUGCAGCAGGUGAACAGGCGCCCAAGAAGCUAGAUAGAUGAGGAGCUAGCUAGGGUACCGUGGAAGAAAUUGAAGUUGGAUGGCACCGAAGCAUGGACAAAACUGUGUAAGUUCACUGGAUAAGUGCCAAAGUGGGAGGUUCUCAGGGCUGGAAGGUCUUUGAAGUUCAAUGAAGCACAGGAAGGACACGACCACGUUGGGAUAGGUAUGUUGUGCUUAUACUUUUGGGCUGGAUUACUAACCGCGCUAGAAUUCCUCGAAACUCAUGCUCUGUUAGUGUUGUGUCAUUUUGCUUGGCCCGAGGUUUGGAUUGUGGCCAAAGUGCAUCUUACUAAAAUUUUGGUCAUGACUUAAAGAUUGAUCUUUAUUUGGAUGGUUGCCAAUUUUUUAGCAUGCAAAUGAACUUCAGCCAACUCUAGUUCAUUUUUCUUGUCAAUGUUGGCCAAAUCAUGGGCAACCAAAACCUCAACUAAACAUUUGGCUAGCCAACGCCUUUGUGAGGCAACCUCGGGCACAAACCAAACACCCCCUAGGUGUGUUCGUAGCAAGCUGUGCUUCUAUCCACGGGCGAGUCUAUGUAUCUCUUAUAGCAAGACAGAGGGCUGCCUCGCCCGCAUGCAUGCUACAAGGAGCUAGUUGUGGGACGGCCCAAUAGGGACAUGGGUCCUCAUGCUGACGUCAGUCGAAAUGCAUAUAAUUCAAAAAUUAAAUUUACUUAAAGAUUUUAACUAUGAAUUUGAACAAAUGUUAACAACGUAUAAGAAAUUUGUUAGACUACUUUUGUAAAAAAUUGGUAACUUUCAAAAAAAAGUUUGUGACAUGAAAAAAUGGCUGUGACAUGGAAAAAAUGUUUGUGACAGGAAAAACAUGUUUCCGUGUUUCAAAAAAAUGCAUGCAAUUUUUUUAAUAAAUGUGUAUGGUAUGUAAGAUAAUGCAUGUGCCAUUUUAAAGACAAUGUUCCUGCAUUUAAAAAGAGUGUACGAAAAACUUCUAAAAAAUAAGUAUGCAAUGUAAGAAAAAUAUUUGUGUAAUGUAAACAAUGUUUCAUACUACUAGAAAAUGAUGUGAUAUUUUAUAGAAAUAUUUUUGUGUUUCCAAAAAAUGUUGCGUCAUUUAAAAAUGCUUAUACAAUGUAAAAAAUGUUCUUAUAGGUUUAAGAAAUGUACUUGAGAUAUUAAUGAAAUAUUCAUGUCUUCCCAAAAAAUGUCACCGUAAUUAUAAAAAUUGGUUAUACAAUGUAAAAAAGUUUCCAUAGUUUAAAGAAAUUUUUUAUUUCCAAUCAAAAAGUACAAUUUUUAUUUCACAAAUGUUACUGUGUAAUCGAAAAAGAGGUCAAACCAUGUAUUUUAAAAAUGCACAUAAUGUAUUUGAAAAAUAUCCCACAUGUACCAAAAAUAUGAUUCAAGUGUGCGCUAAAAUGUACAAUGUGUACUAAGAAAAAGUAGAUAUGUGCUAAAAAUUUGACAAACUGACAAGAACAAAAAGAAAAACAGAGAAAAUUGAAGAAACCAAAAAAAAUUAAGGAAACAAAGUAUAACGAAGAAAGGAAAAAAUCCAAAGAAAACCAGUGUAUAAGUAUAAAUAAUAAAAUAAUAAUAAUAAUCCAAACAAAACAGGUGAAAAACAGGAAAAACUAAAGAAAAGAAAAAAACAAAGAAAUCUGGAGCAGAACGAACCUAUAGCGACGGACCAGCAGCGAGCGACAUACACUAUUAGGCUGACAUGAUAGUCGCGCGACCGUAGGUGAUUCCUAAUGGGAAUCGGUAUGGGUGAGACAUGUUUGUCGAGUUCUAUCCACACCCAAAAAUGGUUGUGCGUCGAAAUAGAGUGCAUUACAUACCGGGCGUACACCCCCAGCAAGCAGGCCGGUAGUGGGAUUGUACAGUUGAAUUGCUCCCACUCGGUUUUGUGACGCUUCUAGAAUGUUUUAGUGCGGGUUUCUUUCUUUUCUCUGCUUAUUUUUUUAUUUCUUUGGUUUUGUUUCCUUUUUAUUUUAAAACUUCAUGAACAUAUUUUAAAUUCUUGACUUUGUUUUUCAAAAUUGUGAGAAUCUCUAGAGUAGCAAUAUUCUUUAAAAUUCAUGAACAUUUUUAUUUUUUAAGAAUUAUUUUGUCAAAUUUGACACUUUCUCCAAAUUGUGAGCAUCUCUAAAGUGUGAUAUUUUCCAAGUUGUGAAGAUAAUUAACAAUUCGAGGAUUGAAUAUACGAAUAUUUCGAACAUUUCUGAAUUUUUUAAAUUAGUAGAUGUUAUAGAUUUUCGUGAAGUACUUUUAAUUUACAAACAUUUUUAAAUUCAUCCUGAAUUUUAUAUUAUCAAGGUUCUUUUGAAAUUUGAUGAACAGUUUUAAAAUUCAUGCAUUUUGAUAUUCUAUAUAAAUGUGUAAAAUUAUUAGCGAGUUUUUCAAAAAGUUGGUGAUUUAAAAAAAAAAUAGGCCAGCGAGCCUAGCGAGCCGAAUGCUAUUUGGGCCGCGGCCGAAGGCCAUCCGCAUGGGUGAUUUGGCAGCAGUUGGGUGACUGUAGCGGGAGGUCCUAUUUGCCGCUCUUCGCAACAGAUAAUUGGCCACUUUCUUAGAGCUCAAAUGACCGUUUGUGGUGCUCUUGCACUAACCGAAGUGAAAAUCCGUAAAAUGUGAUGCCUUCUUGCUAGUAAUCGAAAAAAGAUUUACCGUUCGUGAGCGAGUAUUGCUAGCCACGGGGGCCGAUGAGCUUUCAUGACUAAAAAGAACAUAAAUACUUUAAGAACUAACAUCACUUGUAGAUUCGCACAAUUUUUCAAAUUAUUUAUCUUCUAAAUAACUGAAUAUUUUUUGAAACAGAAACACUUUUCAAACUUAUGAACACGUAUUUCAAACACGAACAAUUUUCAAACUUGUAAAAACUCAAGAAUUUUUUGAAUCCGUGAACAAUUUUGAAAAUUCACAGAAAAUGAAAAACGUGAAUAUUAUUUUAAAAGUAGAACAUUCAUUCAAACUACUUAAAAAUAUAUAUAAAAACAAGAACAUUUUUUUGAAAUUCUAAGCAUUUUUUGAAAAAGGGAACAUUGUUAAAAAUUCCCAAAUGUUAAUGUGAAUUUGUGAACAACAUAUGAAAACAAGAACUACUUGUAAAAAUUUGACCAUUUUUUACAUUCCCCAACUUUAUUGAAAACGCAAAUAUUUUUUAAUUCAGGAUUUUUUUAAAAAUGGAAACAAUUUUAGAAAAAUGUAAACAUUUUUUGAAAUUUCCGAACAGUUUUCAGAAAACGAAUAUGUUUUGUAAUCUAGAACAUAUAAAUUUGAAUUCUUGAACAUGUUUUUUACACAGAGAAAUAAACAUCAAAUAUCAAAGACAUAAUGAAAAGAAAAAUAAGUAGAAAAAGGAAAAAGAAUAUCAAAAGGAAAAUGAAAAACUAAAGAGCUAGAAUAACCAAAAUUGGUCAGAUACAUUCUAGAAGGUUCCCAAAACUGGGUAUUCUUUUCGCUACCUACAAAAUGGGCCGACCCAUUUUAGAUCUCUAGCUCUCCUCUCUCUGCGUUUAGUCGAGACUUUGACGCAGGGAGGGUCAUAUAAGAUUUUUCGCCUAAAGUACCCAGGAGCUCCCUCCGAAGCUACUCCGAGGUUAAUUCUCAUGAAAAGGAAAACUAGUCCAAGGUUGUGAUUCGCGAUAAUCCUCUUUUGAGCCCAGGCUCAGCUGCACCCGCGUUGACGAAAAGAUAAAAAGAACUAGAAAAGUAAAAAAAAUACAAUUUUUUUGUGUGGUAGAUAAUUUCAUGCAUGAGCUCCGCUCUAAUUUUCAAAUCAUUUGGACAUCUGAGCAUCUCUCGAAAAAAAGAAAAAUUCAAAGGUCUGUACAAAAGUUUACAGUUCAUGCACUGUUCUGACCCGAUUUGUGUUUUUUGCUGAGAGCUCCUCAGAAGCCCAAAUGAUCUGAAAUUUGGAGCGGACCUCACGCAAUACAUUUUCUACCAUGCAAACAAAAUUGGAUUUUUUUUGAAUUUUUUUAGUGUUUUGUGAUUUUUUCUGACCCGGUACAGAUGAGUCGAGGCACCGAAACGCCGCACUCUGUGAUUCGUUGUUAUUCUCAACAAAUAGAAAAUGGAUUGAGAUUUGUGUUUGCACACGAACACACAUCAUCAUGUACUUCCCGCGUCGAGCACGAUACGUAGGACACAUCAUUCGAGGAAUCCCACUGGGAGCGCGAUACGCGCGCAAGGCGCAUCGACGAGAACUUUUGAGAUCCGAACCCGCACAUGUCUCGCAGAGACCCCGUCACGGAGUGUGGCGGCUACGGGUUACCCUAAGUCGGUCCAACUGCCCAUAGGGCCUCGAGGAUCAUUGCUCUUCAACACGAAGAACGAACGAAAAACGAGAUGUAAAAACUAGGGUAAAAAGUAGUAGGUGUGUUGCCAUUGUGUGUUUAUGAGGCGGCGGGACAUCUCAUACAACAAAAUGACUCUAAAUCCCGUCUAAAUCUUACCAAAAUUAAUCGAACAUGAAUUUUUCUUGGGCCUAAGACGACAGUUCAAUUCUUUAUAAUCCACGGGCUGCCUAUUAGCUCGGGGUAAAAUGACCCCAGAAUAAAUGUUUGGUUUGACGAGGCAAAUAAAUCUUAUGUUGAAUGUUAUUUCAUCCGAGGUCUUGAGGGUCUAAUCACCGACGCCAUGCAUCAGACAUGUAUUACACAACAUCUAGGGCGAGGCGAAUCCUUUCUUAGCUUUGAAGGUUUGCAUAUGACAUCUGAUUAAAAAUGGCCCCAAAAGCAAGUUAUUCGCCCUAACGAGGCGAUGGAAUAUCAUGUUAAUUAUUUAUUUCAUCUUAUGCCAUCUCGAGGGUCCAAUUACUGACGUCAUCCAACAGAUAUGCAUUAGAGACAAUGUUUGGAACUAGACGAAUGUUUUCCUAGCUUUGGAGGUUGUAUAUGAUCUCAGAUGGAGGGCAGCUCCAGUGCAUGUAGCUCCCGCUUGCGCAGGGUCUGGGGAAGGGUCCGACCACUAUAUGAUCUCAGAUGGAGAUGACCCAAAUAUCAGAGUUGUUAGUGUCGAUAUUCAACCAUCAUUUUCAUGUUAAAAACUUCUUCAUUUGAGGUCAUCUUAAUUAUGUGUUUUACUAUGCCAAAAUCUGAUGUCAACAAUUUGUUAGUUAUGUGAGGAAGAAGGUGAUCAACAAGCUAACUCUAACUUGAUUUUUAAUGAAUGAAGUCAAUCAAUGGUUUCAGUUUGCUAAACUUAACAGGGUUAUCAAACAAGCUAACGAGUGUUACAAGCGACCCAACUCAGUCCAUACGAGGUAGUACAAGCGCACCUCCUCCUGUAGUGCAGUAAAAUUGCCGACCUAGAGAAACGUUGCCAUGGCAGCCACAUCUGCCACAUGGGCUAAUCAGGGAGAAGGUCGUGUACUUGUGUUAGGCUGGUCAUAGUGGGACUAACUUAGUAAGUAACAUAGUGCAUUUUAAGACAAAUUUUUUUAUGUGGCAUAUAAUUAAUGAGGAGAGAGGUGUUUGGAGUAACAUAAUAUAUUACUGUAACAUAGCGCAACCCAAAGCAAAAUGAGUCUAUAAUGUAAUAAAUGCUAUCAUCUAUGAUACUCCCUCCGUCCGGGUUUAUUAGGCCUAAAGACAACUUCUCUUAGAUCAAGACACAUAAUAAUUUGCUCACAUUAAUUAUUCCAUUCCACUCCCAAUGCACUCUCUCACAUGCAUGCAGCCAAUGAAAAAGCACACAUGAAGUGUAUUAACUUUUCAGCCAUGGCACCAACAACAAUAGCUUUCAAUACAACCAAUGAAAUGGUUGCAUGCAUGCACCUUUCCAAUGCGGGGCCUUAUAAAAGGGGACAUGCUUGUGAUGCUGAGAGGCCUAAUAAACCCGGACGGAGGGAGUACUGCUUAUAUGUUAUUUCGCACUAUGAAGAUAGUAACAAAGACUAGUGUCAUAUGCAUGACACUAGUCUAAGUUACUCCCCACUAUGACUAGCCUUAUCCAUCUCCCAGCUUGCAUCGUGCAGCCGAAUCGCAAGUACGUGGGCCCCAACAGGAUCAAUCCUACUCCCUUCCUCCGAAAAUACUUCUCAUCAAAAUGGACAAAAAAGAUGUAUGUAGAACUAAAAUACAUUUAGAUACAUCCCCUUUUAUUCACUUUGAUAACAAGUAUUUCCGGAUGGAGGGAGUACAUAACAAGAGGCGCACUGCAAUGGUUCGGGCUGCUUUUAUCUUUCUAGCUAACACACACACACACACAGAGAGAGAGAGCAGUUAUUGUAAUUGAGCAGUGAAAUCAAUAGAGAACUAGUUCAUAACAAAAUCACGCCCUUACGCUCAUCCCAUGUAACAUAACAUAGUUUAACGAGCUUUGAACAAACAGACCUAAGCUAACAAGCUUUAGCAACCACUAACUCGACGAGCCGCAGCCUUAACAACCGAGGUAAUCCACCUACAGCAACGAGCCUCCGAUGCAAUUCUAUAGAAUUUUCGAAGGGUUAGAAUCCUUAAGAAUUUUCCUUAGGUUGGUCGUUUGAUUCAUAUGAUUGAAUCCUACAUGAAUUUUUCCUAAGGGAUCAUGCGUACUAUAUUUUAUUAAAAAUCUAGCAUCCGCUUCAAGCUGUUUUUACAAUUUCUUUGUUUUUUUCCUGUGGCAUCAAACACACUAUGCUAAUCCUAUAGGAGUGAAGCGGACAUGCCACUUCAAUCCAGUAUUUUUUUUCCUACUUAUGCAUUUUGAGAAUCCUGCGAAUCAAAGAAGGCCUUAGCUAGUUUUUCCAACCAUGUCGUUUUCCAAGCGAACUAGAAAAUCAAUUGUGGCAAGAUGUGAUUAGUGAGACGUGAACAUUGACUCCUCUGGAAAUUCAUUCUCUGAAACCGACGUGUUUGUCAUGCAGUAACAUACCAAGACAGAAUUGUAGGCCUCCGCCAGAAACAAAACAAUACAAAAGAUAUAACCGUGCUCAUGUAUGUAAUGCAGCUGGAAGAGUUCCUGAAGUGGAGGGUGUCCGGUCGUGUGGAAACACCUUACCUAGGCGGGCGGCUUUUGGUUUUGAGACGAAGUUGACACUUCACCCGAUCACCAAUCAGGUCCGAACUAUAUAUAAGAUAAGAAGAGCCUCCCCCAUUGCCAUCGUCAUCACACACACACACACACACACACACACACACACUCUUCACAAGUUCUCACUGUUUCCUGUCCCUCUUGAGUUGAGUCUCUCUGCUCCAUCCCGGCCGGCCUUUCCCCUCCUGACAGCCAGAUGGCCCAGGUACGCCAGUUUUAGAGUGUUUUCUCCCUCGAUCCGUUCAGAUUAUAGCAUGCCGACCGAUCGUGUCGUCGCGUCGGUGAAUCCUGCUAAGUUUCUUAGUAGAAUCCUGGGGAAAUGUUUGUUCACUCUUUGCUUGGUUGCCGCUCGCAGAAGGUGGUGCUGAGGAUUCCCACCAUGACCGAUGACAAGACCAAGCAGAAAGCCAUGGAGGCCGUCGCCGACAUCUACGGUAAGUUUGUGCCCCCCAUGAAUCCUUCCGUUGCUGGUUUGUUUGAUAUCGCUUGGCGGUUUGAUUCUCACAAGGAAGCGGGCAGAAAAAUCUGCUCUCGUGCUUCCCGGCUCCUGGCCGUUGAUAGUCAGUUCGUCUUUUCAUCGUGUAGUAUAUUUUUGGAAACACGGCCUUCUACACUUCUACCAAUAAACCGUAGCUGAAUUUCGCAAGGACGCAUGAAUUAUUGCUGGGCGAUAAUGCGAUAUUCGAUCGCGACGUGUGAUCAGACGUGGCCGGCCAAGUAAGUCAAUCUGUAGGGCCAUAAGCUACAUGCAUGCAUGUACGAUAGUACGAAAAUGGCUUUACUCUUGUGUUUGUUUGAUGAGCCAACUUGGUAGAACUACACAUGGGUCCUUUCCUCCUCCUCUCCUCCGUCCUACGUAUACGUGUGAGUGAGUGGGCAUGACUAGAUAUGUCGUCGGUCAGAUCCUCGCACAAAAGAUCAAAAUCCUCACACUAUAAUAUGCUUGUAAUCAUAGUGCAGAUCCAAAUCAAUAAAUGGAUUCUAAAGAAAGAGAGAUUUAAUCAAUUAAUGAACAUGAAUUCUAUUGCUUAAUCAAUGAAGAUAGUUUUGUUGCAUCUAAUCAUAGUCCGGAUGCAACCAAUCAACCAUCAUGAAUGAACUCAUUCCUUUUCUUUCUACUUGUGCUCGGUUGCAGGUAUCGACUCGAUAGCCGCGGACCUCAAGGACAACAAGAUGACCGUCAUAGGCGCCAUGGACACGGUGGCCAUCGCCAAGAGGCUCAAGAAGCUCGGCAAGAUCGACAUCGUCUCGGUUGGCCCGGCCAAGGAGGAGAAGAAGCCGGCGCCGGCGCCGGCUGCUGAGAAGAAGGGCGAGGAGAAGAAGGAAGACAAGAAAGAGGAGAAGAAAGAUGACAAGAAGGUCGACAAGAAGUGAAAGCAACCCAUUGCAGAAGGAGAAACCCAACAUCAUCACGCAAACGGCAACAGCAACAAAAAGUCUUUGACAUCUGAGGCUCUGAUGGAAUGCUAGAUAGCUAAUUAUCAUCUCCACUGCGAAACAAGGUCGCUUUGCGUACUGUACUGGUAUAGCGCACUACAGACAUCAAGUCAAAUCAAAUAUCAGAUCAGUGUGUGUGGACAUGUGACUCUGGGUUUGCCUGAUUGGUGAUGACAUGAAUCCUACUCUAUCAGCCAACUUCAGGCAAUUUUUCAGAAUUCAGACUACAUUGCAUGAUCUCAGUUUUUUAGCUGUUUGAACCUGAGCUGGCCUGUGACAGAGACUGGCUAUCUGCCACCUUCUGAUAGGAAAGAGGACAAGAGUUUCAGUCGUCGCAAUGGCGCGGCCAAAAAAAAGGAAGCAGUGUCAGUGUGGCCUUUCCCCUAACUCCAAGUUGCCGCAGGCCCAAGUAUAUCCGGCUUUGCUCACAGUCUUUGAUCUGUCACCAUUACUUCAAAAAAAUUUGAAACUUUUAAAUAUGUUUUGAUUUUUUCUUCCUUUUUGCAAAACGAGCUCCAUGGGGCUCGGCCUUUGCAACGCCACACUCCUAAAUGGCCCGACUACUAGGGCUGCCAAUUAAUGAUAUUUUUUAUUUUUUCAUAAACAUGAAAAACAGUGUAUUCAGUUUUUACACACUGAAAACUAUGAUCACAAAUAAAUUGAUAAUGGAAACUGUUUGCUUAUUAUGGAAUAGUGCCGUGCAUUUAAAAGUUGAUGUUCACGUACUUCAAAAACUAUUUACAUAGCUCCAAGGAGAUGUUCAUGUAUUCAAAUCAAAAUGUGCAUACAUAUGAAAUAAAUCCUUAUGACUUCAAUAAAUCACGUUUUUAAAGUAAAUGUUCACAUACUACCAAAAUGUUCAACUGUUUGCUAAAAAAAGAUGUAAACAAAAAAUAAGAGUAAACUUAUAAAAUUAGAAACAACAAAAAAUAAUCCCUGAUCAUGGGCAGUAUGAUUUGAUCUGUACUCUUUGCAAUGAGUGUAUGAUAGGGUUCACUCAUAAAACUUAUACCUCGCGUAUUGCGAAAUAUAGCAAGCACUUGCCGAUGUGCGCGUGCAAAAUUUACCACAACCCAACACUACUUGUUUUGGUUUUGAUUGUUUGUUGUUUGUUUAAAUUUCUUUUUAUUUCUUUCCGUUUUGUGUUUUUUCUUAUUUCUUGUAUUUCAUGUGUCGCAUAUUUACUCUUUUUUUGUUUCUUCUGUCUGACCAUUUCUAUUUAUUUUUGGUAUAUCAUAUUUUUUUGGUGACGUAUAUUAACACUACAUUUUAUGAAAACUCGUACUUUUAAAAUUAUAUACAAACACUUUAUGAAAAAGGUUAACACUUUAAUAAAAUAAAUGAAUUUCACAAAAUCAUGUGACUAAUUUUGUAUUAGUUAUAUUUUUUUUUCGAAAAUCAGCAUUUUCUGAAAAUUGCAUGAACAUUUUGAAGAGCUCUGCUUUUUGUAAUGUUGCAUUAUUCUUUGGGAAAAGUAUGUGAACAUUUAUUUAUUUAGAUAAACAUCUCUAAAAAGUGUGUGAAAAUGUUUUUCAUGUACAUUAAUACUUUCUAAAAAUAUGUGAACACUGUUUUAGUGAGAUGAUAAUUUUUAAAUACAUAGAUAAUUUUUGGUUACAUGAAUGUUGUUUAGAAAAUACGUGUAUAUUUAAUGUAGUAUCCAGACAGUUUUUAGAAGUACAUGAAUUAUUUUGUUUAGACGUGCAUGUAUGUUUUACAACAAAUGAUGUUUCAACUACCAAUAGCGGACAUAAGGCUAUUGGGUUGGCCACCUUGGCGUGUGCCAUUAACAGGUAUUUCUCCUUUUUUUUUCAUAAAUUGUGAAAGUAUAUUGAUCUUGCUAAUACUCAUGCACUUUCAAAAAUGUUUACAGAAUUUCCAAAAAGCCAAAAAGUCAAAGAAAUAAAAUGAAAAGGACAAACAGAAAAAAAUGGGGAACCGGUGGAGAAAAAAAGAAAAGGAAAAUCCGCAAUAAAAAUCAGUAGAAUCGACUAUAGCUACAGUUACUGCUCUCCUAGGUAGCCUGGCGCUAUGACGCUCUCGUCUGUGUGUUUCAGCGACAAUUUGUCUCAACAGGCAAAGAAUAAGAAAUUCCCUUAGUUUUGGGCUUUGUACGAAGCACUCCCCUAAGCCAACAUCACAAAAGAUAUAACAAGGCCAACAAUAGGUGGUGGCGUAUGCACUUGAGAAAGGAUGCGUGUGUGCUGAUAUCUCAGAUUACAACAAACUCAGCACACGCGCGUGCAUUACUGUCAGCCCUAGACUCCUCUAGAAGCCCAUGGUUUACACACCAUAUGUCGGUUUGUACAAAUUCCAACACUAUUCCUCAAUCACAACUUUAUCGAGUCGAGAUUGUUCCUAAAGUUCUCUAGUUUUGCUUGUUAGACAAUGGCUUUGGAAACACAUGUAGAACUUGUGCCGGGAUGCGUGCGUGUUGAUAUAAGGUGCCGGUUGGCUAGAUUACAGAGGAGUUCGGCUGAGACGUGAAUUGGGUCCCAAGUUAGCUAUAUAGAUAAGGAUCCUUUCUCUCUCCCAAUCAGAUCUGCAUCAGCCGCGUAUGGUAUAAGGCUGCAAACCGAUGAUUUCUACCCUUUAAGCUUGGCUGUGUAUGGUGAACAAAACCAAAAUCAGUUCACAAAGCGCCUUUCCUGACUGGACAAGCUUAUUUCUGACAUAUCUGACUGGAAAAGCUCACCCUUGGUUCACUGGCCUUGCUAUGGGCGGAUACAUCUUUUUCAUAGUAUAAAUAGACCCCUUAAUUAAGCUCACUGCCAUAUCCAACAAACUAUUUGUUGUAGAGGAUCAUCCACACAGCCAGCAGCCACAAUGGAAGCGAGCGUGCAACAAGGCAACUAUGUCCAAGUCUACGUCAUGCUCCCUGUAAGCACCAUCCAUUCAACUCAAUCUCUAUUCUCUAAGCACCAUGCACUACAACCAUUUCAAGGAUCUAAUUCACACAUGCAAUGUUGUACAUAUAAUACCGUUAUUCUUAAACACUCUAGUUCAAAGGGUGAAGUCAACAAGAUCUGAGGCCUCAAAAUGAGUAUUUUAUUUGUACUAACCUUGACUUCGUUUUUGUUGUGGAAAUAAAUAGCUGGACGCCGUGAGCGUGAACAACAGGUUCGAGAAGGGUGACGAGCUCAGGGAGCAACUGAAGAGGCUGGUAGAGGCCGGUGUGGAUGGUGUCAUGGUAGACGUCUGGUGGGGCUUGGUGGAGGCCAAGGGCCCCAGGGCGUACGACUGGUCCGCCUACAAGCAGUUGUUCCAGCUGGUGCAUGAGGCUGGACUGAAGCUAAAGGCCAUCAUGUCAUUCCACCAGUGUGGUGGCAACGUCGGUGAUGUCGUCAACAUCCCGAUCCCGCAGUGGGUGCGGAAUGUCGGUGCGAGUGAUCCGGACAUUUUCUACACCGACCAGCACGGGACUAGGAACAUUGAGUACCUCACCCUUGGAGUUGAUGACCAGCCUCUCUUCCAUGGAAGAUCUGCCGUCCAGGUUAAUAUAAACCACCACUCUAGCUCUCUCGUGCUUUUUUUUUUCAUUCAAAUGUGUGUUGUUUUGUGUAUUUAGAGAGAAAAUUUCAAGAUGAAUGCAAAUACAAGCAAAAGGCCAAAUGGUGCCAAAAAUAUAUAUCAACAGAAACGAAAUAUAUAUCAAGAGUGAAAAGAAUCUAGGGCCUAAUCACAGGAAGAACAAGUAGUUGUGAUUUUGAUAGGUACAAUGUGCUGAUGGUAGAAAGCUUUGAUUCUUCUUUCUGGCCGUGACAGAUGUAUACUGAUUACAUGGCAAGCUUCAGGGACAACAUGAAAGAGUUCUUGGAUGCCGGUGUUAUUGUAGACAUUGAAGUCGGACUUGGCCCGGCUGGAGAGUUGAGGUACCCAUCCUAUCCUCAGAGCCAUGGAUGGUCAUUCCCAGGCAUCGGAGAAUUCAUCGUAAGUGUUUUUUUUUUCAAAUAAAAAUAUUUCCUCUUUUGUUCCGACUAAUAUACUUUUACAUGUAACAUGUGAUGACCAAAGGCGGUUUAUUAUUGUCCAAGUGACGAUCUACAUUGGAAAAGUUUUCUCAGCAAACCAACACCGAAAUGAAAAGGGAUUCUCAUAAAAAACGCAAGGAUAAAAUGGCAAUUUCAGAUCAGAACAAGGCAUGGCUAGACCUGACUUCAUCAGUUCUCCUACCCCAUACCCCGAUCCCAAUUUUCACUUUUUUAUUUCUCCUAAAUAAGACAUCAUACAAACUUGACACAUAUGAACUACAAUAUGAGAAAAAAAAUAGGAUUCGUUUGUGCAACAUAAUCAAAUACUUCAAAUGAUAACUGUCUUGGGGAAAAGACUAAUUUCAUAUAUAUAAGCUACACCCAAAAAAAUCCAAAAUGGUUUUCUGCACAUUAAUUGUAGUCCCAAUUUUUCAUUGACCCGCAAUAUUUCAAGUUCAUAUAUUGCUUUUUGGAAGAAACAAAAAGAAGUAUCUAUAUGGUGAGAUUAGUGAGCUAGUGCAUACCUUGAUGCAAGGCAGAUGGCACAGAUAGNNNNNNNNNNNNNNNNNNNNNNNNNNNNNNNNNNNNNNNNNNNNNNNNNNNNNNNNNNNNNNNNNNNNNNNNNNNNNNNNNNNNNNNNNNNNNNNNNNNNNNNNNNNNNNNNNNNNNNNNNNNNNNNNNNNNNNNNNNNNNNNNNNNNNNNNNNNNNNNNNNNNNNNNNNNNNNNNNNNNNNNNNNNNNNNNNNNNNNNNNNNNNNNACAUGAAAUAAUUAAAAAAAGUAAAAUAAUCUAUACCAUCACCAUUAAAGACAAAAGGACUCCAUUUAACUGUUUUAACUAAUAGUACAAAUUAAAAAAAAUCCGCAGUGCUAUGAUAAGUACCUGCAAGCAGACUUCAAAGCAGCAGCAGCGAUGGUUGGCCAUCCUGAGUGGGAAUUUCCUCGCGAUGCCGGACAGUACAAUGACACUCCCCAGAGAACUCGAUUCUUCGUGGACAACGGAACAUAUCUCACUGAGCAGGGGAGGUUUUUCCUUGCAUGGUACUCCAAUAACCUGAUCAAGCACGGUGACAAGAUCUUGGACGAAGCAAACAAGGUCUUCUUGGGACACAGAGUGCAACUGGCAAUCAAAGUAAGUACCAUCAUCCUAAAUAUCUCAGUUUCUUACAAUAGUAGAUAGGAUUUGAGAAACCAUGAUUCAGUUGAGAAGUAGUGUAUGAUAAACAACAACAACAACAACAACAAAAAGUACACAAAUUCAUUCUAACACUCUAGGCUAAAGGAACUUGCAUUUCUUAAUCUAGAAUGUAAAUGAGACAUGGCCAAAUGUUUGGUUGCAGAUCUCUGGCAUUCACUGGUGGUACAAGGUUCCAAGCCAUGCAGCCGAGAUCACAGCUGGGUACUACAACUUACAUGAUAGAGAUGGCUACAGACCCAUAGCACGCAUGCUCAAAAGGCACCGUGCUAGUCUUAACUUCACUUGCGCCGAGAUGAGGGACUCGGAGCAAAGCUCACAGGCCAUGAGCGCACCGGAAGAACUAGUCCAACAGGUAGGUAGCUUGUGUCUCCAGAGUUUACGCUUAGACAUCUCUGAUAGACACAUCUAACGUACUUGUCGUCGAAAUUCUCAGGUGUUGAGUGCUGGAUGGAGAGAGGGCCUAAAUAUGGCAUGCGAAAAUGCACUUCCUCGAUAUGAUCCAACUGCUUACAACACCAUACUCAGGAAUGCAAGGCCUCAUGGCAUCAACAAGAGCGGCCCUCCUGAGCACAAGCUGUUUGGAUUCACCUACCUCCGGCUGUCGAAUCAGUUGGUGGAGGGACAAAACUAUGUCAAUUUCAAGACCUUUGUUGACAGAAUGCAUGCCAACCUGGUUAGUGCCACAACCCCUUGUUCAUGCAUGUCAAAAAUUAAACAGAGGAAUCAUUAAUUUGUUGAUUUGCACCGGCCUAUUACAAUAAUGCAAUUUGAUUCUUUUCAGCCUCAUGACCCAUGUGUUGAUCCAGUGGCGCCUUUGCAAAGAUCAGGGCCAGAACUGACGAUUGAAAUGAUCCUACAAGCAGCGCAGCCAAAACUGGAUCCAUUCCCCUUUGAAGAGCACACCGACCUGCGAGUUCAAGGCCUCGGUGGCAUCGGUGGGGAUGUUGAAGGCCCCACUGGUGGCAUGGGUGGGGAGGUUCAAGACCCCACUGGUAGCAUGGGUGGGGAGCUCCCUGCCACCGUGUAAUGAAACCUUUAUGAUCUACAGUACCUUUUAUGUUGUGUGUGACAGAGAAACCUUUCUCUGCCUUAUUAAUAGCAAUAAAUAAAGCACAUCACUUGUGCGUGUUCUGGAAGAAAAAUCUCAGUGCUGGAAGGGUUAAUCUUCUCUUUGUGAGAAUUAACCGUGCCCUAGAAAUAAGCCGAUGAGGAUAAAUAAGAUGUGGUGCUACAGUACAUCAUGAGGAUUACUCAUCAAUAUUGGAUUAGUCAUCAAGAGGAUGCUUUUCCAAUGAGCUGUAGUACAUCAGACCUUACAUACCUCCAUUAUGUGCAUAUGAGUGAAUGAACAAACUAUUUUGUGCUCAUUUAGCGAUUGUAUAUGGGUCCAUCAUUUUGGAUUGCAUGUUCACGAUUACCACUCGCAUGGCUUUGACUAAUGUUACGUGGUAAACUACUAAGUGUCCAAUCUACUUCGUUGGAUUUUUUGACCAUUUUGGAUCAAGAGUUUUAGAAAAAAGUUUCAUCUUCGUAAUCAAGCCGUAAAUUUUGUAUGUAGUUUGGUCGCAGUUUACGAAGCUACUCAAGACGAUCAUAAACUAUCUUUUCUUGGUGAACCGGUCAAUCCUGCUAAAGAAAUUCUAUAUUCAUUGUUCAUGGGUGGGGAAUUCAACAUCCUAUGGUUUCAGCAACGAUAAAAUAAUUAGUUUUACAGUUCUUUCUUAUUCAGCAUUGCCAUUGACAAUUUGGAUCUACCUGAGAUAUUUCUGGACAUCAAUUUACCUGGGCUAAUACCCGGCUAGAGUCGACGUUUGAAAAUAUGGGUCACGUGCCAAUGGAUGCUGGUUGGGAAUUGAAAUUUCUUUUGGUAACAAUACAUGAUUUGGUACGUACCAAAGCAUCGCAAUACACCGCUCAGUCAAGUUCGAAUGGUUUGUUGAUGUAGUCAACAAGGUUUUGGAUGGUCGAUGAUGGGUAGAUCGCCUUCCCAAGGGGUUAAAAAAAAUCCUCACUUUGCAACAGUUCCUCGCAUGGAGGGAGUUCUCCCACUGAAUCGAAUCUCUCCCGCGACCUAGGCUAGGGUUCCAUCCCCCGCGUUCCCGUCCGCCCACUCGCCCCCCUCCCGCCCCCCUCGCGCGGGCGAUGGGCGGGCCCCUGCCGCUCCCUCUCCUCCGGCCCCCCUCCCCGCCCCUCUCCCUCNNNNNNNNNNNNNNNNNNNNNNNNNNNNNNNNNNNNNNNNNNNNNNNNNNNNNNNNNNNNNNNNNNNNNNNNNNNNNNNNNNNNNNNNNNNNNNNNNNNNNNNNNNNNNNNNNNNNNNNNNNNNNNNNNNNNNNNNNNNNNNNNNNNNNNNNNNNNNNNNNNNNNNNNNNNNNNNNNNNNNNNNNNNNNNNNNNNNNNNNNGGCGCGGUCGUUGGCCACGUGGCGGCGUGGCGGUACUGGUGGCCGGCGGCACCGCGCGGCCCAGAUCUGGGCCCUUUCGGGCUCCAUCUGGGCUAGGGUGGGCCGGUGACUGGGUGCGCGGCGACGUUGCUCCCUGGUUGGUGGCGAGGAGGCGGUGGUCUGCGGGAGGUGGCGGCUUCGUCGGCCGGCGAGCUGCUGCGUGACGGUAGGGGCUGUCCGGACCCUUUUGGGUCUGGCCGGGCCUCGGCGCUUGGCAGGCCUCUUGUCCGUGCGUCCGUCCGGCUCCGCGGCAGCAUUGGUGGUUGUCCCCUCACGUCGGCGAUAUUGCAGAUGCCCUUGAGGCCACUAUCUCUUCUUCCGUCCUCCAGGUUGUGUUGGUGACCUCAGGGAGACGACGAAGUUGAUUCGGUGUCCGUGGUGGCACAUGUUGGUGGGCGGCGUGAUGGGCGGUGCACUAUGAUUCGUCUGGGGUGGUGGUGGGGGUUUGGGUUGGGAGAAAUCUCUGGCGGCUCGUUCGGCCCCAACGCGGCGAUGCCUGUGGGUGCCGUCGGACCUCCCUGAAGGGCGUCGGGUACGCUCUCCCCCCACUNNNNNNNNNNNNNNNNNNNNNNNNNNNNNNNNNNNNNNNNNNNNNNNNNNNNNNNNNNNNNNNNNNNNNNNNNNNNNNNNNNNNNNNNNNNNNNNNNNNNNNNNNNNNNNNNNNNNNNNNNNNNNNNNNNNNNNNNNNNNNNNNNNNNNNNNNNNNNNNNNNNNNNNNNNNNNNNNNNNNNNNNNNNNNNNNNNNNNACCCUAGGACUAAUCCGGGUAACAACGGCGUCGUCGUCGCCUCCUUCUUGAAGGUGUUGCUUGGUACGCGGCGCUUCAGAGUGCCGGGAGCGUGGUGGUACUUCUCCGGAGGGUGCAGCGGUCGCCGGUCGUCUUCGUUUCGUUGAUCUGCCAUUGUUGGCAUUUCUUUCUCUUUCUUUUUUCUCUGUUUUUCUUUGGGCUUGUUUGUGCUGCGGCCCCAACACCUAUCGUUGGAUGUAUCGAUGGUUGCUUUGUAAUACAAAGCAAGGAGAAACCCUUUUUCGUAACAGUUCCUCGCAUGAUAGGAAGUAAACACCACGGCAUAUACUAUAAAAAAACGCCCAUAUCCGACCGGGUCCUUUAACUAUGGCACAGCCCAUUAGGACAUACUUUUAUAGUAUGUAUUUUUUAUCUUCAACGUGUUAAAAUAUUAUUAUAAAUAGAUUUAUAACAAAAAGUUUUUGUGUACUGGGAACAAGUGUAGUGUGUUUUAAAAUAAAUGUGCAUGACGUCAAAAACGAAUGUUUACAUAGCUCGCUAGGGAUGUUUAUGUAUUCGUGAACAAAAUGUUAAUAUGUAUAAAAAAGGUUAAUGACUUCAUAAACAGUUUUAUGAACUUCAAAUAUUUUUUCUUAUAUACCUUUCUUUGCAAUGAAUGUGGAAUACGGUUGACGGGGAGUUUCGAUAUGACGGCCUUAAGCGGGAACUGUUGGAGCAAAUGUCGAAAGUAAAUCUCCAUAAUUAUAUUUAGUCUGGAAAAUGGUUUUAAAUUUUAAACGUAUGUGUUGCAAAAAAAAAAAGUUCACCUAUACGAAUAAUGCUCAUGUAUCAGGAAUACAAUUUGGUGACGAAUCAUAAAAAUAUAUUUCCAUAUGUGAGAAAGCAUUCACUUAUUUCAAGCCAGGAUGAUCAUGGUAUGGAAAUGUGACAUAAAGCAAUGUUCAUGUAUAAGAAAAAUUGUCCUCAUAUAUACUGUACAACUCCUUUUUUAUCGAGGUGUCGUGAGCUGCUAUGCGUAUAGGAAUUUGCCGAGUUUAAGGGCUGGCCGGUUGUUCUGCUCCUAGUUUUUUUGUGGCACAGUAUAAUCAAAGUCCCUCACAUACACGAGCAUAUAUCUGCCCUUAUGAACGCACACCAUAUCCCUAUAAGCAUCUUAAAAGACUGAGUUGGCAUAACAUCUUGAGAUUUCACAUAGUCACCACAAGCGCCUCGCAGUUGACGGAAAUGUUUCCUACGGGUUUACGGGCUGGCCGUUUGUUUUGCUCGAGUAAUGCUACAUUCACGGAUGAUUAUGAGGGUUUUACAGGGUCAUUAUGACUUGGCAAAUGGUUAUUGAGUUAAGGGGGAGGGAGGGGCCCCACCCACCUGAACCUCCCCGUAAUCAUCUGUGAAUGAAUUAAUGCUCCCCGAAAAAAAAAACAUCCGUGAAUGUAGCAUUAUUAAUUCUACUCCUCGUUUUGGGUUGAGAGUGAUGGCUCGUAGGAGUUUAUCGGUCCCCGGAAGAAUCACUCUCCCGGCAUGAUGGACCCUAGUUUCUUAGCUCUGGCGGCGACCCAAAAUGAUGCCUCCCUUUUGAUGUUGUCGAGAAGAACCGUAGGCGGAGCGGCCAUGUUGCGGAAUACACGGGCGUUUCACCCGUUCCAGAUCGUCCAUGUAGUGAGCAUGGUGAGCGAGGCCAUGGCCUUCCGGUUGGGGACGGAAGUAUCUGUCAACCCAAGCCACCAGUCUAAGGUGGAAUGCCUUAGGGGCCAAGUGGAGGUGUCAACGUGAAUGAGUUGUAGCCACACCUUGACCAAGCCCCAUAGGCGAAUGGUGAAACGGCAUUUGAAGAAGAGAUGGUUAACCGACUCAUUCUCACGCAUGCAUAAGGGGCAUGAGCCACAUGUUGGAAAUAUGCCCUAGAGGCAAUAAUAAAAUGAUUAUUAUAUUUCCUUGUUCAUGAUAAUUGUCUAUUAUUCAUGCUAUAAUUGUGUUAUCCGGAAAUCGUAAUACAUGUGUGAAUACAUAGACCACAACACGUCCCUAGUGAGCCUCUAGUUGACUAGCUCGUUGACCAAAAGAUAGUCACGAUUUCCUGACUAUGGACAUUGGAUGUCAUUGAUAACGGGAUCACAUCAUUAGGAGAAUGAUGUGAUGGACAAGACCCAAUCCUAAGCAUAGCUCAAAGAUCGUGUAGUUCGUUUGCUAUAGCUUUUCCGAAUGUCAAGUAUCAUUUUCUUAGACCAUGAGAUUGUGCAACUCCCGGAUACCGUAGAAGUGCUUUGGGUGUGCCAAACAUCACAACGUAACUGGGUGACUAUAAAGGUACACUACGGGUAUCUCUGAAAGUGUCUGUUGGGUUGGCACGAAUCGAGUCUGGGAUUUGUCACUCCGUAUGACGGAGAGGUAUCUCUGGGCCCACUCGGUAAUGCAUCAUCAUAAUAAGCUCAAUGUGACCAAGUGGUUCAUCACGGGAUCAUGCAUUACGGAACGAGUAAAGAGACUUGCCGGUAACGAGAUUGAACGAGGUAUUGGGAUACCGAUGAUCGAGUCUCGGGCAAGUAACGUACCGAUUGAAAAAGGGAAUUGAAUACGGGAUUGAUUAAGUCCUCGACAUCGUGGUUCAUCCGAUGAGAUCAUCGAGGAGCAUGUGGGAGCCAACAUGGGUAUCCAGAUCCCGCUGUUGGUUAUUGACCGGAGAGGCGUCUCGGUCAUGUCUGCGUGUCUCCCGAACCCGUAGGGUCUACACACUUAAGGUUCGGUGACGCUAGGGUUGUAGAGAUAUUAGUAUGCAGUAACCCCGAAAGUUGUUCAUAGUCCCAGAUGAGAUCCUGGACGUCACGAGGAGUUCCAGAAUGGUCCGGAGGUAAAGAUUUAUAUAUAGGAAGUCCAGUUUCGGCCAGCGGGAAGGUUUCGGGGGUUACCGGUAUUGUACCGGGACCACCGGAAGGGUCCCGGGGGUCCAUCGGAUGGGGCCACCUAUCCCGGAGGGCCCCAUGGGCUGAAGUGGCAUGGGAACCAGCCCCUGAUGGGCUGGUGCGCCCCACCCAAGGGCCCAAGGCGCCUAGGGUUGGAAACCCUAGGGGGCCGUUGCCCCCCGAGGGGGCAUGCGCCCCCCUGGUUGGAAACCCUAAGGGGGCCGUUGCCCUCAGGCCCCCCCUUUUAGAUGGGAUCUCCCCCCUAGCCCCUAUAUAUAGUGGAAGGGAGGGAGGGCAGCCACACCUUGCUCUUGGCGCCUCCCUCUCCCUCCGUAACACCUCUCCUCCCCGCUUGUGCUUGGCGAAGCCCUGCCGGGAUCCUGCUGCAUCCACCACCACGCCGUCGUGCUGCUGGAUCUUCAUCAACCUCUCCUUCCCCCUUGCUGGAUCAAGAAGGAGGAGACGUCUUCCCAACCGUACGUGUGUUGAACGCGGAGGUGCUGUCCGUUCAGCACUUGGUCAUCGGUGAUUUGGAUCACGGCGAGUAGGACUCCAUCAUCUCCGUUCACUUGAACGCUUUCGCUCGCGAUCUACAAGGAUAUGUAGAUGCACUCCGAUUCCCCUCGUUGCUAGAAUACUCCAUAGAUUGAUCUUGGUGAUGCGUAGAAAAUUUUUAAUUUCUGCUACGAUCCCCAACACCACAGUUAGGCCAACCGCGCUUGGCCAAUCGGUCCAGACUCUAUUUUGGAUGGCCAGCCAAGCAAAGAACUUGACCUUGGGUGGAGCCCAAAUUUUCCACACUGCAUGCUUCAAGGGAGAGCGAAUGAGGCCAAGAAAUUGCGCUUUGUAGGCGGACUCCGCCGAAUAGAGGCCACUAGUAAAAUGCUUCCAAACAAUCUCGUCGUCAAUAUCCUCAUGUAGAUGGAAAUCCCGGAUGGUGGCCCAAAGCUCGAGAAAUUGUCUGAAGUGCUCUAUAGAAAAACUGGACGUCAUCUUGAUCUGUUUAACCCAAGCACCAUCCUUUAGUGCUUCCCGCACCUUCCAAUUCUUACGCCGCGUAGAUGAGAGGGGCCAUAUCCAUGGGUUUGCGGUUGUGCACCCAUGGAGAGUCCCAAAAGGUGGUGUGCGCGCCAUUUCCCACGAUAAUAAUUGAGGAGGCAUAGAAGAAGUUGUAGUCCGCGUUAUCGCACGGGUUGUCCAUGCCAACCCACAUUUUAGUUGGGUCCUUCCAUUCAAACCAUACCCAACGAAGCAUCAGUGUCCUAGCAAAUUUCUCCAUGUUUAGCACUUUAAGACCCCAAUUGGCAAUUGGGCGGCAAACGGUGUCUCAAUUAACAUUGCAUUUGGCCCGGUGGUCUUGUCCGUUCCCUCCCAAAGGAACGCUGGCUCAAGCUUGUUGAGAUUUUUGAGGGCGACUUCAUCGUGUGGUACAGUGAAAACGUACGUUCCAUGCUGUACACGGCGCCAGAUAUGGUCUACGUCAGGUCCAGGUCGUAACAAGAAACGGAAACACGAGGCGACGAUCGCGUUUGGAAGGAUGCGCAUGAAUGGACUAGCUUUCGCCUACCGCCCACCGAGCGGCGAGAGCGCAACCUACAUCGACCAACUACCCAGCUGACCUCUACAGACCGGACUUGAAUGUAUGCACUACCUACGUGCUACGUCGGCGGCGAUGGCCGCGUACGCUGGCUACGUGCCGCAUGCAUGGCGAGCUCGGCCCGUGCGUGGCCAGCUAUAGAUACGUACCCCAUGAGUCCCUAGAAACACCUGCCACUGCGAGAGCGAGCGUGUGAGUAGAUCGACGACGAUGACAGACAUGGCCGUGAUGCUGGUGGUGCUGGUAGUGCUGGCCUCAGCUAGGCUAGUUACUCUAGCUGAGUUAGUUCUGUGGUACGCAAGUAUGUUGGUAUGAUCGAAUAAAACGAUGGUGAUCUACGGCGCCAGGCUGCUGGACGCGUCCGACUGCAUCUUGGAGCAGCGCCGGACGGCCCCUCAUAUGUCCUGCCGGACAGGCACUCUCCUCGUAUGGCAAAAUGAAAUUCAAUGUCCUAGACACGGCUGGAUAACGUGAUAAAUCACUCGCCACACGCCAUCCGUGCCGCAUGCUCUGUCAGCAUCCGUGUCGUGUGAUCUAUUGCCAUCCGUUACGCCAACGCCGCCUUGAACUCUCUAUGCAUGGUGAUCUCCUUCUUCCUCCUCUCAAGUCACUUCUUGCCUUCGGCAUCUAAGAGGCUUGCGUCCGUUAAUAUUAUCAUAGAAUCCUCCGUGUCUUGAGCCAGCUGCAACCUCUCCAUUUCAAUCUCUACGGUUCCAAAAGUUCAGGCUUUCUUGAGCUCCCAUUUUGGACACACCUCCUUCUUCUCCAAACUAUCCUCUCCUCAAUUUCUAACUCUCGUUGCUUUACUGAAAAAGGCUUUCGCCCCGCUUUAUAUAUAAAGCAAAGAUUAUCAACAACCCGGUACAACGCACGCCACCAGAAUACACGCACACACCCAGGGCAGGAUACAUAGGCGCUGAGCGCAGCAACACCACCCAUAGCACUACAAUAGCAACCGGGGGCCUCAACCGUGAACACGCCACCGCGAAGAGAAGAAGCUACAUACGAUGAACCGUGGGCUCCAAAGCGGUGCCAACAGGAAGGUUACGACACUGAAGCGCCGCCACCGCCCGACCCAAGGAUCAGGGUUUCCCCUGAAGCAACACGACGGGCAGUGAGAGCCGCGUAGACGCCUUCAAGAAGGGAACGAGCUUUGCCGUCGCUGGUCCGUCCGAAGAUAGAACAUGUUUUCACCACCACCGAACGUCACACCCUGGCUACCAUGCCGCCCACACGGCCAUGGCCACCAGGCAGCACCAAGCCACGAGCUUUGCCCAUGAGCACCGCGACACCACCACCAGGGCCGCCGCCCCGGCAUCCAGGAUCUCGAUGCCACCUCACCCACCACCCACCUCUACCCCAACCAAAGAGACGAGUGGAAAGGAACCGCCUUUCGUACCCCUGAGCAGUCAACGGGCAGCCCCGAGCCAGCGCCACCAUCCUCGCCGCCAAGGGCCGCCGCAUGCAAGGUCGGCCGAAGCCCACACCGCCGCCAGCGCCACCACCAGCACGAACCACCACCACCGCGCCGCCACUCCACCGACCACCGCAGAGACGGCUUCCCACAAAGUACCCAGCCCGCGCCGCCCGCCAGAUCUGGCCGCCGCUGCAACAGCCGGCGUCAGUGCAUGGACUGGCACGCCCCGCCCCUGCACAGCCCACCUCACCGCCAGCAAGGCCCCGAGCUUCCUCCACGCCAACCCACCACCACGUCCCGCGCACCGCAGCGCCCAAGACCAACAUCGCCGGCCCGCGCCAGCCCCUGACGAGCGAGGGGGUGAGAAGUGCCCGCCGCCGCCGGCCAGGCUUCGCCCGGCCGCGCCCUUUGGCGGCGGUGGGAGGGGGAGGGAGAGGCGGGCGGCGGCUAGGGUUCCUCCCCUGCCGCCCGCGGGAGCGCCAGAGGAGGAGGAGGUCGCGUUGACAGUUGUAUUUUGGGCCACUCAUUGCUUUCAUUUGCAACUUAUUGUUUAUCUUCUUCCAGUCCUAAUCCAUCCUCUCUUUAUUCACAGACAAGAUGAGUUUGUACCUCUCCUCUUUUGUGUCCCCCCUUGUGGAAAACUGCGUGCCCAUGUGAUGGACAUUUUUGAUGUCGUGGCAUCACGAACAAUCCUACGCUUCUCCUGAUGAGGUCACCUACUACAGGUAGGGUCAAGGACCUGUCAUAUGGAACCCACCUAGGGCCCCACACCAUCAUCGGUAGGUCUCUGGACCAUAGGUGCAUUCGGAUGCGUAUAACAAAAAGUCGAUUCGAACGCACGGACAUCACUCGGAUGCCUACCCUCCAAUCGGCAUGACCACCACCACUCGGACAAGGGAGGUGGAAGGAUGACAUGGGAGCUGCAACGGUCGAGUAGUCUUAAGUCGAACUUUAAGUAGAGUCAUAGCUACCAUUACAUGUAGCUAUCAUUGAUGGGGUUAUGUACCUAGGGUAGGGUCAUGGACCUGUUCCAAGUAACUUACCCUAGGACAUCCCUAGAAGAGGUCGCCUUCCAGUCGACCAACGAGGAUUCACUCGACUGGCCUGAAGGACUCGACCAUGAAGACUCACUCGACCACCAGGAGGUCAAGAGGCACUCUGCACCGCAACGGCCUGUAAUUAAGUAGACUUUAUGAUAGUAAAGGCACUUUAUGUGGGGCGUUACCAGUAACGCCCCAGACUUAACUCACCUUAAACCCUCUCCUACGUGGGCUGGCUGGGGUCCUGGCGCACUCUAUAUAAGCCACCCCCCUCCACAGGCAGAAGGGUUCGGCACCUUGUAAUCCAUACAUUCAUAAUCCACUCGACCGCCUCCGGGCUCCGAGACGUAGGGCUGUUACUUCUUCCGAGAAGGGCUUGAACUCGUACAUCCUUUGUGCUUACAACCUCUCCAUAGCUAGGACCUUGCCUCUCCAUACCUACCCCCCACUCUACUGUCAGGCUUAGAACCACGACAGUUGGCGCCCACCGUGGGGCAGGUGUUUUAGCGAUUUUGUGGAGAAGUUGCGAUUCUUCCGAGUACUUUCAUCAUGGUGUCUGCUGGAAUUUUGGUCGAGGGUCAAGAGAUCCGUCUCGGCGCUCUCGCCUUCAUCGCCGACGACUCCGCAUGGCUCCAGGAGGCUCCACUCGACGUAGAUGCGCUCCCCGUCCGCGGUGCGACGCAUUUUCGCGCAUGUGUCCGCGGCGUUCUGCUGCGGCAACCAUCGACUCAGUAUCGGUCGGCUCCUCCAUCUUCCACCCUCCCGGUCUCCCGCCAGCGCAAGCGCUCAGGCCGGUCGAGGCUUCAGCGAUGGGUGAGUCACGCGGUGGCUCGCCAGUCAGCCACUACACAAGUUGCGGCAAUCGAGCCCAACGAAUCUCUCUACGGCUUGUUCGAUCAGUCGACUGGCUCCGGAGAGACUGCAUCCGAGUGCGGAAGCAGUGAUCCAGUGGCGGAAAUCUUGAUGGUCGACGGGCCCCACAGUCCUCCUGGCUUCGCCCGUGGUGGUGGAGCAGGCGACGGCGGCGACCCUGCACGAGGCUACGAAGAGUACCAGCCCGAGCCACUCGACUCUCUGCAAAGAGAAGAGCUUCGCCGCAGGAACGAGGAUCCCCUGCGUAUUCCCAUCGCAGGAGAAACCCCCGAGGCUCGUGCCUUGGAGGAGGCGCGUCUGGCCAAUUUGGCCGAGCGCACUCGACUGGAGAACCUUCAGCGAGCACUCGACGAGCGCGCGCGGCAACGAGUUCCCGACACCAGUCGACGUCAACUCUUCCCGCCGACUCAGGUAUAUCGAACCCCAAUUCAGAAUUUAGCAGCUGCGACCCGUAUAGCAGAGUCCAUUCAGCCUUCGCAGUCGGAAGCUGGCAGAGGUUUGCUGCAAAUCAGGGAUCUGCUCCGGGCAGCAGGAGAUCAGAAUUCAGCCGUGUCUCAGUCGCGCAACAGAAUUCACAGUCGAUCUGUCACUGUGAAUACGGUUCAGUCGGCUCACAGCCCCAGAUCGCCUCCGCGGCGCGAAGGGCGUGAGAAUCGGCGAGAUCAAUAUGGCGACAGACUCGACCGAGAUGAUAGGCGUCGAGUGCCCUAUUCCCCUCCGAGGGGUGGGUCUUACGCUCCUCGGCAGCCAGAUGAUAGGCGUCAGUACAGUACAGGGCGUAGGGUUCCAGUUGACCCCAGAGAGCCAGGCUUCGACGCGCGAUCCAUUAUCGUGCAAGGGUUGGUCGACCGGAACAGAGCCCAUCGAGGCGCACUCGACAGAGAUGUGCCCACGAGCAGUCAAGUACAUGUUUCUGGUCCUGAAUGUUUCAGCAGAGCUAUCAGAGCCGCAGUUAUUCCCCCCAAUUUCAGGUUGGCAACAGGAGUCAGCAAGUUCACUGGUGAGUCUAAGCCUGAAACUUGGCUUGAAGACUACCGAGUGGCAGUUCAGAUCGGUGGUGGGAACGACGAGGUGGCCAUGAAGCAUUUGCCCCUCAUGUUGGAAGGUUCUGCCAGGGCAUGGUUGACUCAAUUGCCUCCUAGCAGCAUUUACACUUGGGAAGAUCUGUCCCGAGUGUUCGUCAGAACGUUCGAAGGGACUUGCAAGCGACCAGCGGGAUUGACAGAGUUGCAAGUCUGCAUGCAGAAAACCAAUGAGACUCUCAGAGAGUAUAUUCAGAGGUGGAUCACUUUGCACCACACUGUGGAAAAUGUCUCUGACCAUCAGGCAGUAUGCGCCUUCAAAGAUGGUGUCAAGAACAGAGAACUGAGUUUGAAAUUUGGUCGAACCGGUGACAUGACCUUGAGUCGGAUGAUGGAGAUUGCUACCAAGUAUGCCAACGGCGAAGAAGAAGACCGACUCCGAAGCGGCAAGCACAAGCCGAGUCAGUCGGAAAAAGGAAACACCAGUCGGAAACAGAAGCGGAAGGCUGAACCGGCAGCUCCUGGAGAGGCUCUGGCCGUGACUCAAGGAAAGUUUAAGGGGAAACCAAAAGGAUCCUGGAACCCCAAGAAGGUAAAGGAUAAAGAAGGGAACGACGUGAUGGAUAUGCCGUGUCAUAUUCACACGAAGAAAGAUGAAGAGGGGAAUAUCAUUUACCCAAAGCACACCACUCGCCAAUGUCGACUCCUGAUCCAGCAGUUUCAGGGAAAACAGUCUAAGGACAAGGAGAAGGAGCCGGACAAGGCCGAAGACAAAGAUGACAGUGAGGGAGGAUAUCCGCAUAUCAACUCCACUCUGAUGAUCUUCGCAGAUGUGGAAAGCAGAAGUCGACUGAAAGUGAUUAACCGAGAGGUUAACAUGGUUGCCCCAGCAAAGGCAAAUUAUCUGAAGUGGUCUCAAACACCCAUCACAUUCGACCAAUCUGAUCACCCGAAUCAUAUUGCCACCCCUGGGAGGCAAGCUUUGGUGGUCGAUCCAGUUGUCGAAGGCACUCGACUGACAAAGGUGCUGAUGGACGGUGGGAGUGGGUUGAAUCUGUUAUAUGCAGACACGUUGAAAGGUAUGGGCAUUUCGAUGUCCCGGCUGAGCACUAGUAACAUGAGCUUCCAUGGAGUUAUACCAGGGAAGAAGGCCGAGUCACUCGGCCAGAUAGCUUUGGACGUAGUGUUUGGCGAUUCAAAGCAUUUUCGCAAAGAAAAGUUGACGUUUGAGGUCGUGGAUUUUCAAAGUGCAUAUCAUGCCAUUUUGGGGAGACCAGCCUAUGCACGGUUCAUGGCUCGACCAUGUUACGUGUACCUCAAAUUGAAGAUGCCCGGUCCCAAAGGUGUGAUCACUGUCACCGGUGAUAGGAAAAAGGCUGAGGAGUGCUUUCAGAAGGGCUCCAAAAUUGCCGAUUCCCAAGUGACAGCGGUCGAGUUCGAAGAAUACAAGCAAAACGCAGAUCCGAGUGACUUGCUGCGAUCCAAGAAGCCCGCCACAGAAUCUGCAUUCCAGUCGUCCGGUGAGACGAAGCCUGUUCACAUUCACCCGACCGACCCCGAAGCAGCUCCGACCCGCAUCUCCACAACACUCGACCCAAAAUAGGAAGAAGCGCUCAUCCAGUUCCUCCGUGAGAACUGGGACAUUUUUGCAUGGAAGCCCGCUGACAUGCCAGGUGUUCCCAGGGGACUGGCUGAGCAUCGCCUAAGAGUCGACUCGUCUGCAAAGCCAGUCAAAGAACAUCUUCGGCGGUCCGCCGUCCAGAAGAGAAAGGCCAUCGGUGAAGAAGUGGCUCGACUGUUGGCGGCAGGAUUUAUCCGAGAGAUAUUCCACUCCGAGUGGCUCGCUAAUGUCGUCAUGGUUCCUAAAAAGGACAAGUCGCUCCGAAUGUGCAUUGAUUUCAAGCACAUCAACAGGGCCUGCCCGAAAGAUCACUUUCCUCUCCCUCGCAUAGAUCAAAUUGUUGACUCGACCGCGGGAUGCGAGAGGUUGUCUUUUUUAGAUGCUUACUCCGGGUACCACCAGAUCCGUCUAUAUGGGCCCGAUGAAGUAAAAACAGCUUUCAUCACUCCAUUCGGGUGCUUCUGCUAUAUCACCAUGCCAUUCGGCCUCAAGAAUGCCGGAGCCACAUUUAUGCGAAUGAUCCAGAAGUGUCUACUCACUCAAAUCAGUCGGAAUGUGGAAGCUUAUAUGGAUGAUAUUGUUGUCAAGUCACGAAAAGGUUCCGACCUGCUCGCUGACCUCGCCGAAACAUUUGCCAACCUCAGAAGGUAUGAUAUCAAGCUCAAUCCAUCAAAGUGCACAUUUGGAGUUCCUGGUGGCAAGUUACUCGGUUUUCUCGUUUCCGAACGGGGAAUCGACGCCAACCCAGAAAAGAUUGGCACUAUUCUCCGAAUGAAACGCCCUGUGCGAGUGCACGAUGUCCAGAAGCUUACUGGAUGCUUGGCCGCAUUAAGUCGAUUCAUCUCACGACUCUGUGAAAAGGCAUUGCCUCUUUACCGACUGAUGAAGAAGGCUGACAAGUUCGAGUGGACUCCAGAAGCUGAUGCAGCGUUUGCCGAGCUAAAAGCUCUGCUCUCCACCCAGCCGGUGCUUGCUGCUCCAAUCAGCAAAGAGCCUCUGUUGCUCUACAUCGCAGCCACAGGACAAGUCGUCAGUACUGUGCUAACGGUCGAGCGGGAAGAAGAAGGAAAAGCUCUCAAAGUUCAGCGCCCAGUGUAUUAUUUGUCUGAAGUCUUGACUCCAUCCAAGCAGAGAUAUCCUCAUUAUCAGAAGCUUGUGUAUGGAAUAUACAUGACCACAAAGAAGGUUGCUCAUUAUUUCUCUGACCAUUCAAUCACAGUCGUCAGCGACACUCCACUAUCAGAGAUUUUGCACAACAGAGAUGCAACUGGUCGAGUGGCCAAAUGGGCGAUUGAACUUCUUCCCCUUGAUAUCAAGUUUGAGGCAAAGAAAGCCAUUAAGUCCCAGGCAAUAGCAGAUUUCCUCGCCGAGUGGAUCGAACAGCAGCAGCCGACUGAAGUUCACUCGGAGCAUUGGACCAUGUUUUUCGAUGGUUCUAAGAUGUUGAAUGGUUCCGGUGCUGGGGUUGUCCUGGUUUCCCCCAGAGGAGAUAAGCUCAGAUAUGUGCUCCAGAUUCACUUUGAUUCCUCCAACAAUGAGGCAGAAUAUGAGGCCCUCCUAUAUGGGUUGCGCAUGGCCAUUUCACUCGGCGUCCGUCGCCUAAUGGUCUAUGGCGACUCGGAUUUAGUGGUCAAUCAGGUGAUGAAAGAGUGGGACGUGAGAAGCCCAGCCAUGACUGGAUACUGCAGUGCAGUGAGGAAGCCGGAGAAAAAGUUCGAGGGGUUGGAGCUCCAUCAUAUACCCCGACUGAAAAAUCAAGCAGCUGAUGAUCUAGCAAAGAUAGGUUCCAAGAGAGAAGCCAUUCCGAGUGGUGUGUUCUUGGAGCAUAUACAUACUCCGUCAGUCAAAGAAGAUCCUUUCACCGAAGAAACUCCGCAGCCCAAGAGUGCCACAGAUCCGACUGAAGUUGAAGUCCCAGCGGUGGUCGACUUGAUCAUGGAGGUUUUGGUAGUCAUUCCCGACUGGACGAUUCCGUAUGUCGCAUAUAUCUUGAGGAAAGAGCUUCCGGAGGAUGAGGAAGAGGCUCGACAGAUCGUCCGUCGAUCUAAGGCCUUUACCGUCAUCAAAGGACAAUUAUACAGAGAGAGCACGACUGGAGUCGGUCAGAAGUGCAUAACACCAGAAGAAGGUCGUCUCAUCCUCAAUGAUAUUCACUCGGGGACCUGUGGUCAUCAUGCGUCCUCCCGGACCAUCGUGGCCAAAGCAUACCGAGCCGGAUUUUACUGGCCCAAGGCGAAUGAGAUGGCAAAGGAGAUAGUGGAUAAGUGCGAGGGAUGUCAGUUCUACUCGAAUAUGUCGCACAAACCUGCGUCAGCUUUGAAGACCAUCCCACUCGUCUGGCCUUUUGCAGUCUGGGGGCUGGACAUGGUCGGCCCUUUGAGAACAGGACGAAGUGGCUUCACGCAUGUACUGGUGGCAGUCGACAAGUUCACCAAGUGGAUCGAGGCUAAACCAAUCAAGAGCCUCGACACCGGUACUGCUGUUAGCUUCAUCAGGGAACUAAUAUUCAGAUAUGGAGUCCCGCACAGCAUCAUUACGGAUAAUGGGUCGAACUUUGACUCAGAGGAAUUCAGAACCUUCUGCAACUCCCAGGGCACACGGGUCGACUACGUAUCAGUCGCCCAUCCGCAGUCGAAUGGACAAGCAGAGCGAGCUAAUGGACUGAUUCUCAAGGGACUGAAGCCGCGACUGAUGCGUGAUCUCAAACACGCGGCUGGAGCUUGGGUCGACGAACUUCCAUCUGUACUCUGGGGACUGCGGACCACGCCCAAUCGGUCGACCGGAAGAACUCCAUUCUUCUUGGUCUAUGGAGCCGAAGCAGUCUUGCCGAGUGAUCUUCUCCACAAUGCUCCUCGAGUCGAAAUCUACAACGAAGCAGAAGCUGAACAAGCGCGGCAGGACGCAGUCGACCUUUUAGAGGAAGAAAGGGAGAUGGCUCUGAUCCGGUCGACCAUCUACCAACAAGAUCUGCGCCGUUUCCACGCCCGAAAUGUGAGAGGUCGAGCCUUCCAGGAAGGGGAUUUGGUUCUCCGAGUGGAUCAGCACAAACCACACAAGCUUGCUCCUUCUUGGGAAGGCCCCUUCAUCGUCACCAAGGUUCUCCACAACAGGGCGUACCGUCUUUACAACGUCGAGCAUAAUAUCGACGAGCCCCGAGCUUGGAACGCGGAGCUACUCCGCCCAUUUUACACUUAAGUUUUAUCACUCGGAUGAGUUGCAAUAAAGUACUUUUGUAGUUCAUGGGUUUAGAAAUAAUUGUGUCAUCACUUUUUAUUUUUGUCCACAUAAAAACUCCCCCUCAGUGGGUGGCUUAGCCGCGAAUCCGUUUCGCCUAAGUUUGUAAAAAUCCUAUCGAGUGGUGAGCCAGACUCUCACUCGGAGGCUUAGCUGCGAAUCCGUUUCGCCUAAGUUUAUCAAAAUCCUACCGAGUGGUAAGCCAGCCUUCCACUCGGGGGCUUAGCUGCAGUCCAAGCACUCGCCUAAGUUUAUCAAAAUCCUACCGAGUGGUAAGCCAGCCUUCCACUCGGGGGCUUAGCUGCAGUCCAAGUGCUCGCCUAAGUUAUAAAAAUCCUACCGAGUGAAGAGCAACCCUCUCACUCGGGGGCUUAGCUGCAGUCCAAGCACUCGCCUAAGUUGUGAAAAUCCUACCGAGUGAAGAGCGAUCCUCUCACUCGGGGGCUUAGCUGCAGCCUCGUGCUCGCNNNNNNNNNNNNNNNNNNNNNNNNNNNNNNNNNNNNNNNNNNNNNNNNNNNNNNNNNNNNNNNNNNNNNNNNNNNNNNNNNNNNNNNNNNNNNNNNNNNNNNNNNNNNNNNNNNNNNNNNNNNNNNNNNNNNAAUCCUACCGAGUGAAGAGCAACCCUCUCACUCGGGGGCUUAGCUGCAGUCCAAGCACUCGCCUAAGUUGUGAAAAUCCUACCGAGUGAAAAGCGAUCCUCUCACUCGGGGGCUUAGCUGCAGUCCAAGCACUCACCUAAGUUUAUCAAAAUCCUACCGAGUGGUAAGCCAGCCUUCCACUCGGGGGCUUAGCUGCAGUCCAAGGGCUCGCCUAAGUUAUAAAAAUCCUACCGAGUGAAGAGCGACCCUCUCACUCGGAGGCUUAGCUGCAGCCCAGUGCUCGCCUAAGUGGACUAAAGAAUAAGUCGAUUGCGGUACAGGCACCUUGCUUUGAACCUGCAAAAGACAUUCCGAGCCGAAGGCAAUCAUAUUCAAGCGCCAAAUUCAAGUUUGAAUCGAUAUCUAAAGGAACCGAAAGUGCUCGGGCGUCAAGCCUGUUAAGGUUUGUCGGUUACAAUUCCACUCGGCAUACCGAGGCAAAUUUAAAGUGUCGAGCCAGAAGAAGUUUUUUACCCCUCCUGCGGAGGGCUGGAAGGUGCAACAAAUUCAUCAAGGUCAAUUCCGUCGGCGAUCCGAGUGGCAGCUGCAAGGAAAGUCUCCAUAAAGGACCUGAAGUCGUGCUUCUUGGUAUUGGCCACCCGAAGGGCCGCCAGCUUCUCCUCUCGUGCAUCUUUGCAGUGGACUCGGGCCAGACACAGAGCGACAUCUGCACCACACCGAGCCGAGGACUUCUUCCACUCCUGCACUCGACCAGGGAUCGUGUUCAAGCGGGCCAUCAGCGACUCAAGGUCAUUCUGAAGUGUCUCCUCAGGCCAGAGCGUCGAGUCGAUGCGAGAUGUGGCGGCCUUCAGCCUUGCGAGAUAGUCCACGACAGCUGCGACACGAGACUCCAGUCGGAAAACAUCCAUGGCAACUUCGUCGUUCACCGGAGAAUUGACGGGGUCAAGGUUUGGCUCCAGUCGGCUGGUUUCCUCUUCAAAGUUUUGACAAAAUUCUGCAAGGGCGAUCACUAAGUCAAGGGGAUAGUCGAAUGGAAGAAGCCACAGUUGGAAAUAUUUGCCAAACAUGGAGGUUUACCUUCAAGCAUAAGAAACAGCUUCUUGGCAAGGCCACUCAGGAAGGCCUCCAGUUCAGUUUUCUUCUCAGUCAAUUUGCUGACUUGGUCGGUCAAGGCAGCUUUGUCAGUUCUCAGUCGACUGACUUCCUUGUUGGCAAUCCCAAGAGCAGUUUUCAGAUUGGUAUUGUCUUGUUCGAGCUUGGUGACUGAAGCUAACUUCUCGUCAGCAAGCUUGAUCUUCUCAGCUAGCUCAAGGUCUUUCUUCUGCUGGGCCUCCCUUACCUUACCUGCAAGUUACAGCGAGAUCAGAUGCCGAAACAAGCAAGGGGAAAAGCAGUCGUCAGGGUCUCACCAAACAUACCUUCGGUCUCCUCCUUUGCCUUUGUCAGCUUCUCCUGAACCAGCUUCAAGCUCAGCUCGACUUGAGUAUGCUUUUGUUCCAGCUCUGAGUAGCGAGCCACAAGAUCACAGGAGUUCUGCGAAGAACCAAUCGACUAAACGUCAAAUGUAACUCACUUCCGAGUGAAAAAGGGAAAAACACACGUUUCUAAGACUACAGCCGAAUACAAGCAUUCGACCGUAGUCUCGGGGACUACACCCAGUGGGUGCACUCAGCGUGCCCCCACUAAUCCUGUUGAAGACAAAGUCGACCAGUCGACCUCAAAAAAAAAAAACA